rnacentral:lncRNA from 1 species
GCCUGUAAACUGCUUGUAAAAUUGCGCAGCCGUCAACGAAGAACAUCCAAGCCAGUUUCUCGUUAUCGUUGCUAUACUUCUCUAAUCCCUUUGGAUCAUAGCAUUUCUUUAAGUCAUCAAUCUCUUUCUUCAUGUUGUUGUACAACGUAUCCUUAUCGACGCCAAUUUUUUUGACGAAAAGUGCUGCUAAUUUGAGCUUGAGCUUCUCGGAUUUCCGGAGGGUGGGAUCAUCGUGGUGGAGUGGGCCGAUUGAGAUCACUUUCGGCUUGAAAUACUUCCUGAAAUCUUGGUGACGACCAAGGGUUGAUGGGACUCUUUGUAUCAAUGGUUUGGCACCGAGGUUGAUUUCGUCGCCGUCGAAAGCUUCGUCUAAUGACCGGAGAUUCGCUACUUCUCCAUCUCUAAGAGGGACGUCCAUAUCAAUGCUCACGGAAUCGUUGUUGUCGGUGAUUGCUUGAUCAGUGGAAACUGCUCCGACGGCGCCGCCUCCUUCCUCCGUGGAGAACAUUUUCAGGCUGAGCGGUUGGAAGUAAUAAAGAAGGUGAUUUUGUAAACUGCUUUUGGGUGAGUGAGUGAUGUUGGAGAAAAGGUGGCAAAGUGGAUACGAUGAUGGGAAAUAUUUUAUAGCUUACACGAUACACAUAUAUAUAUGGGAAAUACUUACACCGUGUUUGGUUUAGUGUAAUAGCUAAUCCAUUACGCCCCGAUUACGUGCCUAUUACAUUACUGAUCUAUUCCGGCGUUUGGUUCGCUGUAAUAGGUAUUACGCGCCUAUUACAAUACCGACCUAAGCCCCAAAUUCUCUGCUUUUCUAUUCCCUUCCCAAAUCCCAGAUUACCUAUUACGUCCGGCUUCCCUUCCCAAGUCUCUGUUUUACCCUCCCUCCCUACCCGAAAUCGACCUCCACCCUCUCCUUUUUCUGUCCUCAUCAUUUCUCCUCCCAUUUCACACUGCUUCAUUUUUUUCUCUCGGAGCACGUUUGGUUUUUGAAUAUUGAGGUAUGAAUCAACGUUUGGUUAAAAUGUUUAUGAUUUACUUGUUUAAAGUUUUCUAGAUCUUUUUCUAUAUCUAUAGUUUCUGCUAGUUCUAUUUCUUUGUUUUUCUUUUUGGUGCUAAAUACUCGCUCGAAUUAUUUUUUGAUUUGGAAUUAGGGUGUUUUCCGAUUAUAAUCUUACUAUUCUGAAAUCUUACUAAUGCUAUAUCGGUUACCCACAAUUUGUUCGUAACGAAAAACAUGGUUGGUAUUUUUUCCAGAUUUUCUGUUGGCAGGUCUGCCCAUCGACGCUCCAAGAGUGCCUUUGUAAGUUUCUAUAGCUUACAUAAAGAGGCGAAUAUAAGGGAAUGUAAAAUUGUUAUUUAGGCCCUUAACUUUAUUAAAAUUUCAAAUUAGUAAAGGUAAAAUUAUACUUUGGCCUCAUAAAAUUAUAAAAAUUCAAUUUAAUCUUUUAAAAAUUAUAAAGAUAUAGACUACAAAAAAUUAAAAUUUCAUUCUAUCCACCCUAAAAAAUUAUUCGGGCUUUGCUGCUACUUACAUAAUAAACAUAUGGAAAAUACUUUUGGUGUAAUUCAAAUUUACCCCUUAUAGUCAAUUUAAUUUUCAUUUUUUUUAAUUUAAUUUUCUAUCUUUUGGAAGAGUCGAACUUAACUAUCAAUUUAAAUUUAUGUUUUUUUAACGAAAAUAGUGACUAAAAUAUUAAAAUGUUAAACAUGACAACUCAAACGGCAAUCCACAUCUAUAUUUUUAUAUUCAUUUCUUAUUUUUUAAAUUAUUUAUUGACGUGACAUAUAAUAAAAGUAUUGUUAUGUUAGCAUGAAGUACACAUGAAUUGCCACACUAGUUGUGACACCAAUAUCGUUAAAAAAUUAAUAUUUCAGUUAGCAUAUUUGUUAAAGAAAAGUAAAUUGGUUCUUUUUUGAAAGGUUAAUGGUUAAAUUUAGCUCAAAUGAAAAAAAAUAAAGGCCAAUUUGAUAAAAAAAGGUAAAUGUCAAAAGUUAAGUUUAUCAUUUAUACAAGUAUAAAUAUAUGUCUGGAUUAAUCUAGAAAGAACCAGACAAACUCUACACGUGAUAUUCAAAUGUGACGAGAGGGAAAUCUACACAUCACAAUUGAGAAUAAUAUUAUAGAAAUACUCAAAAACCUAAAACCUUCCCCUUAACCAAGAAGCUAAGACGCUAUGGAUAAUUUUAUAUCUACAACACUUCAUGAAUUUCAUAUGCUUAAUAAGAGUUCUUUAAAUAUAUUCGAUUUUUAUUUUAUUAUUUAUAUUAUUUUGACUCAGUAUUUAAAUUAUCAUUAUGUUACAUGAUUUAUUUCAAAUAUUUUAUAUAUUUUUAUAACGAAAUUUGAAUUAAAAAAAUAUCAAUUUUAUUAUUAAAUUAUAAUUUGAUAUAUUUUGAGAUAAUGCAAUUUUAAGUAUUUCAAUUUAUUUAAUCAUUAUUUUUAAACUCGUUUUUUGUUUUGUUAGUAUUGCAUAAUUUUAACGUGUAUAUAUAUAUAUAUAUUUAAAGUUCUACUUAUUUUUAAGUUAUGUCAAAUAAUUGACAACUUUAUUAAAGUAUGCAUUUGAAUUUAUAAAUUUUUUUAGGUUGAAAUUAAAUUGUAUACUUUUACGAUAGUAAAAAUAUAAUUUUAUCAUUUUAAUUGCCUAUAUCGUUAUAAAUUUUAAAAUAUUAAAUCAAAUUUAUAUCAUUUUUGGAGGGUAAAGUAUAAUUUUAUCAUUACUAAUUUAAAAUUUUAUAAAUUAUAAAGGGGUCUAAAUAAUUUUUUUUUCAUUUUAAAGGAGACCAAGACUCUACAACCCUUGAAUUCGCCUCUAUCCAUAUAUUAUAUUUUAUUAAUCGAUUAUACAUGUAAACAUAUUUGUUUUUACUAAUACAUUUUAUUAAUCAAAUGGCUUUUUUUUUUUUACUGUUAAGUUAUCUUUUUUUAACUCCAUACAACAAAAUUUAUUUGCUCACAGUUUAACAUAUUUUUUUAUUAUUUCAGCAAUAAUAUUUUAUACUUAUCUAUAUAUCAAAUAUCAUGAUUCUCUAACAUUAUUAAGAUUAAAUAAAUAAAAUAUGUAUAUAUAUAAAUAAUGUUUUUUUACAAAAUUUUAAUUGUUUAAUCUCAAUAAUUUUCUUUUGCAACAUUAAAUCAUAUAAUACAUUUAGAAUAUUAAAAAUGUAUCAGAUUUUUAUUAAUAUAUACAUACAAUAAAUUUGUGUAUAGCAUGAGUAAACAAAUUAAUUAUUAAACUAUAAUUUGGCUCAAACUAAGUUAACCUUAACUUAAAAUUAGGUUAAAGUACUUGGGAUUUGGGACUUGGGAGGUUGGACUGGAUUAAAUUAGUCCUUCUGUUAUUAAAUGGAUCGAUUUAGUCCUUAUAUUAUUAAAAAGAAUCAAAUAAGUUCAAACUGAAAUAGAGUUAACAUUUACUGUAUAAAAAAUGUCUCGGCAAUUGCAAUUCAAUUCCAAACAGAAUGGUUCAUGUAUAUAACCAUAAGAACUUUUUAAAUAUUCACUUGUUAGACAAUAAUAGUAUAGGACUAAAUUGAUCCAUAUAUAUAUUAUUAAUAGAAAUGAGAAUUGUGCUUGGCCAAGUUUCUAAGUUUGGUAUUUGUUCUUACUUUCCUUCUUCAACCGUAGGAGCCACUCUCAUGACUUUUAUUUACUUUGCCAAGUUACUAAGUCAUGACUUUAGUAAAAGAUUUAGUUCCAUUUGUCGCUCCAACAUAACUUUUUUUUAACGAAGAUUCCAGUUAUAUCGAUAGGUAUACAUUGUUUCAAUAAUAAUUCGAAACAAUCAAUUUUAUUUUUUGCACAACGGUGGCGGGAGGUGGCAAGCAGGGGUAAAUGUAUAAGAUUAUAAAUUUCAAAGGUAAGAUUGUAAUUUGGCCCCAAAAAAUCAUAAGGCUUUAAUUUAGUUCUUUAAAAAAUUAUAAUGGUAUUAGCUAAUACAAUGAUGAAACUGUGUUUUAACCCUUAUCGAAAUUUAUAAUUUAAUUUCGGUCCCUCAAAUAAAAUUUUUGACUUCGUCCUUAUUUCCGCACUAGUAAAAAUUCUAAUCUAUAUCAUCUGCAACGGCCAAUACUAUAACAGUCUGAUUUUCAAUGGUAUCGGAAAAGAUGGUUUUGAAACCCCAUUUUCAUUGUCUGAGUCCAUAAAUAUUAAUAUUUAAUAUUUACAAGGCUAGUAUAAAAGUUUAUUGCAGUUUGGUCCAGCAAUUUUGUCUAAUUGAUAGUUAAAUAAGGUACAUGAACUAAAUUAUAAAAGUCCAAUCAAUAUAGGUUUUUAAUUAGCAAAGGACCAAAAGGGCUAUUAAACCAUCUUUUAUUAUAUGAUAGUGGAUAUAAACAAAUAUUAAAUUUAGUUAAUUAAACUUGAUUAUGAUUAAUUAAUCCAGUUUAAUUAAAUUCUAAUUAGACAAUAUAUACAAAUUAAGUGGAAAAAAUGAAAACAUUUUUCAUCUUCAUCAUCUUUGCUGAAUUUGAGAGACAGAAAAACCUAGAAAGCUUUCAUACAUUCGGUCCUCAAUUUCUAAGGCGAUUUAAGUUUUUUUCUUGUAACUUUUAUAUAUUUGAGGUUAUGGACGCUUCAUUUAUUUAGCUCAUGUAAUAAUUUGUAAAAUUGUUAAAGUUUUUGAAAGUUGCCGUUUUUAGUUUCUUGAAUAAAUAAAUAUUAAAUUAAUAGAUUUUAAGGUUAGAUGUGAAAAAGAAUUAAAUUAUAAAAUUUAAAUUGAUAAUUUUAAGCAAAAGGAUAAAAUUGUAUAAAUUGAAAAUUUGACGCUAGUUUUUUUAUAGUUUUAGAUAAUAGAGAGUUCUAAAAGAAUGUGAUUGAAAUUGAUUUCUGAUUUAGAGAUUAAAUUAAAUAAAAUAUGAAAUUUUAAAAAUAUCAUAAAAAUAAAAUUUAACUGACUCAUGCAUGCAUAUAACAAAAACUAAAAUUUUAAGGACACACCUUCAUGCAUUUCACUUCAUUAAUAACGAAAGAAGCAUGGCUACCUAGCUUUCUGCUUCAUCCAAAAUUGUUGAACUUUGGCCUAUAAUGCAAUAGUAGAGAAGCAAUGAAGCUCAACCAGUACAACAGCAACAUUUUGUUCAUAUGCAACUAGCUUUAGUUCUUUUGUAAUUUGUAUUUAAAGUUAGUAAGAUUAGUUGAUGAUUUGAAUAAUGUCUAAUGUGAUGUAAUAGUUGAUAUGCCAACUACAUUUUGUGUGUAAUUUAAGCUUUGUUUUAGUCAAGUUAUUAGUGGGAGCAGUUGUGUAUUAGGAAACUCUCAUGUAACUUAUAUGUUUAUCUUAAUGAAAAAUGCAUAUGAAAUUAGUUUUCAAGUUUCAUUUUUGUUCAAUUCUCUUUGUAUUCGUUUCUUGCUACUUUUCUCCUUUGUUUUCUAUCAAAACAUCAACAAAUGGUAUACAGAGCCUGUCAUUUUUGAGGGACUUUAUUGUUGGUAGUUGUUUUUGUGAGAAACCUUGAAGAAAAAGAAACUGAGGUUGUUGUUUUUAUUGUUGCUGCAAAAUGAGUUUUACACCACCACCACUACCACCUCUUUUUGCUGGUGAAAACUACCACAUUUGGGUAGUAAAGAUGAAGACUUACCUGCAAGCACAUGACUUGUGGAAUGUGGUUGAGAAUGACACAGAACCAGCUCCAUUGAGGGCCAAUCCCACUAUUGUAGAAAUUAGACAACAUUGUGUAAAGUGUGCUAAGAAGCACAAAUCUAUGUCAUGCUUAAAAAAUAGUGUCUGAUGUGAUCUUCACUCGAAUAAUGGCUUGUGACACUCCAAAGUAAGCCUCAGAGAAGCUGAAGGAAGAGUUUCUCGGGCCAGACAAGACUAGGCAGUAGCAGUUGAUCAACCUUAGGAAGGACUUUAAGAACUUGAAGAUGAGAGAGUCUAAAACAAUCAAGCAGUACUCUGAUAGGAUAAUGGCCACAGUCAACAACAUCAGGCUCCUUAGAGAUGAAUUCAGUGAGAGUAGAAUUGUUAAGAAAGUCAUUACAACCCUUCUUGAAAAAUUUAAAGCAAAAAUCUCCUCAUUAGAAGACUCGAGAGAUUUAUCAACCAUCUCACUAUCUGAGUUGAUAAAUGCUCUAUAUGCAUUAGAGCAAAGAAGGGCCAAUAGGAUGGAAGAGCAUCCUGAAGGAGCUUUCCAACUAGAAACCAAGGAAAGCUCAGGUUCAAGCUAUAAAGGAAAGAAACCAUGGCUUAACAAAAGGGAGAAACCAAAGAGGGAUGCAGGGAAGAAAAUGUUCCCACCAUGUAUUCACUGCAAAAGGUCCACACACUUGGAGAGGUAUUGCUGGUACAGACCUGAUAUUCAGUGUAAGAGCUGCAAGUAGUUUGGUCACAUUGAAAAGGUUUGCAAGAACAAAGGAACGACAUAAGCUCAACAGCAAAAUCAAGCUCAAGCUGCUGAGGAUAUUCAAGCUCAAGAGGAGCAUGUUUUCACUGCAUCCUAUUUUGCAACCUCAAGAAAAUUCAGAAGAGACUAGUUAGUAAACAGUGGCUGCACUCAUCAUAUGGCAUCUGAUGAAGGGUUAUUCAGAGAUCUUAACAAAAGAUUUGUUUCCAAAGUUAAGAUUGGAAAUAGAAACCUUAUUGAGGCCAGAGGCAAAAGCAAUGUUGUGAUCAACACACAUUCAGGUAACAAAAUAAUUUCAGAUGUUCUUUUUGUACUUGACAUAGACCAAAAUCUGCUUAGUGUUGGUCAAUUAAUAUAAAAGGGUUAUUCACUCAAUUUUAAGAACAACUCCUGUGUUAUUGGAGAUUCACUUGGUGAAGAAUUAGUUACAGUUGCUAUGACUGAGAGAUGCUUUAUGUUGGAUGUGAACCAGUUUGAAAUGAAGGCCUAUACUAGUCUUGCUGAUAAAGCUAGUUUAUGGCAUAAAAGGUUAGGCCAUGUCAAUUAUAAAUCACUCAGUUUGUUGCACAAACUCAAUUUGGUUGAAGACAUGUCCAAGGUUGAAGUCAAAGACAAAGUUUGUAAAAUUUGUCAGCUUGGGAAGCAAGUGAGAUUGCCUUUUCCAGUUAACAAGGCAUGGAGAGCUCGAGACAAGCUUCAAUUGGCCCAUACUGACAUUUGUGGACCAAUGAAGACCUUUUCUUUGAAUGAUAGCAGAUACUUUGUGCUAUUCAUAAAUGAUUAUACAAGGUUCUACUGGGUAAUUUUCUAAGACAAAAGUCAAAAGUACCUGAAGUAUUCAGCAAGUUCAAAGCCUUAGCUGAGAAUUAAUGAGGCUGUAAGCUUAAGGCCUUGAGAUUCAGUAAUUUGAUGAGGAAAAUGUAUGGAACUGGAAUGUUACAGAUGCAAACUUGAGUGAGGAAGGUCAACAAGAUAAUAAUCUGUAACCAGCUGAAGAAGAAGAGCCAAUUGCUGAUGAUUUUGAUGAUGUACCUGUGAAAGACACAAGAACCAUUACUGACAUCUAUCAAAGAUGUGAUGUUGCAAUACUGGACCUACAAAUUUGAUGAGGCUGCCAGAGAAUAGUGUUGGAAAAGGGCCAUGGAAGUUGAAAUGGAGAUGAUACACAAGAACAACAUUGGGAACUGGUUGACAGACCAGACCAAAAGAGAGUUAUUGGUCUGAAGUGGGUGUUUAUGGUUAAGUACAAUAUUGAUGGGUCUCUAAACAAACACAAGGCAAGACUUGUGGUGAAGGGAUACAGCCAACAGUAUGGCAUCGAUUUCAUAGAAACAUUUGCUCCAGUUGCAAGGUUAGUUACUAUAAGGCACUUGUUUUCCUUAGCUGCUCAAAAGAAAUGGAGAGUGAAUCAAUUGGAUGUUAAGUCUGCUUUUCUGAAUGGCUUCCUUAAGGAAGAAAUCUUCAUUGAACAACCAUAUGGGUUCAAGAUUCCUCAUGAAGAGAAUAAGGUCUACAAGCUGAAAAAGGCUUUGUAUGGUUUGAAGCAAGCACUAAGGGCCUGGUAUGACAGAGUUGGUGCAUAUCUGUCUAGGCUCAGUUUUGAGAAGAGUAUCAGUGAGCCUACUCUCUAUGUGAAGAAAUCAAAAAAUGAAACCCUGUUGAUUAUGUCACUUUAUGUAGAUGAUCUACUAGUAAUUGGAAGCGAGGGGAAGCUGAUUGAAGAGUUUAAAAUAUAGAUGCAAGAUGUCUUUGAAAUGAGUGACUUGGGGGAAAUGACUUACUUUCUUGGCAUGAAAGUGAAUCAGUUUGAUCAUGCCAUCUUCAUAAGUUAGCAAGCUUUUGCCAUAAAUAUUUUAAACAAAUUUUGCAUGUCAAAAUACAAAAUUUUUAGCACACCAGUGGCUCAAGGUGAAAAAGUAACCAACCUUGGCAACCAUGAAAGAGUUGAUGAGAAGGUGUAUAGAAGCCUUGUAGGUUGUCUACUCUACUUGACAGCUACAAGGCUUGAUAUCAUGUUUGUUGUUAGCCUUCUGUCCAGAUUCAUCCAUUGUCGCAAUGUUGUUCAUUUUAAGGCAGCCAAAAGAGUUCUUAGAUAUGUGAAAGGGACUUUGGAUUAUUGAGUGAAAUUUGGGAAGACAAACGAACUCAAGUUGAUAGGGUAUUCUGAUAGUGAUUGGGCAGGUCCAUUGAUGACAUGAAGAGCACAUCUGACUAUUUCUUCACUCUUGGCUAAGGUGUUUUUUGUUGGAGUUCAAAGAAACAACAAAUAGUUGCUUAAUCAAUAGCAGAAGCAGAGUGCAUUGCAGCUGCUGUAGCUGUUAAUCAAGCCAUUGGUUUAGGAAGCUCUUAUGUAAUUUGAAUGAAGAUCAAGUUGAAGCUACUAAUAUUAGAGUUGACAAUAAGUCAGCUGUUGCCAUAGCAAAAAAUUCAGUAUUUCAUGGCAAAACUAAGCAUUUUAAGAUUAAAUUUUAUUUUGUUAGAGAGGUUGAACAAUCAAAAGAAGUUAAUUCAAUUCAUUGCAGCUCAAAAAACCAGCUUGCCGAUAUUCUAACUAAGUCUCUCGGUGCUAUAAGAUUUGAGAACUUAAGAAGAAGUAUUGGUGUUUGUUGCAUAUAGUCCAAGGAGGAGUGUUGAACUUUGGCCUGCAAUGCAACAGCAGAGAAGCAUUGAAGCUCAACCAGCACAGCAGCAACAUUUUGUUCAUAUGCAACUAGCUUUAGUUCUUUUGUAAUUUGUAUUUAAAGUUAGUAAGAUUAGCAGAACUGGAUAUUGUCGUAUUUGAUUAUAAAAAGGUGUCGGCUGGAAUUUAAUUCUCAUUGAGUGUUUUUUUAUAAAAUAACUUGAAAAUUUUUAUUAAUUAUAAAAAUGAUAUUUUUUAUUAGGUAAUAAAUAAUAAAACUGAGUGAAAUUAAAGAGAUUAGUGCCACAUCAACCAAUCAUUAACUGUUAAAAUUAAAAAAAUUAUUUUUUGAAUGAAGCCAACCCAUAUCGCAUCAUUGCGGCAGAAAGCAAUAAAGUAUGCACUAAUCAAUUGUUUUUAAUUGCUAAUAUUUAGUGAUAAAAUAAUAUUUAAUUAUCGAAAUUUGAUAAUAGUAACGAAGUUGAAAAAGGUUUUACAAUUUAGUUUUGAAAUAUAUAUUUUUAUUGAAGUUAAACUGUAAUUUAAUUAUAUUGAUUUGUAAUUUUACAUUGUUUAAAGGGACUAGAUCAAUUUUUUAUUAUUUUGGAGGUCAAUAUGCAAUUUAACAUGUAAAAUUUCAACUUUCAAGGAGACUCAAAGCAUAAAUUAACAUUUUAGGGGACCAAGGUCUUGCCUACCCCUUGUCGCCACCCCUCAUUGGUAAUUUAACUACUUCGGCCUUUGAAUUUUUUUGUCUAAAUUUAUCCUGAAAUUUGAUAGUUUUUCCUAAUGUAGUCCUUGAACAUUGGUCUAUGCUACAUCUUAGAUUUUUUUUAAAAAAUUUUUUAAAUGAUGACAUGGUUUUUUAAUAGAAUUUAAGUUCAAGAAUUAAAUUUAAAAAAUUGUUAAGUUCAAAGGCUAAAUAUUACAUUAUCCUUAAUAUUUGUUACCCGGUUUUAGAAGUCCAUUGAAUUUCUUGCCUGUUUACUUUUGUUAUUAACCAUUGCUUUGUUCUUCUUUGUUUAAUUUUAGGUCCCAUAAUUGAAAAAAGAAUGGAUGAGAAAUUUCUAAAAUCAUUAGAAACAAGAAAAUAUGAUCUCAAAUCCAAUGAAGCAUUGAAGCUCAACUAGUACAGCAGCAACAUUUUGUUCAUAUGCAACUAGCUUUAGUUCUUUUGUAAUUUGUAUUUAAAGUUGGUAAGAUUAUUUGAUGAUGUGAAUGAUGUCCAAUGUGAUGUAAUAGCUGAUAUGUCAGCUACAUUUUUUGUGUAAUUUAAGCUUUGUUUUAGUCAAGUUAUUAGUGGGAGAAGUUGUGUAUUAAGAAACUGUCAUGUAACUUCUAUGUUUAUCUUAUUGAAAAAUGUAAAUGAAAUCAGUUUUCAGGUUUCAUUUUUGUUCAAUUCUCUUUGGAUCCGUUUCUUGCUUCUUUUCUCCUUUGUUUUCUGUCAAAACACCAACAAAAAUUCACAUGUAUACAAAUUAGGACAACGUAAGUGGUCACUGAACAGCCCUAUUUAAAGAAGAAUAUACCAAAAUAAGACAAACCUAAGACCUGAACACUGACCUCAUGUGCUGCAAAGCUAUAAGAUGUUCUGAAAUUACGAAAAUCUUGUUAACAUUAAUGGAAGACAAUUAAUAAUGGUUGCCAUUAACAUUAAUGGGAGACAAUCAAUAAUGACAACCACCAACUUUGGAAAAGUGGCAAGGGAUAAUUUUUUUUGGUCCUUGAGAUAAUGGGCUAUUUAUUGUUUGGUCCUUGAACCUCAACUAUAAAUAGGUCUUCUCAUUUCUCAUUUCAAUUCAUCCCAACCAAUCUUUCUCUCUUAGUUUUCUCUCUUCUCCCAUUUGAGAAUUCUUAAGGAAUUCUAUUUGUUUGUAAUACUUUGAAGAUAGUAAAGUUAUCAUCUGGUGUUAGUGCCCGAGGACGUAGGUAUAAUUUACCGAACCUCGUUAAAACUCUUGUGUUCUUUAUUGUCCUAUUUUUCUUUCAAUAUUUGAGGGUAUAAUAGUAGUAUUUAAUUGUGCUAUUAAAUUACUAUAGAAGGGAUAUUCUGUCUAAGGAAAGACUUGGUAUUUAAGAGAUCCAUGUGAUCCACCUCUCUUCCCUGGGAAUUGAACUUUGUGUGAUUUUUAGUACAAUAAUUUAUACGCUUCCAACCCUAUUGGAACUACAAGUGGUAUCAAGAGCCGAAGGUUAAUCGUAGUAUGCUCUGUGGUUGCAGUUUAAACUGAUCUUCCACAUCAGAAAAGAUUUCCUUAGGUAUAUUGAAAGAUUAUGGAGAAAACGGUCGGUGUAGGAGCUUCAACAUCGUCCAUGUGGACAAGACCGACAAUUGCAAAUGCAAGAUUGGCCGUAGAGAUCUUUGAUGGCACGGGCCAUUUUGGUAUGUGGCAAAGUGAGGUUCUAGAUGCCCUUUUUCAGCAGGGUCUAGACAUUGCCAUUGAUGAAGAGAAACCAGAUGAUGUACAGGAGAAAGAUUGGAAAGCGAUCAAUCGGUUGGCAUGUGGCACAAUUCGAUCAUGCCUUUCUCGAGAGCAGAGGUAUGCUUUUUCAAAAGAGACUUCUGUAAAUAAGUUGUGGGUGGCACUUGAAGAUAAUUUUUUGAAGAAAAACAGUCAAAAUAAGCUCCACUUGAAGAAAAGACUGUUUCGCUUCACAUACGUCCCAAGUACCACAAUGAAUGAUCACAUCACCAAAUUUAAUCAGUUAGUCACUGAUUUGCUGAAAAUGGAUGAGACAUUCAAAGAUGAAGAUUUGGCUUUGAUGCUGUUGGGGUCACUUCCUGAGGAGUUUGAGUUCCUAGAAACUACUCUACUUCAUGGCAGGAGUGAUAUAUCUCUGAGCGAAGUCUGUGCGGCCUUAUACAGUUACGAACAGAGAAAGAAGGACAAACAGAAAAACUCAAUCAGAGAUACAGAAGCUUUAGUAGUCCGAGGUCGUUCAUACACUCGGAAGAAAACUCAAAAUGGGAGAUCAAAGUUAAAGUCCAGACUCGGGAAAGAUGAAUGUGCUUUUUGUCAUGAGAAAGGCCACUGGAAGAAAAAUUGUCCAAAGCUGAAGAAUAAGGGAGAAGCUGCUGUAGAUGCUUGUGUUGCUAAGCAUGAUACUAGUGACUCUGAACUAUCACUGGUUGCAUCAUCAUCGUCAUUCCAUUCAGAUGAGUGGAUAUUGGAUUCGGGUUGUACCUAUCAUAUGUCCCCUAACCGGGAGUGGUUCUCUGAUUUAGUAGAACUAAAUGGAGGAGUUAUUUAUAUGAGCAAUGACAAUGCCUGUAAAACUGUUGGGAUAGGUUCAAUCCAAUUAAAGAAUCAAGAUGGAUCAACCAGAGUUCUGACUGAUGUUCGGUACGUUCCCAGUUUGAAGAAAAAUCUCAUCUCAUUGGGAGCCUUGGAAUCCAAUGGUUCAGUUGUUACUAUGAGAGAUGGGAUUUUGAAAGUGACAUCUGGCGCACUUGUGAUAUUGAAGGGCAUCAGGAAAAAUAACUUGUAUUACUACCAAGGUAGUACAGUUAUUGGAGCAGUCGCUACAGCUUCCGGUAACAAAGAAUUGGACUCAAUGCAGUUGUGGCAUAUGAAGUUGGGACAUGCCAGCAAAAAAUCCUUGCAAAUUCUGGCAAAGCAAGGAUUGUUGAAAGGUGCAAAGGCUUGCAAAUUAAAAUUUUGCGAGCAUUGUGUUCUGGGAAAGCAAAAGAGAGUGAAAUUCGGUACUGCUAUCCAUAAUACAAAAGGUAUUUUGGAAUAUGUUCACUCAGAUGUGUGGGGGCCUUCCAAGACACCUUCAUUGGGAGGAAAACACUACUUUGUUACUUUUGUUGAUGACUUUUCCAGAAGAGUUUGGGUGUAUACCAUGAGAACUAAGGAUGAAGUGCUUAGAGUUUUUUCUUAAAUGGAAAACUAUGAUCGAAAACCAGACUGGCAAGAAAAUCAAGCGGCUUAGGACGGACAAUGGAGGGGAAUAUAAAAGUGAUUCGUUCUUCGAUGUGUGCCAAGAGUAUAGUAUUGUUCGACACUUCACAGUUAGGGAUACACCACAACAGAAUGGAUUGGCAGAGCGUAUGAAUCGAACAUUGCUAGAGAAAGUUCGAUGUAUGUUGUCCAAUGCUGGGUUGGGCAAGCAAUUUUGGGCUGAGGCUGUGACAUACGCUGGCCAUCUUGUUAAUCGUUUGCCAUCAUCUGCAUUAGAAAGAAAAACUCCUAUAGAGGUAUGGUCUGGAAAACCGGCUACAGAUUAUGAUUCCUUACAUGUGUUUGGAACCACUGCAUAUUACCAUGUGAAGGAGUCAAAGUUAGAUCCGAGGGUAAAGAAAGCUCUCUUUAUGGGAAUCACUUCUAGAGUGAAGGGAUUUCGUCUUUGGUGCUUAAGCACAAAGAAAAUGAUCUGUAGCAGAGAUUUUACCUUUGAUGAAUCUGCCACAUUGAAAAAGGUAGCAGAUAAAGAUAUUCAGACGAGCAAUACUCCACAGCAGGUGGAGUGUACUCCAAAACAGGUGGAGUUUGAGCAGAUGAGGAUUUGCCCAGUUAAUAAGUCUAAUUCUCCAGCCACAAUAGAGGAAUUAGAGGUUGAAGAGGUUCUGACCCAAGAACCACUAAGUACACCAGAACCAGUUGCAGUUGCAAGGCCACGGAGAGAAAUUCGUAAACCUGCUCGAUUUACUGAUAUGGUGGCCUACGCCCUUCCCGUUGUUGAUGAUAUUCCUAUCACUUAUCAAGAAGCAAUGCAAAGCUUAGAAAGUGAUAAAUGGAAAAGCGCCAUGGAUGAAGAAAUGCAGUCUCUCCGAAAGAACAAUACUUGGGAGUUGGCGCAAUUACCGAAAGGUAAAAGGGCAAUCGGAUGCAAGUGGGUAUUCGCAAAGAGAGAUGGAUCUCCUAGCAAGAAGGAUAUUCGCUACAAGGCAAGAUUGGUAGCUAAAGGCUACGCUCAGAAGGAGGGAAUUGACUACAAUGAUGUAUUUUCCCCUGUUGUGAAGCAUUCCUCCAUUAGAAUUUUGUUGGCCUUGGUAGCACAGUUGAAUUUGGAGCUAGCUCAACUUGAUGUUAAGACGGCUUUCUUGCAUGGUGAGUUAGAAGAGGAGAUCUAUAUGACUCAGCCCGAAGGAUACACAGAUGCUGGUGGUAGAAAUUGGGUUUGUAAGCUUAACAAAUCGCUAUAUGGAUUGAAGCAAUCCCCGAGGCAGUGGUACAAGCGAUUUAAUAGCUUUAUGAGAAGGCAAAAGUACACAAGAAGCAAAUAUGACAAUUGUGUGUAUUUGCAGAAGCUGCAUGACGGAUCUUUCAUUUAUCUACUCUUGUAUGUUGAUGAUAUGUUAAUCGCUUCGAAGAGCCAAAAAGAGAUAGAUAAGCUGAAGGCUCAGUUGAAUCAAGAGUUCGAGAUGAAAGAUCUAGGUGAGGCCAAGAAGAUUCUCGGCAUGGAGAUAAGUAGAGAUAGACAGAGAGGCAAGCUUUGUUUGAAUCAGAAGCAAUAUCUGAAAAAGGUAUUACAAUGUUUUGGUGUAAAUGAAAACACAAAACAUGUAAGUACCCCACUUGUUUCUCAUUUGAAACUUAGUGCUCAAUUAUCUCCGAAAACUGAAGAAGAAAGAGAAUAUAUGGCAAAAGUCCCAUAUGCUAAUGCAGUUGGGAGUUUGAUGUAUGCGAUGGUGUGUACGCGGCCUGACAUUUCACAAGUUGUUGGAGUUGUGAGCAGGUAUAUGCAUGAUCCUGGAAAAGGACAUUGGCAAGCUGUGAAAUGGAUUCUACGGUAUCUUCGAAAAACCGUAGAUGUUGGUUUAAUUUUUGAACAGGAUGAAGCACUUGGUCAGUUUGUAGUUGGAUAUGUUGAUUUCGACUUUGCUGGUGAUUUAGAUAAACGUCGUUCAACUACGGGGUAUCUGUUUACUCUUGCGAAAGCCCUAGUGAGUUGGAAGUCUACCUUACAGUCUACAGUAGCUGUGUCUACUACAGAGGCAGAAUAUAUGGCAGUUACAGAAGCUGUUAAGGAGGCUAUUUGGCUUAAUGGAUUGUUGAAAGACUUAGGAGUUGUUCAAAGUCACAUAAGUUUAUAUUGUGACAGUCAGAGCGCUAUUCAUUUAGCGAAAAAUCAAGUCUAUCAUUCAAGAACCAAGCAUAUCGACGUAAGAUAUCACUUUGUGCGGAAAGUCUUUGAAAAAGGAAAAAUUCUACUUCAGAAGAUUCCGACAGCAGAUAAUCCCGCAGAUAUGAUGACCAAGGUGGUAACAACAAUCAAGUUUAAUCAUUGUUUGAACUUGAUUAACAUCCUGAGAAUUUGAGCACCUUCAGGUGUAUGGCGCUCGAGAGCGCAUUUGUAGGCACUACAAAAGAUAGCUUUAUCGAAUUUGGGGAGUUGAAGGAAGUGUGUGAAGAUGUGAUUAUCCUAAUCAAAUCUUCAAGGUGGAGAUUGUUAACAUUAAUGGAAGACAAUUAAUAAUGGUUGCCAUUAACAUUAAUGGGAGACAAUCAAUAAUGACAACCACCAACUUUGGAAAAGUGGCAAGGGAUAAUUUUUUUUGGUCCUUGAGAUAAUGGGCUAUUUAUUGUUUGGUCCUUGAACCUCAACUAUAAAUAGGCCUUCUCAUUUCUCAUUUCAAUUCAUCCCAACCAAUCUUUCUCUCUUAGUUUUCUCUCUUCUCCCAUUUGAGAAUUCUUAAGGAAUUCUAUUUGUUUGUAAUACUUUGAAGAUAGUAAAGUUAUCAUCUGGUGUUAGUGCCCGAGGACGUAGGUAUAAUUUACCGAACCUCGUUAAAACUCUUGUGUUCUUUCUUGUCCUAUUUUUCUUUCAAUAUUUGAGGGUAUAAUAGUAGUAUUUAAUUGUGCUAUUAAAUUACUAUAGAAGGGAUAUUCUGUCUAAGGAAAGACUUGGUAUUUAAGAGAUCCAUGUGAUCCACCUCUCUUCCCUGGGAAUUGAACUUUGUGUGAUUUUUAGUACAAUAAUUUACAUGCUUCCGACCCUAUUGGAACUACAAAUCUUUGUUCUUUCAUUGGGUUUCUUAUCUUCCUUUUACACAAUUAAAAACCCAUAUAUAAUUUUAAAAAUACUUUCAGGCUUCUUUGUCUUGCUAAUUUCUGUAGAAAAUUACUGGUCUAUCACUGCCCCAAAGGUUCCAGCAUUUGAAGCACAAGAUAUUGGCACAUCAUAUAAGUUCUAAAUUUGUCACCAACAACUGACAAAACUGAGUAGAAUUACAUUAAUUAUGCUUAACAUUACACUUCAGGCAUACAUGCAAUUAAAAGUAAAAUCGAAAUAACACUAAACAUACUCGGAGUCGGAGGUGAAGAGGCGGUUGAAAGAGCGCGGAUUAAAGAGAAGAGGACUGGCGAGGUGGCGGGUAUUGAGGGCAAUGGAUGAGUGUUUUGAGGUGGGUUUUGAAAGAGCGUCUGAGGGAAAGCGAUAGAAACAUGGUGGAAGAAAGGAAGAGUUAAUGGAAGGAAAAUUUUAGGGUUUUGUUCUUUGUAUGAGAUCAUUUCAUAGAAUUGAUUAAGAAAGGAAGCAUCUAAGGAAGGAAAGGAGCUUAUUAGUGUUGUUUUCCGGUUUGGAUGUUUGGUUUAUUUUAUUAUUCAAAAUUAAUUUUUUUAAAACAAUGAAACAAGUUAUUUGAACCAGAUGGGUUUGAGACUAGGUUUGAUUUUUCUUUCUAGAGUCAGAACAUAGGCUUGAUGUAUGAAUACUUUUAAUUACAAUUGUAUUUGAGCUGUGAUGAUAUUCAACUAAAGCCCUCUCAAUAAUAAUAACUCUAAAUUUAAACUUAAAAAUAACUUUGAGCUAAUCUUGAUCGAUUACUCCAAUCACACAACACGAAUAACUAAAGCUUCCUCAACCUCAACAAAUGUUAUAGUGUCAAGAUUGAACAAACUGUCUCCUAGUACCCUAUUGAUUAGGCAACUUUGAUGUUGAACAUCCCACAAAAACAUGAAAAAAAGAAAAGAAAAAGAAUCACAAUUAUAUUUAACUCAUGCAACAAGUUUCACCUUUUUUUUUGUGAGAAAAAGAUCAAGCCACUAUUAGGGAGUCUUGGGCUUCUAGUUGAAGCCUGUGAAUCAUUAGAAUAAGAAAAUUCAUGUAAUGCUUAUUGCCAAAUCACAAUCUCGUCAGAAUUGAGGUUUUUCAAAAACAAAACAAUUAACAAAUAUUUAUGGCCUGAAACCUUAACCUACCCUAAUAGAAAGGUAAAAGAACAAUGUGCUCAAUGGAUUUCACUUCUUCCCCACACCUCGGUCAAUGAGGAUCCACCUCCUUAAACAUUUUGGCAAUGUUUUGUUUAGUAGUAACACAUUGUGGCAAGACCUCCUAAGGAGAUUUUUGAUAUUUAUUAUCACAUUAAGCUCUCAUGAAUGAUUUAAACCUUUCUAAGACAAAUCAUUGUUAGCAUUUUAUCCGUUUGGGGCCGCAUAUGAGAGAGGUAGAGAAAAGAGUCACUCGUACCCAUAUCAAAUGUUGUAAGAUUCAUCUUCCGAAAAAUGCCACACAAAUUUAUCUCGCUUAGUAGGGGACCUAAUAAGGAUUUUCUCAAUAACCUUAUGUUUAUUUUGGCUAAAACAUUGUUGUAGUAAAUCGCUCUUCCAAAUCCACAAGUCCAGAUCAAUCAGGUCCUUAAACAAAAUAAGGCUUAUCUCAAAGGAGGAAAGGAUGGAAUAUAUUCAAAAAGAUUACAAGUCGAGGACCCAUUGAUCAUGUGAAACCAUAAUGUCCUAGUCACUUUUGAAUUCAAUUUGGUUGCAAGAUUUUUAGUUAAAUUAAUAAUUCAAAAUUUUAGUAGGUAUCUUUCAUGUCUGAUGUACGAUUUUUGAAGACUAAUCUUUUUAGGAUUCGUGGUUACCCCUUCCAACGAUAUUAUUAUAUCUAAGGUUUAAAUAUGAAUUUUUUUCUUAGGAAUACAAUAUGCCUCCCCUUCUCAAUUUUUGUUCAUUGUUAAUUGAUCAUUUAAAUAGGAAUGCAUUUGUUUUAAACCUUGGUAAUUAGUUGGGUCUAGUGAACUUUAGGAGCUUAUUCUAUGCAUGUAACUCCCAACAUCCAUUCUUAAGAAUUCGAUGAUUGAAAUAUUUGGUUUCAAAAUUACUUCAAUUGUAAUUAUUACUUGAUUGUGGUACAAAAUUUUUGUUACAAUGUUUAGAACUAUUUACAACUCCUCCUUAACAUUUAAUAAAAGGAUAAAGGCACUUUAGCACGCUUCAACCCACAUAUCCUUCUAUACUAACAACAAUGUUGAUACUAAAUUAAAACUCAAUUUAACAAUUGUACAUAUUUUUAGGUUAAAUAAAUUUUAAGUACACAUAUUGCUGUUGUGAUGUAAGUAUUUAGGAUAAAUCACUGCAUUGUUAGACAAAUUGACCCAGACUAUAAAUUGUAUAUACAAACAAAAUUAAAGAGCAUUGGUAAAAUGUACAAAAAAAAUUGAGUAACAUUCAAUAUUUAUAAUAAAUAAAACACAAAUAUAAUAUACAAAGCUUUGAUGCCUUGAAUCUUUAGGGCUCUUCAAGCAGCCUUUAAUUUUUGUGAUUGGAUGAGUCUUGGCUGCCGCAAAUUGAAGAAGAAAAAUAUAUAAAAGCAUUUCAGAACAAAUACACACAAAAUAAGCUUCUGCAUGUAAGAAACUUAUAUAAGUUCGUUUCGGGUUUCACAAGUUUAAUCUUUUUAAGUUUGAGAUUUUAAUUUUUGAAUUGCAUCAUUACUAAUAAAAUUAUUUUAAGUAUAAAUUAUUCAGAUUAUUUUGAAUUCAAAUAAAUGUUUUGUUUGAAUCAAUUUAUAUUUGGGCCAAUAAUAAAUGGGUUUAAAUAGCUGAUUUUUUAUGGUCAAAGUGAGUUAAUUAGUUAAAUUUUCGGAUUCAUGUUAGAAUUGACACAUUUAAUUAAAAAUAUUUAAGCAUUAAAAUAAUCAAAAAGUCCCUAAGUUCAACUUACGGACGAAAAUUUAUAUUUUUACUUAGACUUCCCGAUUUUUUCAAAUUCUUAAUUAAGCCUCACAAUAAGUAUUGAAAUUUUCAAAAUUUUCAAAAUUUUCAAAACUUGCCUUUAAUUUUCUCAAAAUUCUUGAUUAAAUCUCUUAAAUUUUAUUUUCGAAAAAAGAAUUUCAUUAAACACAAAAAAUUAAAUAGAUUGAAUCCAACAUCUAGGAGUUACAAAAUUCUCAUAAAUAACAAGAGUUUACAAAAAGACUAGUAAACAAAACUUACUUUUGUUGAUGUAUAGCAUAAUAAGUCUGCAAAGCACCAAGCAAAAGUGCAGUAAUGGCACCCACAAAUGCCAAAAACGUCCAAGGACUCCUAAAAUAAGUAUGAUAACCUUGAGCUGCAUGCUUAAUCCACGUAGUCUUACAAUGAUCAUGUAUUUUCCGUUUAACCCCACUGUAAAUCGGACUAGGAACCAAAUCAGUGUUCAUCUUAUUGAAAAGCUUAGCCACUUCUUCAUCACUCCCCAAUCUAUUGUAUAGUAUGCCGGCGUCUCUCAGGUCUUUAACAUCUUCGGCUUCAUCAAUCAAUAAAUCAAGGAAACACAUAUAUGAAGUGACGGUGAAAUCGUUGUCGAAAUCCGGACACAUUUCGUAAGCUAUUAAGUUCAUGGUUGAAUCAUCGACGGAGAUCGGCGGUAAACAUAAUUUUCCGACGAAUAAGAUACGGUUGAAACUGAUGUCGGUUAAACAACUUGUUUCGCUGGCUUUUAACGAUAUCCCGACUUUUUUAAGCUCUUUUACGUUAUGAAUGGUGUGUGAAUGGCACCAUUUUGUUCCUUCUUCUUUUCUACGUUCUUGUUCAUUUGAACACGGAAAACCCCACCGCCGUGGUUUUUCUUUUUUGAAAAGGAGUCUUACUCGUAGUAGAUGCAAUAAGUGAAUUCGCUCUCCUUGCUUCUACUUCCGCCACCAUUCAUCGGAGCAAAAUCUGUAUCAGUCGAAGCAAACCUAUAAAUUUUUUUGGGGUAAAUUACACUAACAGUCACUCAACUUUGGGGUAGCUAACAAAACAGUCACUCAAGUUUCAGUUCAGUCACUGAACUUCUAAAAAAUAACAAAAUAGACACUAAUGUUAUUGAAAAGUGAUAAAUCAGUCACUCAUUAACAAUUGUCAUCACAGGCUUAAUGUGGUCAAUUAACUAGUUGAUGUGACUAGUUAACUUGCCAUGUUGGACAAGUAGUCAAAGGGUCAAAAAGAAAAAAAGAUGAUUAGUUAAGGGUAAAAAGAAAAAUAAGAGAAAUGGAGAAGAAGAAGAAAAGGAGGAAGAAGGGAAAAUGGAAGUCAAAGGGUCAAAAAGAAAAGAAAAGAUGAUUGGUUAAGGGUAAAAAGGAAAAUAAGAGAAAUGGAAAAGAAGAAGAAAAGAAGAACAGGGUAGGAAGAAGGGAAAAUGGAAGGAGCUUCCAAGCUUCAUACCAACGAUUCCCAAGGGUCAAAAUCUGGGAAUUUGGAUUUUGAUCCUUGGGAAUUACUGUUACGAAGUCCUUCCAUUUUCUCCUCUUCUUCUUUUCUUCUUUUUCUCCAUUUCUUCUCUUAUUCUUCUUCUUUUUUUUGUUCUUCUACUGCCCAAACUUCUUAAAUGGGUUUGUUUAAAUGACAGCUAGCCUACCCUUAAAUGUCAUGUCACUUUUUCGUUACGUCUGUAACGAAAAAUGGUUAAAAAGACUGUUUUGUCAGCUACCCCAAAGUUGAGUGAUUAUUGCUAUAAUUUACCCUAUUUCUUAUUUGAAAUUGUAAAUUUUUAACCAGCUAAAUUUAAGGUUUUCAAAACCCAACUCGUUAAGUUAUCGAUUUAUAAUUCUAAUUGGUCUAAUGAAUUCAUCCGAUUAAUUAAAUUAAUUAUUAAAAAUUUUCCAUUUGAUUGCCCAAUUCAAUUAAUUUUUUUUGGUUCAACCUGUUCAUAUAGAUUCUCAAAUCAAUUGGUCCAAUGACUUCCUUCAGACUAAUACCUUAAUUAAUUUCCAAUCCAAAUCGAUUCAAAUAAUAUUGGCUAAAAUACAAUUUUUAUUAUUUUAUUAAUGCAAAAAUUUUACCAUUUUAAAGAUAUUAAAAUAUAAAAUUUCUAUUUUAAAAAGUUGGAUUUGAAAUCAUAAUUUUUUUUCUAAAGAAAUGUACACUCAACAGGACCAAAGGAAUUGGCAGGGAAAUUUUGUUUUAUGGACCGUUUUCAUCACAAAUGAUCUUAUCAAAUUAAAAGAGGAUAGAUCAUCUUUUUUUUCAUAUCAUAUAUACAUUGGGACUAAACUUCCAAAUAAAAAAUAAUGUGUCUUUUUUUAAUUGAGUGGGACCAUAGAUGAUGUGGUGAAAAUGGUCCAUUAAAUAAUUUAUCACAAGCAAGAGUAAUUCCAAAAAUAGAAAAUUACAUUUUAAUUCUUUAAAAAUUAUUAAAUUAUAAAUUUAUAUAUAAUAAAAUUACACUUUGACCCUCAAAAUGGAAAAAAUAUUUUGUUCAGUCUUUUUAAAAAAAUAUGAACUUAUAAAUCAAUACAUGAAAAAAUUUAAGGAUUCGACAAAACUUAUCGGUCAGGCUAGUUGUUGAGAAAAUUGAACAAGGUAUUGAUCCAGAAUAAGAGAUUAGAUUAGAUGAAUUGAGUCAUCGAAUGGAUUUUCUUUAUAUGUUUAAUAUAUCUUUAAUAUUUUCAAAAACUUAUAUAACUGAAUCGAAUAAACUAAUCAAUCAAAAUUAAGAGUAAUCAAUGUAAAAACCUUUUAACAUUUAUAACCUCGACAAAAUGAUUUUUUUAUUUAUUUUUAAAUUCCUUAAAUUACCUGUCCUCGGCUGGGGUGAUAACAGUGUCGUCGAUGAACCUUAUGAUUGCAUUCAUGAACUGUUCGCCAUCACUCGAGCUAGUAAGCAAUUCAAGAACACGAAAAGGUAUUUGGUUCUCCAACAAUAACAGAUCCGAGUACACAAAUGUAAGCAAAUCGUUUUUAAUAAACUGGCCAUAAAUUUUACAAAUAUCAUCACCGUAACGCAUAUAAACUGCUUGUAAAAUUGCGCAGCCGUCAACGAAGAACAUCCAAGCCAGUUUCUCGUCAUCGUCGCUAUACUUCUCUAAUUCCUGUGGAUCAUAGCAUUUCUUUAAGUCAUCGAUCGCUUUUUUCAUGUUGCUGUACAAGGAAUCCUUAUCGACCUUAAUGUUUUUGACGAAAUGUGCUGCUAAUUUGAGCUUGAGCUCCUUGGAUUCCUGGAGGGUGCGAUCAUCGUGGUGGAGUGGGCCGAUUGAGAUCACUUUCGGCCAGAAAUACUUCUUGAAAUCUUUGUUACGGCGAAGGGUUGAUGGGACUUUUCGGAUCAAUAGAUUGGAUUUGAAUUUGGGUUGGCCGCCCUCGAAAGCUUCGUCUAAUUUUUCGAGAUUCGCUAAUUCGCCACUGCUGAGUUGGACGUCGCCACUGCUGAGAGGGACGUCCGUGCACCGCAUAUCAAUGCUCACGGAAUCGUUGUUGGUGUUGUUGUUGAUGGUUGUUUGAUCAGUGGAAACUGCUCCGACGGCGCCGCCUCCUUCCUCCGUGGACGACAUUUUCAGGGUGAGCGGUUGGAAGUAAUAAACAAGGUGAUUUUGUAAACUGUUCUUGGCUGAGUGAGUGAUGUCGGAGAAAAGGUGGCAAAAUGGCUACGAUGAUGACAAAUAUUUUAUAGCUUACAUAAUAAACAAAUAUGGGAAAUACUUGAGGUGUAAUUUAAAUUUACCCCUUAGUGUUUAUAUUUUUACUAAUAUAAUUUUUAACUUUUAAUUUUUUAAUUAAAUUUAAUUUUCUUUUGAAAGAGUCAAUCUUAAAAAAGAAAAGUUAAAUUAAUGUUUUUUUAACAAAAAUAGUGACAAAUAUAAUAAUUGUCCUUAAGAAGCUAAGACCCUAUGAUUGGGACAUUUACAACACUUAAUAAAUUUCAUACACUUAAAAAUAGCUCCAUGCUUCUUUACAUAUAAUAAUUGCAUUUGUUAUUCUACCUAACUCUUGAAAAAUCUCAAAUUUGCAACCACAUAUUAUUCACAUGCCAACCAACCAAUUUAUUACCCACAUGCCAACCAUUUUUUUUAUUGAAGUUAUUGUACUUAUAACCUUUCACAUAUAACUAUGCUUCUUUAGAUAUGCUAAUUGCAUUUAUUGUUGUACCUCACUCGUGAAAAAUCUCAAACUUGCAACAAAAUAUUAUUCACAUGCCAACCAACCACUUUUUUUAUUGAAGUUAUUAUACUUAUAAGCUUUAUGCUUAUUGUAACACUCUAUGUUUGAUUCGAUCUACAGGACACUAUAGUUAUUGUCAGAGCAACUACAGUCAGAAUUACGAAAAGAUAAUUUGUAUUUAACAUCAAUCAUGAUGCAAUUACAGUAACACAUCAAUUAUGAGCUUUAAUCGAGCUUACGAAAGCUUUUUUGGCAGUUCGAGCAAGAAUUAGGACCAAACAGUAAAGAUUUGAAAAGUUUGGAGCGACUUCGUGACUUCAGCUUUUUCUCAUCGCAACAUGACCAUCUCAGUGUGUCACAUCAUAACGAAAAGCCUAUGCUCAUCACAACGAGACUCUCUGACUUGACAAUGUCACAAUGUCAAGAUUUGUAGUCGUGACGUGGACCCUAUAUUUGGCAAAAAUAUACAAUUUGGUACCUAAUUCAAUGCUCCAACUAAAAUCAUGCAAGAAAAAUACAUUACAUGCCAUUUCUAAAUAACUUAAAACUUACCUAAAACAUGCUAAGUAAGUUCAAACAUAUCAUUUCAAUUCCAUAGCAAUUCAUAUUACCAUUUCAUCAUUUAUAUUCAACUUUUCAAUAACUUACACUAAAUAUCAACAAGUUAUACAAACAUCUACCAUUACCUUUAUCAUGCCAUAAUGAAUCAUUCCAUUUCAAACAAUCAUCACAUUAGUUCUUUUAUUUUUCUUUUUUAGUCAACAUAUGAAAACCAACUUAGAUAGAUCACAUUCCAACUUUCCAAAUGCAUCAAAUAUUUCAUAUUCAUGUACUAACAAAGAUCAUGCCAAGAACCCACAUGCAAAGUCAUUAUAUACCACAUUUAACUCAACAAGACUUUUACACAACCAAAGAUUACUCCAAACGUUUAUAUGCAUGUCGCAAUCCUUGACUCAAAGAUAAUAAAAAAAACCGAAUUGACAAUAGAAUAGUGUAAGCUUCAAACGAUCCAACCGACAUGUUCCACAAUGUAACAACCUAAAAGGAAAAAGAAAACAAUGGGGUAAGCAUAUAAGAUGCUUAGUAACUCAUAUGUAAUCUAAACCUUACCUAGAUUAAUUGAACAUAAACAAUUACUCAAUAAGCUAUCAAAUUUAUUUUUCCAUGGCACUUAGAUAUCGUACAUGUAACAAUAUUUCAAGUCGAAAAUGUUAAAUACAAUGUUGAAUCAUUAUGUCUUCUUUUCGUAAGUUUCACUUAUAGAAAUACAAUAUAGGUUCAAGUACAAAUAUAUGUCUCGAUUAAUCUAGAAAGAACUAGACAAAAUCCACACAUGAUAAACGCAUAUAAUGAGUGUGAGACUCACACAUCACAAUUGAGAAUAAUAUUAUAGAACCAAAAUACUCAACAACCCAAAACCUUUGCGUUAACCAAGAAGCUAAGACCCUAUCAGAGGGAGAAUUUUAUAUCUACAACACUUAUUAAAUUUCAUUAGCUUAAUAAUAUAUAUUCAAAUAUUUAACAUUGUAACCAUGCUUCUUUUCAUAUAGUAAUUGCAUUUGUUAUUCUACCCAACUUAUGAAAAAUCUCAAAUAUAUAUUUUCAUUUUAUUACUUAAAUUAUUAUUACUUACUUUAAUAUUUAAAUUAUCAUUAUAUUACAUGAUUUGUUCCAAAUAUUUAACAUUGUAACGAUGCUUCUUUAAAUAUAGUAAUUGCAUUUGUUAUUCUACCUAACUCAUGAAAAAUCUCAAAUUUGCAACAUGUUAUUCACAUGCCAACCAACCAAUUUAUUAUUCACAUUCCAACUUUCUAAAUGCAUCAAAUAUUUCAUAUUCAUGUACUAACAAAGAUCAUGCCAAGAACCCACAUGCAGAGUCAUUAUAUACCACAUUUAACUCAACAAGACUUUUACACAACCAAAGAUUACUCCAAACGUUUAUAUGCAUGUCGCAAUCCUUGACUCAAAUGAUAAAAAAAACACCAAAUUGACAAUAAAAUAGUGUAAGCUUUGAACGAUCCAAUCGACAUGUUCCACAAUGUAACACCUAAAAGGAAAAAGAAAACAAUGGGGUAAGCAUAUAAGAUGCUUAGUAAACUCAUAUGUAAUCUAAAACUUACCUAGAUUAAUUGAACAUAAACAAUUACUCAAUAAGCUAUCAAAUUUAUUUUUCCAUGGCACGUAGAUAUCGUAUAUGUAACAACAUUUCAAGUCGAAAAUGUUAAAUACAAUGUUGAAUCAUUAUGUCUUCUUUUCUUAAGUUUCACUUAUAGAAAUACAAUAUAGGUUCAAGUACAAAUAUAUGUCUCGAUUAAUCUAGAAAGAACUAGACAAAAUUCACAUAUGAUAUAGGCAUAUAAUGAGUGUGAGACUCACACAUCACAAUUGAGAAUAAUGUUAUAGAAAACCUUUGCGUUAAGCAAGAAGCUAAGACCCUAUCGGAGGGAGAAUUUUAUAUCUACAACACUUCUUAAAUUUCAUUAGCUUAAUAAUAGCUAUUCAAAUAUUUAACAUUGUAACCAUGCUUCUUUUCAUAUAGUAAUUGCAUUUGUUAUUCUACCCAACUUAUGAAAAAUCUCAAAUUUGCAAUUUAUUAUUCACAUGCCAAACAACCAAUUUAUUAUUCCAACCAACCAAUUUAUUAUUCACGUGCCAACCAAUUUGUUUUAUCGAAGUUAUUAUACUUAUAAGCUUUCACAUAUAACCAUGCUUCUUUACAUAUAUUAAUUGCAUUUAUUGUUGUACCUCAUGAAAAUUUUCAAAUUUGCAACAACAUAUUAUUCGCAUGCCAACCAACCACUUUUUUUUAUUGAAGUUAUUAUACUUAUAAGCAUUCACAUUUAACCAUGCUUCUUGUAACACUUUUCAUUGGAUCCAAUCGUUGGGUCCGAUCUACAAGACGCUAUAGUCAUUGUCAAAGCAACUACAGUCGAAAUUACGAUAAGAUAAUUUUCAUUUAAACAUUAAGCAAGAUUCAACUACAGUAAUACAUUAAUUAUGAGUUUUAAUCGAGCUUACAAAAGCUUUUUUGGUAGUUCGAACAAGAAUUAGGACCAAACUAUAAAGAUUUGAAAAGUUUGGAGCGACGUCACAACUUCAGCUUUUCCUCAUCGCAACAUGACCAUCUCAGUAUGUCACAUCAUAUCGAAAAGCCUAUGCUCGUCGUGGCGAGACUCUUUGACUUGGCAAUGUCGCAAUGUCAAAAUUUGUAGCCGUUAUGUAAACCCUAUAUUUGACAAAAAUAUACAAUUUGGUACCUAAAUCAAAGCUCCAACUAAAAUCAUGCAAGAAAAAUACAUUACAUGCCAUUUCUAAAUGACUUAAAACUUACCUAAAACAUGCUAAGUAAGUUCAAACAUAUCAUUUCAAUUCCAUAGAAAUUCAUAAAACUUACCUAAAACAUGCUAAGUAAGUUCAAACAUAUCAUUUCAAUUCCAUAGCAAUUCAUAUUACCAUUUCAUCCAUUGUAUUCAACUUUUCAAUAACUUUAACUAAAUAUCAACAAGUUAUACAAACAUCUACCAUUACCUUUAUCAUGCCAUAAUGAAUCAUUUCAUUUCAAACAAUCAUCACAUUAGUUCUUUAAUUUUUCUUUUUUAGUCAACAUAUGCAAACCAACUUAAAUAGAUCACAUUCCAACUUUCCAAAUGCAUCAAAUAUUUCAUAUUCAUGUACUAACAAAGAUCAUGCCAAGAACCCACAUGCAAAGUCAUUAUAUACCAAAUUUAACUCAACAAGACUUUUACACAACCAAAGAUUACUCCAAAUGUUUAUAUGCAUGUCGCAAUCCUUGACUCAAAUGAUAAAAAAAAACUACCAAUUUGACGAUAAAAUAGUUUAAGCUUAAAACGAUCCAACUGACGUGUUUUUUUUUUUGCUCAAUCAAGAUAUUAUAGCUUUCAGCAUUUGUAGAAAUGCUAGCAUUCUACAAAUACAAGAUAACCCUUUCCCAAGAUCAGCAAACCGAGCACAAUCAAGUUGAGCCGACGUGUUCUGCAAGGUAACAACCUAAAAGAAAAAAAGAAACAACGGGAUACGCAUAUGAUAUGUUUAGUAAGCUCAUAUGGAAACUAAAACUUACCUAGAUCAAUUGAACAUAAAAAAUUACUCAAUAAGCUAUUGAAUUAAUUUUUCCUUGGCACUUAUAUACAUAUAGUACAUGUAACAACAUUUCUGUUAAAGAAAAGUAAUUUGACUUUUUUUCUGAAAAGUUAAUGGCUAAAUUUAGCUCAAAUAAAAAAGAAAAAACAAAAGCCAAUUUGGCAGAAAAUAUAAAUAUUGAGGAUAAAAUUUAUCAUUAUGUCUUUUUUUUUUAAGUAAUUAUUUGUGGUGGGCCAUCAUGUUUGACAAUGAUUUUUAAAUACUGUGUUAAUUGUAUAUAGCACAUCAUGUUUGACAAUAAUUUUUAAAGACUUUUAAACAUCGCGUUAAUUGUUUAUGGCCCAUUGCCCAUAUUGCUUUUAUUAAAUUUUGGGUAAACUUCAAGUUAAUCAUUUAAUUUUUAUAAAAUUUCACUUUGGUGAAAAAAAAAUUGUAUGGGAUGGGAGUCUCAGGAUAAAACAAAAAUUAGGAUAAAUGUAAUGCUGAAAUGAAUAUACUGGGAAUCUUUAAUGUUUAUGGCCAAACCCCACCUCUCCUAUCCUAUACUUCAUCUAUAAUAAUGGUUCUUGGCUUCUUCUAUUCUAUACCUCAAUUAUUUGGAUUAGAUUGAAAAACAAUUGACACUUGAUUUGAUUGUGAAAGAAGUUUUAGUUUAAUGAUAUGAUUGAGUUAAAAUUUAAAUUUAUAAUAUUUAACUUGAGUGUGAGUGAAUUUUUGACUUAAUUCAAAAUUUAAAAUAAUAAGUUCGAGUUUUAUUUAAUUAUGUGUGUAUAUCAUGUAUAAAUUUUAUUUAAAUUUAUUUUGAUUUAAUUCUCAUACUAUAUAUUCUUAAUUAAAUUCGGAAUAUAUUUUAAUUAUCAAUUUAAUUAUACAUUAUAACGAUGGAUUUGGAUAACAAAAUUCAGUUUACAAAAAGACAAAGUAAAGAACACUUACUUCGGUUGAUGUAUGGUAUAAUAAGUCUGCAAAGCACUAAGAGUAAGUGCAGCAAGGGCACCCAAAAAUGCCAAAAACGUCCAAGGCCUCCUAAAAUAAGUAUGAUAACCUUGAGCUGCAUGAUUAAUCCACAUAGUCUUACAAUGAUUAUGUAUUUUCUCUUUAACCCCACUGUAAAUCAUCUGACUAGGAACUAAAUCAGUGUUCAUCUUAUUGAAAAGUUUAGCCACCACUUCAUCACUCCCCAAUCUAUUGUAUAGUAUACCGGCGUCUCUUAGGUCUUUAACAUCUUCGGCUUCAUCGAUCAAUAAAUCAAGGAAACACAUAUAAGAAGUGACGGUGAAAUCGUUGUCGAAAUCCGGACACAUUUCGUAAGCUAUUAAGUUCAUGGUUGAAUCAUCAACGGUGAUUGGCGAUAACCGUAAUUUUCCAAAGAAGAUAUGGUUGAAACUGAUGUCGGUUAAACAACUUGUUUUGCUGCCUUUUAACAGUAUCCCGGCCUUUUUAAGCUCUUUUACGUUACCAAUGGUGUGUGAAUGGUGCCGUUUUGUUCUUGCUUCGUUGCUAGAUCCGUGUUCAGUGAUUGACCACAAACGGCACCACCACGGUUUUCCUUUUCCUACAAGGAGUCUUACUCGUAGUACAUUCAAUAAGUGAAUUCGCUCUCCUUGGUGCAGCUCCCACCACCAUUCACUACACCAAAAUCUGUGUUAGUCGGAAGCCAAGUUAUAAUUUAUCUUUUCAUUUUUUUCUUUUUGUUUGGAUUUGCAAUUGUUAAUUUUCAUGAAGCUAAAAUUAAUAUUUUCAAAAUAGAUAAUUCAACGAUUAAGUUAUUGAUUUAUAAAUUUCAAUUUAUUUGAUUUAAUUAAAUAAAUUAUUAAAAAUUUCGAUUCAAUAACACGGUUUAAAUAAAAAUUUUUACUCUAUUCAUAUAAAUUUUUAAAUCGGCCCGUCUAAUGACUUUCUCCUAAUUGAUGUCUCAAUUAAUUUUCAAUCCAAAUCGAUAUUAGCUAAAAUACAAUUUUUUAUUAUUGUAUUAAUGCAAAAAUCUUACCAUUUUUAAGAUAUUAAACUUUUCCAUUUUGGAAAGUUGGAUUUGAAAUCAUAAUUUUUCAUUUCUAAAUAAUGUACACUCAACAGGAUAAAUGCAAACCGACAGGCAGGGGUCGUUCCCAAGAAAUAAAAAUUUACACUUUAAUCCCUUUAAAAAUUAUUAAAUUAUAAUAAGUCAUCAAAUUAAAAAGAAAAAAAUUUAAGGAUCAGACUAUACUUGUUAAUCAGGUUAGUUAGAUAAAAAAUCGAGUAAAAUUAGAAUUAGACUAAUUGAAUCAAAGAAUCGAAUCACUUUUUUUAUAUUUUUAAUAAUUUCAAAAAAUUAUAUAAUUAAACUGAAUCAACUUAUAAUCCAGAAAAGAGAGUCUAAUAUUUUUAAUAAUUUCAAAGAUUCCAUCACCCAUCUAGUUAUAAAAACCUUUUAACAUUUAUAAACUCCACAAAAAUGAUUCUUUAAUUCCGUAAAUUGGCACAAGAUGCGCCCCAUGGAGGUCUAUCGAUUAGAUGGGGGACAUUUAGCCCACAAGAACUGGCCUGAUUCGGAGAGCUACUAAAGAAGCCUAUCAGAUUAAAGCCUGGUUGGCCCAAUGAUGAAGACAUGACAACUUAGGCAAUUUUGGUAACUAAUCUUAGAAGAUAGAAUAGAAUCAUAUCUUGUAAGAUUAGAUUAGAUUUGAUAUGGCAAAUCUUGUAAAUCCCUAAAAUCAAGGGAUAUAGUGAAUCUCAUCCGUCGAUGUACAUGUAUCUUGAUCGUCGGUUCUGGGGGAGCUCAACUAUAAAUAGAGAGCCUCCCCCUCACUUGUAAAUCAUCCAUUGUAGCUUGAAUUCUUAAGAGUAAUAGAAUUCUUGAGCAUUUACUCAAACACUUUGUGAGCUUUCUUUCUUUAGCUUUCUGUUGUUCUCUUGUGGCUUCUUUUGGCACAAUCGCUUCCGCUAUACAAAUUGGUGCCUUGGAGGAGUUCUAAAAGAAUCCUCUCUUUUGGGAGUUAAGGCUGACUUGGGCAAGUUUGGAUGAACGGAUCGCCUAAGGCCGUACGGAUUGCGAGACGAAAGGUCUAGCCCCGUGACAAGUGGUAUCCGAGCCAAGUUUUGAACCAAGUUAUAUUCGAGUGGUUCGAAGGCACUGUUGGGAUGUCGAAAGAAGUCGUCGGUCAGAGUGAACCAAUGGAGACCCGUGGGAGGGCUAGAAAAGCCAAUCACUCGAGGGAAAUGCUGACAGCUUUGGAGAACCGAGUGGUCAAUCUCGAGGAAUCCGUAGGAAAUGUGAAAGAGACGCUUGAAUUGGUCGAGGGACGCACAGAUGGGUUGGACUCAAUGGAGGAGCAACUCAGAGAUUUUGUGUUGGAUUCUCUUGGUGCAAAUAGGGAAAAGAUAACGGAAUUACUCGAGUCCACUGAGGUAAAGCUAGCAGAGAGGGAUGAAGCUCUCGAGGAUAUGGUGCUAGCCAUGCAAAAAGAAAUGGAGGAGCUUAAGGGGGAGCUCACGAUCUACAAAGCCGCUUUGAGUAAUGGGAUGUUGUCUUCAAGGCCGAAGCAACAAGCAAUGGAUGUGAAUCAAAAUUGGGAUGCUGAUGAUGAUCGUGGAAGGACACAGGAACGACAUCCUCGUGAUAAAUUUAAGGGUAGAUUGAAGUCUUCAAAUAGAGGUAAAACUUGUAACUUCUGCAAAAAGAAAAGACACGUUAAAUCUGAGUACUAUAAGCUACAUAACAAUAUCAAAAGGGGGGCUGUGAAUCAAAAUGGAAAACAACUAGAAAAUUUUGGUAAAGUUGAUGUUGUAGAAAACUACAACGAUGGUGAACUUCUAGUUGCUUCUGCCAACAAUUCUAAAGUUAGCGAGGAGUGGAUCCUUGAUUCGGGCUGCACCUUCCACAUAAGUCCCAAUUGGGAUUGGUUUACAACUUACAAAACAGUGUUUGAAGGUGUUGUUUUAAUGGGAAAUAAUACUUUAUGUUGAAUCAUAGGUGUUGGAAGAAUUAAAGUUAAGAUGUUUGAUGGAGUUGUCAGAACACUUAGUGACGUACGACAUGUUCCAAAAUUUAAGAGAAAUUUAAUUUCGUUGAGUACUCUUGACUCAAAAGGGUACAAAUAUACAGCUAGAAGUGGGGUUUUGAAGAUUUCCACAGGUUCCCUCGUUGUGAUGAAUGGGUAGAGAAAGACUACCAAGUUAUAUGUUUUGCAGGGUUUUACUGUUACUGGUGAUGCAACUGUCGCAUCCUCUUCUUUGUCAAAUGAUGAUAUUACUAAACUAUGGCAUAUGUACCUAGGGCAUAUGAGUAAGAAUGACAUGGUAGAAUUGAGCAAAAGAGGACUUCUUAAUGGGCAAGGAAUUUGCAAACUGAAAUUCUGUGAGCACUGCAUUUUUUGGAAGCAAAAGAGAGUUCGAUUCACUAGAGGAAUCCAUAACAUGAAAGGAAUGUUAGAGUAUAUUCAUUUUGAUUUUUGGGGGCCAUCUAGAGUGCAUUCGAGAGGUGGAGCUAAUUAUAUGCUAACUUUUAUUGAUGAUUUUUCCAGAAAAGUGUGGGUGUUCUACCUGAAGCAGAAAAGCGAUGUGUUUUUCACUUUUGAGUCUUGGAAAACUAUAAUUGAAAAACAGACGAGAAAACAAAUAAAAUACCUCCGCACAGAUAAUGGCUUAGAGUUCUAAUCUGAUGAGUUUAAUAAACUGUGUAAGUCAGAAGGGAUAGUGAGACACUUGACAGUUCGUCAUACUCCACAGUAAAAUGGUGUUGCAAAAUGAAUGAACAAAACUAUCAUGGAGAAGGUUCGAUAUAUGUUGUCAAAUGCCAACUUACCAAAGUCAUUUUGGGCCGAAGCAGCCUCUACUACAUGUUUUUUAAUCAACUGAUCUCCAUCUGUUGCCAUUAAGAAAAAGACUCCACAAUAGGUAUGGUUUGGUAUUCUUGCUAACUAUUCUGAUUUAAAGAUUUUUAGGUGUCCUGCAUAUGCUCAUGUUGAUAAUGGAAAAUUGGAAUCGAGAUUCAUUAAAUGUAUUUUUCUUGGUUAUAAAGCUGGUGUAAAAAGGUAUAAGUUAUGGUGUCCUGAAAAUAGAAAAGUUGUGAUUAGCAAAGAUGUUGUUUUUGAUGAAACUGCUAUGCUACCUAACUUAUCUCUUAAAGACUCUUCCAAUAAAAAAAAAUCAAAAGCAGGUGGAGCAUCAGAUUAAUCCAGAACCCACAACAGAGUCAACUCCUCAAGCCAGUACAAAAAUUCAAAAUAGAGUUGCUUCUUCACCAUAAUACUCAAUCGCCAAAAACAAAACUAGAAGAGAAAUUAAACCUUCAAAGAAGUAUGCCGAGGCUGAUUUAGUUGCUUAUGCUUUAAAUGUGGCUGAAGAUAUAGAUGCAAACUAAGAGCCAUCUAAUUAUUCUGAUGCUUAUGCUUUAAAUGUGACUGAAGAUAUAGAUGCUUUAAAUUUCGGGAGUGGACUUCACAGAUAUGUUUUCUCCAGUUGUGAAGUAUAGGUCUAUUCGAGCUUUUGUUGGUAUUGUGGCAAUGCAUGAUUUGGAGUUUUUACGUGUAAAAACUGCUAAUUUAUUUUCGUCCCCAAAACAUUUUUGGCUUAUACCUUGAAUGUGGAUCAAAAAAGAAAGUCUAGAGACUGAUAAGUGCUAAAAGUAACAUGUUUUAAUCUCAUUUUUAGUGUGUUUUUGGAUAAUUAUUCGAUUUAAAAUGGUGAAAUUUAUGCUCCUAAUCCUUUAAUUUAUGUUUCUAUACUUAGGAAAGGAUUUGGGAGCAAAAGGAACGAAAAUCGAAAAAUUGGAGCAAGUUUCAAGAGACAACUGGUUGGGCCAUUCUACAUGGCCAGGACACACGGCCGUGUGAGCUACACAGGCUUCCACACAGCCAAAUGCCAGACCAUGUGCAAAUCACAAAUCGCACUCCAAACCUACAGGAAAGCACAUUUUUUUAGGUAAGCAUAUUUUAUAGGUUUUUCAGGCAUUCUAAGACUUAUAUAUGAAAAAAAUAAGAAGAUGGGAGGGAACCGCCAUAGAAUAUUGAAGAAACAAAACUCAAAAAACACCAUUAAAGCUGACUCUGAAGCAGAUUUUCAUCAAGAUUGAAGAUCUCCUUUUGAUUUCUUUGAAGUUUAUUAUGAGUUCCUUUAUUUCUUGUGGUUAUCCUGUUUUUAGGAUGUUUUUAUUUGCUAUCAUGAACUAAUUUUCUAAAUACCUAUAGAGAUGAACCCUAGGAUGGAUUCUGUUAUUUGAUUUCUAUUUUUAUGCAAUAAAUACUUGAAUCUUGUUCUAAAUUUUGAGUGUUUAACUAUUGGUUUAAUAUUUCUAGGCUACUAGUCCAUGUUUGAUGUGCUUAAAUCAGAGGAUGGAUAGACCUAUUUAAGAGUAGAUCUAGCGUAAUUGAGUGAAGUUGCAUACAAUCUUAGAAAUAGGAUGGCAUAAAUAUACCAUAUUAGAGUCAAAUCUAAUAGGGGGAUCCAUAGAUCGAAUUAAUGUGAUAAUAGGAGUUUUAAUUAAAAAGAAAUUUCAAUUAAUCAGCCUAGAGUCAGUUGCUCUUAGUCUUGAAGAGAGAUAUUAUAAUAUUUAGGGAUUUCUAUGGAUCAAGCUACUAGUACUUUUACUAUGAAUCUCUUAGAAAAGAGUUGAAUUAAUAUUUUUUAACAAAAUAGUGACUGAAAUAUUAAAUUUUAAACAUGAUAACUCAUAUGACAAUCUACGUGUAUAUGUUUUCUUAUUUUAAAAUUAUUUGUUGACGUGGUAUAUAAGAAAAGUCAUGUUAUGUUAGCAUGAAAUGCACAUGGAUUGUCACACGAGUUGUAACACGAGCACUGUUAAAAAUUUAAUGUUUUAGUCAAUAUUUAUGUUAAAGAAAAGUAAGUUGACUAUUUUUUGAAAGGUUAAUGGCUAAAUUUAACUCAAAAUAAUAAUAAUAAAGAAUAGAGACUAAUUUCACAAAAAAUGUAAAUGUCAAAGGCUAAAUUUAAAAUUCUUAAAUGAUGACAUGACAUAAUCUCAAAGUGUCACGCUAUCACUCUUUGAUAGAAUUCAAGUUCAUGGACUAAAUCAAAAAAAAAUUGUUAAGUUCUGUUAUUAACCAUUUCUUUGUUCUUCAUUUUUUUCCUUUUGCUUUUUAGGUUCCAUAAUAAAAAAAUGGAUGGGAAAUUUCUAAAAUCAUUAGAAACAAGAAAAUAUGAUCUCAAAUCCAAUAAAUUACCCAAUCAAGUUACAGAGACUUAGGACCUGGCUAUGGGUGAAUUCAUCCCCUACAUUUUAGUAGGCACAGGUGGAUUUCAAGAACACAAAUAAUUAAAUUGGCUAAAUUUAUUCAUAUCCACCAAAUUAUUGGAAUUUUCAAAUAUAUUCAAAAAAUUAGAAGAGACAUUGGAUGAAACCACAAACAAAAUCAAAUUGAAAGAAAAGCAAAAUGACAUGGAAGGAGUAAAAGAAAAUAUGACUAAAUUGCCUGAAAAAUUAGCACGUAUGUUAAGCAACAUUAAUGAUAAAACACAUAGGAUACAACAACUACAUAUUUUUCACAUGCCAACCAACCAAUUUAUUUUUGUCCUUUUUGGUGUAAUUAAGGUAAAAUGAAUUUAAUUAUCUUUCAUAGAGUAAAUAAUCUUACCAACCAACCAACAACCAAUUUAUUAUUCACAUGCCAACCAACCUAUCUAUUUUUGUCCUUUUUGGUGUAAUUAAGGUAAAAUAAUCAGAUCCUAAGAGAUUGUUUGCAAGUCAAGUUAAACAAAAUAUAUCUUCUUUCUAGAAGAUUUAGUAUUUAUGAGUAUAAUAUAUUUAGCAUUUAUUAGCAUAAUAUAUUUGACUUUGAUUAGAAUUAGAUUUUUUUCAACCUAUAAAAGAUAUAAUCGAAACUCCUCUUGAAAUCAUUCGAAUUCGACAUAGUGAAUUUUCUUUUCCUCUGCCGGUGGUUUUUUACCCGAACGGGUUUCGACGUAAAAAUUUGUGUGCUUUUUAUUUUAUUUUUCUUUUCUUUGUGAUAUAUUAUCAUUGCUGACGUUCUAUUUUUUACAAAUUGGUAUCCGAGCUUCCAGGUUGUUCAUCUCAAUCAUGGUAAUGGCGUCUUUAAAGUUUGAAAUUUCACUGUUGGAUCGCAACACUAGAUUUGUGUUGUGGCAGAUAAAGAUGCAAGUAGUUCUUGCACAGAUGGACUUAGAGGAAGCCUUGCUGUGGUAGAUAAGAUGCCUUCAACAUUGACGGUGGAAGAGAAGAAGCGCAAGGAUCGAAAGGCGUUAACACAGUUACAUCUGCAUUUGUCUAACGAAAUUUUACAGGAUGUGAUAAAUGAGAAGACCGCCGCUGGAUUAUGGAAGAGGUUGGAACAAAUAUGUAUGUCGAAAACUCUAACUAGCAAGCUGCAUAUGGAGCAGCGUCUUUAUGCUCAUUGUUUGGAGGAAGGUGUAUCUGUGCAUGAACACUUAACAGUGUUUAAAGAAAUUCUCUCAAGCUUGGAGGCCAUGGAGAUUUAGUAUGAUAGGGAAGAUCUAAGGUUGAUUCUACUUUAUUCGUUGACCCCGUCUUAUUCAACCUUUAGAGAUAUGAUUUUAUAUAACCGCUAGUCUCUCACAGUUGAUAAGGUUUAUGAUUCUUUAACCUCGUAUCAUAAGAUUAAGUAUCUUGUUGUUAAAAUCAACUCUUAGGGAGAGGGUCUCAUGGUUCGUGAGAGACACAAUCGGGAUGUUGAUGAUGAUCGUGGAAGGACACAGGAAUGACAUCCUCGUGAUAAAUUUAAGGGUAGAUUGAAGUCUUCAAAUAGAUGUAAAACUUGUAACUUCUGCAAAAAGAAAAGACACGUUAAAUCUGAGUACUAUAAGUUACAUAACAAUAUCAAAAGGGGGGUUGUGAAUCAAAAUGGAAAACAACUAGAAAAUUUUGGUAAAGCUGAUGUUGUAGAAAACUACAACGAUGGUGAACUUCUAGUCGCUUCUGCCAACAAUUCUAAAGUUAGCGAGGAGUGGAUCCUUGAUUCGGGCUGCACCUUCCACAUAAGUCCCAAUUGGGAUUGGUUUACAACUUACGAAACAGUGUUUGAAGGUGUUGUUUUAAUGGGAAAUAAUACUUUAUGUUGAAUCAUAGGUAUUGGAAGAAUUAAAGUUAAGAUGUUUGAUGGAGUUGUCAGAACACUUAGUGACGUACGACAUGUUCCAAAAUUUAAGAGAAAUUUAAUUUCGUUGAGUACUCUUGACUCAAAAGGGUACAAAUACACAGCUAGAAGUGGGGUUUUGAAGAUUUCCACAGGUUCCCUCGUUGUGAUGAAUGGGUAGAGAAAGACUACCAAGUUAUAUGUUUUGCAGGGUUUUACUGUUACUGGUGAUGCAACUGUCGCAUCCUCUUCUUUGUCAAAUGAUGAUAUUACUAAACUAUGGCAUAUGUACCUAGGGCAUAUGAGUAAGAAUGACAUGGUAGAAUUGAGCAAAAGAGGACUUCUUGAUGGGCAAGGAAUUUGCAAACUGAAAUUCUGUGAGCACUGCAUUUUUUGGAAGCAAAAGAGAGUUCGAUUCACUAGAGGAAUCCAUAACAUGAAAAGAACGUUAGAGUAUAUUCAUUUUGAUUUGUGGGGGCCAUCUAGAGUGCCUUCGAGAGGUGGAGCUAAUUAUAUGCUAGUUUUUAUUAAUGAUUUUUCCAGAAAAGUGUGGGCGUUCUACCUGAAGCAGAAAAGCGAUGUAUUUUCGCUUUUGAGUCUUGGAAAACUAUGAUUAAAAAACAAAAGGAAAACAAAUAAAAUACCUCUGCUCAGAUAAUGGUUAGAGUUCUGCUCUGAUGAGUUUAAUAAACUGUGCAAGUCAGAAGGGAUAGUGAGACACUUGACAGUUCGUUAUACUCCACAGUAAAAUGCUGUUGCAGGAUGAAUGAACAAAACUAUCAUGGAGAAGGUUCGAUAUAUGUCGUCAAAUGCCAACUUACCAAAGUCAUUUUGGGCUGAAGCAGCCUCUACUACAUGUUUUUUAAUCAACCGAUCUCCAUCCGUUGCCAUUAAGAAAAAGACUCCACAAUAGGUAUGGUCUGGUAAUCUUGCUAACUAUUCUUAUUUAAAUAUUUUUGGGUGUCCUGUAUAUGCUCAUGUUGAUAAUGAAAAAUUGGAAUCGAGAUUCAUUAAAUUUAUUUUUCUUGGUUAUAAAGCUGGUGUAAAAAGGUAUAAGUUAUGGUGUCCUGAAAAUAGAACAGUUGUGAUUAGCAAAGAUGUUGUUUUUUUAUGAAACUGCUAUGCUACCUAACUUAUCUCUUAAAGACUCUUCCAAUAAAAAAAAUCAAAAACAGGUGGAGCAUCAGAUUAAUUUAGAAUCCACAACAAAGUCGACUCCUCAAGCCAGUACAAAAAUUCAAAAUAGAGUUGCUUCUUCACCAUAAUACUCUAUCGCCAAAAACAAAACUAGAAAAGAAAUUAAACCUCUAAAGAAGUAUGUCGAAGGCUGAUCUAGUUACUUAUUCUUUAAAUGUGACUGAAGAUAUAGAUGCAAACCAAGAGCCAUCUAAUUAUUCUGAUACGAUUAGCUUGAAGACUCAGAAAAGUGGAUGUUUGUUAUGUAAGAGGAGAUGAAAUCACUCCACAAAAAUCAAACAUUGGAUCUUAUGAAACUUUCUAAAAAUAAAAAGGUUGUUCGUUGUAAAUGGGUGUUUAAAAAGAAAGAGGGGACUCUAGGAGUUGAAGAACCCAGAUAUAAAGCAAGGCUUGUUGCAAAGGGUUAUAGUCAAAUUUCGGGAGUGGACUUCACAGAUAUGUUCUCUCCAGUUGUGAAGCAUAGGUCUAUUCGAGCUUUGCUUGGUAUUGUGGCAUUGCAUGAUUUCUUAAGCAGUUAGAUGUAAAAACUGCAUUUUUACAUGGAGAAUUUGAGGAGGAUAUUUACAUGCAACAACCAGAGGGUUUUACAAUCUCAGAAAAAGAGGACUAUGUUUGCUUGCUGAAACAGUCCAUUUACGAUUUGAAACAGUCAUCAAGACAGUGGUAAAAGAGGUUUGAUUCCUUUAUGACUUCUUAUGAUUUUAAAAGAAGUAGCUUUGAUAGUUGUGUUUACUUUAAGAAAAACAGUGAUGGUUCUUUUGUUUAUCUACUCCUUUAUGUUGAUGACAUGUUGAUAGUAGCGAAAGAUAAAUGAGAGAUAAGAAAUGUCAAAUUCUAAUUAAGUGAAGAAUUUGAGAUGAAAUAUUUGGGACUAGCAAAGAAGAUAUUUGGCAUGGAGAUUCUUAGAGAUAGAAAAGCAAGUAAAUUGUACCUAAGUCAGAAGGGGUAUAUUGAGAAAGUUCUUUGCAGAUUCAAUAUGCAGAAUACUAAGCCUGUUAGUACUCUUUUAGCAGCCCAUUUUAGAGUUUUAUCGACUUUGUCUCCACAAUCAGAUGAUGAGAUUGAGUACAUGUCACAUGUUCCAUACUCUAGUGUAAUGGGAUCUCUCAAGUAUGCUAUAGUUUGUCCACGUGUAGAUUUAUCAUAUGCAGUCAGUGCAGUUAGUAGAUACAUGGCGAAUCCCGAUAAAGAACAUUAGAAAGCAGUUCAGUGGAUUUUAAGAUACUUACGAGGUACUACUGAUAUUUGCUUAUAGUUUGGAAGAACUAGAGAUGGAGACAUUGGGUAUGUUGAUACUGAUUUUGCUGGAGACCUUGAUAGAAGAAGAUCUCUCACAGGUUAUGUAUUUACAAUCGAAGGUUGUGCAAUCAGUUGGAAAGCCACUUUGCAACCCACAGUUGCUUUGUCUACCAUUGAAGCUGAGUACAUGACGAUUACUGAUACUUGUAAAGAAGCUAUUUGGUUGAAGGGACUUUUUAGUGAACUCAAUGAAAACCUUCAAAUCAGUACAGUAUUUUGUGACAGUUAAAGUGCCAUCUUCCUUACAAAAGAUCAAAUGUUUCGUGAGAAAACAAAACACAUCGAUGUUCGGUAUUAUUUUGUUCGUGUUAUUAUUGCUCGUGUUGAAAUUGUUGUGACCACAAUUAGUACUCAUGAAAAUCCUACAGAGAUGAUGACUAAGUCAUUUCUUAUAACCAAUUUUGAGCAUUGCUUAGACUUGAUUGGUGUUCAUUGUUGAAAUUAAACCCUUAAGGGGUUUUAUGGAAGAGGUGGAGAACUUGUUCGUUGAGAGUUCGCGAUAAAGAACUUGUUCAUUGAGAAUUCGUGUCAAGGUGGAGAUUGUUAGAGUUUUGUGACCCAAAUUCUAAAAGAUUGCUUGCAAGUCAAGUUAAACAAAAUAUAUCUUCUUUCUAGAAAUUUUAGUAUUUAUGAGUAUAAUAUAUUUAGCAUUUAUUAGCAUAAUAUAUUCGACUUUGAUUAGAAUUAAGUUUUUUUCAACCUAUAAAUAGAUGUAGUUGAAACUCCUCUUGAAAUCAUUCGAAUUCGACAUAAUGAAUUUUCUUCUCCUCUGCCCAUGGUUUUUUUCCCGCAAGGGUUUCCACGUAAAAAUCUGUGUUCUUUAUUUUAUUUCUCUUUUCUUUGUGAUAUAUUGUCAUUGCCAAUGUUUUAUUUUUAACACAUAGAUUAAAUAAUCUUACCAACCAACCAAUUUAUUUUUGUCCUUUUUGGUGGGCUUUCGAGUCUACAAGACAGGUAGCAAUAGUUAUUGAGGAGCUAGUCACGUUUUAAAUAUUUUCUUCUAAGUAAGCACAACAACAUUAAGAAAUUUAUUUUUUAGAGUCUAUAUAAGGAAAAGGGCCUUAGGAUUUUCUAGUGCCACACUCACUUCAACAACAGACACUUCAAAUUUUCAAGCAUACAACAGCAGCAGCAGCCAGCGAACUAAUCAAUUGUUUUUAAGUACUAAUAUUUAGGGAUAAAGUAAUAGUUAAUUAUCUGAAUAUUUUAUAAUAGGGACGAAGUUAUAAAAGAAGUUGAAUUAGAUAUCUUUAUACAAGUUAAAAUACAAUUUAAUCAUAUUGGUUUGUAAUUUUACAUAUUUUAAAGGGAUUAGAUCAAAAUUUUAUCAUUUUGGAGGUUGAGAUGAAAUUUUACCGUGUAUUAACAUGUAAAAUUAUAACUUUUAAAGGCACCCAAAACAUAAAUUUCCAUUUUAGGUGGCCGAAGCCUUGGUUAUUUAUCUACUUUGAUCUUUGAACUUCUUUUUGUCUAAAUUAAUUCGAAAAUUUGAUAGUUUUUCCUAGUUUAGUCCUUGAACCUUGGGUUAUGCUACAUCAUCACUUGUAUUUUUUAUUAAAAAUAAUAAUAAUUUCUUUUUCAUUCUUUUUAGAUUUUAUUUAAGUUUUUUAAAAUUUUCAAAUGAUGACGUGACAAAAUCUUAAAGUGGCAUGCUAUCGCUCUUUAACGGAAUCCAAGUCCAUGGACUAAAUAAAAAAAUUGUUAAGUUCAAAGACUAAAUAUUAUUUUAUCCCUAAUAUUAGUUACCCUGUUUUAGAAGUUGAUUGAAUUUCUUGCUUGCUUACUUUUGUUAUUAACCGUUGCUUUGUUCUUCUUCUUCUUCUUCUUUUUAAUUUUAGGUCCCGUAAUUGAAAAAAGAUGCAUGAGAAAUUUCUAAAAUCAUUAGAAACAAGAAAAUAUGAUCUCAAAUCCAGUGAUUUACCCAUAUCAAGUUACAGAGACUUGGGCCCCGGCUAUGGUGAAUUCAUCCCCUACAUUUUAGCAGGCCAAGGUGGACUUCAAGAACACAAACAAUUAAAUUGGCUAAAUUUAUUCGUAUCCGCCAACUUAUUAGAAUUUUCAAAUAUAUUCAAAAAAUUAGGAGAAACAUUGGAUGAAACCACGACGGAAAUCACAAACAGGAUCAAAUUGAAAGAGAAGGAAAAUGACAUGGAAGGGAUAAAUGAAGAGAUGGCUAAAUUGCCUAAAAAUUUAGCACGUGUGUUAAGCAACAUUGAUGAUAAACCAUAUAGGAUACAACAUAUGGAGUGUAGCUUGGAAAAGAACAUGUAUAAGAUCAAUAAGGAUCAAAUUAAAAUUAUGAAAGAAUUGAGGGACUUGAAAAGGGAAAUAAAAGAGUUAAAGGAGGAUGUGAAAGAAGUUAAAAUAAAAAUUGAAAUUUUUAAAAAUUUCAAAAGUUUUCUUUGAUUUCUUAAAAUUUUUUAUUAAAUCUCUUAAAUUUUAUUUUCAAAAAAAAGAAUUUCAUUAAACACCAAAAAUGAAAUAGAUUGAAUCCAACAUCCAUGAGUUACAAAAUUAUCAUAUAUAACAAGAGCUUACAAAAAGACUAGUGUUACGGAAAAUGGCUUACGGAAAAUGACUUACUUUUCUGAAAAAGCUAAUAUUUUCUAGUGUUUGGAUAAAUCUGUGUAAAAUAUUUUCUUUUGUUUGGAGGUUCUUUAAAAAUAUUUUAUAAAAGUCAUUUUCAAUUAAACAAACAUACAUUUGAGAUUUUUUUUAUUUUUUUAUUUUUUCAUUGUUUAAUUGAGUUUAUUUUAUACCUAUAAUUUUAUAUUGUACAUUGUUUUUACAUAUAUUAAAAAUAUUUUGUUAAAUUUAGGUUCAUUGCAACAAUCAUUUUUUAGUUACAUGACUACCAAUUGAGUUUUUUUGUUUAAAAAUGUUACAUUAACAAAAUUGAUAAAAAAAUUAACAAUGUCAGCAGUUGGACUUGAUUUUCAAAUCUAGAAAGGAGAGGGACUAAAUUCUUGAAAAUAAAAGUACAGAAACUAAAUUGCAAAUUUGUGAAGAGUAUAUAAACUUAUGAUAUAUCUUAACAUUUAUACUACAAAACAAUUAUUAUUAAUAUAUUUAUAAUUGUAAUAAAUAUUUAGUAUUAAAGUAUUAAUAUUGAUAUUUUCAAUAAUAUGUGAAUAAUAUUAUUUAAAAUUACUAUUAAAAUAAAAUUUAAAUAUUAAAUAAUUUAUUAAAAAUAAUAAAUUAUAUUAAUAAUUUAUUAUAUGACUAAAUAUAAAUAAUUAAAUACGUAUUUUAAUAAUAUUAAAAAAUAUAAUAUUUUAUAUUAAUAUUUUAAAUAUUUUAAAAAUAAAAAUAAAAUUUAUUAUCAAUAUAAUAAUAUUAAACUUGAUUUAAGUUAAUUUUUAUAUAAAAGUAAAAUUAUCUAUUGAGGAGCUCUUUUCCGGAAAAUGACUUACGCUUUUCAAGAGGAUAAGUAAUUUUACAAGGAAAAAGGCUUAUUUCCAUUGACCUGUAAGUUAUUUUCCGUUGACCAAGCUGUUUUCUGUGAAACAAACACAGGAAAAUGCAGAAAAUAUUUUCCGUAAAACCUUUUACAUGUAAACAAAUGGACCCUUACUUUGGUUGAUGUAUGGUAUAAUAAGUCUGCAAAGCACCAAGCAAAAGUGCAGUAAUGGCACCCACAAAUGCCAAAAACGUCCGAGGACUCCUAAAUUAAGUAUGAUAACCUUGAGCUGCAUGAUUAAUCCACGUAGUCUUACAAUGAUUAUGUAUUUGCCCUUUAACCCUACUGUAAAUCAUCGGACCAGGAACCAAAUCAGUGUUCAUCAUGUAAAUGAUAUAAUGUCCAAAUUGUCUAGUGUUACUUCACAUGGUUGAUUUCAUUUGUGAAUUAAUGAUUGUGGAUUGACAACAUUGACUAUUCUAUGCACGGGGAGUGUAACACCUCAAACCCGGCCUAGACGUUAUGGUCGAAUCCUGGAGUGUUACAAAGAAGGGUUUUGAAAUCAGUGUUACUUCGAUAAAACUUUGUAUAGUCGUUCGAUAAAUCAUCCAAGUUUUAUAAUCCAUAUUCGUUUAUAUAACUAUUACUGAAAGCGUUAUACAAUUAAUUCAUUUGCCAAAACAUAAUUUACAGCGGAAGUCAUUUUCAUAAAUCGUUUUGACAAACCAAACAGGAUAGAAAACAAUCGAAACCAAAACCAACAGUUAAAAUCAUACAGUCCAGAGAGUCCCAAAAAUGACAAACUCUCAAAUAAAUUCAUAAUUUUAAUUAAAACCGUUAGUUAUUAAGUAAAAAUAGUUCUCAAUCGAGUGGUCAUCGCUGAGCCUCUGUCGUACUGACCUGCCGAAGUUUGUGGAUUACCUGAACAGAAUAGACAAAAAGAUGUGAGUUUUCAUAAACUUGGUGUGUAACCCAACAAAAAUAGUCAUGCAGCAUACACAGAAUCUCAUAUACAGUCAGAUACAGAUUCGGACCUAUGUCCAUGACAGAUACAGAUAGCAGAAUCAGAUAAGAAGAAUCAUACCCCCAUCCUCUACACACCAUCUCCGACUAUCCCAUCACACCAUGUGGGGUUAAAAACACCCACCCAACCCUACACACCAUAUAGAGUCAAUGCGACGCAUAACAGAUAAUAUGCAAUCAAUCUGCUAGAAUAAAGGCAAAGAAUCGCCAUACAAAUCACUUCCUCCACAUAUACAAUUCCCACCCCAAACACAGAUACAGAAUACAGAUGCAAAAAUAUCAGAGUAAACAUGCUUAACAUGCUCGUAUACAAAUGGAUACAUACUUAAACAGUACAGUCCGACAUACAUAUAGUAUCCUAAUCAAAUUAGUCUAUCAGAAUAUCAUAGCACAUAAAUUAGGGUUUUGGUUAGCCCUUACUGACCCUACGGCAGGUCCACAGUCGAUCGGAAUGACACCUGUGACCCUAGGGAAUAUUUCAGAAUUAUGGGCCCACAUGCCUAUAUGGGCCCACACGUCCAGAUUGGCCUUACCUGCAUGGGAACAUUAGAAGGUUCAAAAUACAAUUUUAUUAUUAUAUUAAUUUAUAAUUUCAUAAAUUUUAAAAGGAUUAAAUGAUAAAUUUACUAAUUUAAAAAGACAAUAGGGAUGGUAAAAUCUAAUUGAACCUAUCUGCGUUCGGAUCGGGAUGGAUUUUUUUUAAUUUAAAAAAUUAAAUAGAUUGAAUCGAAAAUCUAGGAGUUACAAAAUUCUCAUAAAUAACAAGAGUUUACAAAAAGAACACUUACUUGGUUGAUGUAUGGUAUAAUAAGCUUGCAAUCCACAUAUACAAUUCCCACCCCAAACAUGAAUAUAGAAUACAGAUGCGGGAAUAUCAGAGUAAACAUGCUUAAAAUGCUCGUAUACAGAUGGAUACAUACUUAAAUAGUGCAAUCAAACAUACAUAGGUCCACAAUCUAUUAGAAUAUCAUAGCACAUGGGUCCACAUGCCCGUGUGGGCCCACACGCCCAGAUUGGCGUUGCCCAUGUGGCCCACAUGGCCUGGCCCAAAACCCACACGGCCGUGUGGGCCUACAUGCCCAACUUGGCCUAGCCCGUGCGACCCACAAGGUCACACUCACACAAUCACACGACCAUGUCUUGUGCGCGGCCAUACCUUCGUCAGUCACAUGGCCGUGUCUCGCACAUGGCCAACCACAUGGCUUGGCUCACGCCCUUGUGGCAUUGACAGUGCCCUUUUUUAGCUUUUGUCGAACCUCAAUUUUUCAUGUUUAAGGUACACACAUGGUUCAUUUUAGAUGCCUAGCAAUCCUGAGCCCUCUGAAACCUAAGAAAUAGCAUCCCAUUGACCAAUUAGCAAUCAAUUUACGAAUCGACACUUAACCCGAAAUAACGCACAUAACUUACCGAAGACACGAAUUGGCACGAGCGCGAUCUAGGCUGUCGAAGUAAAAAUUCAUUGCUCACAACCUUCUCCUACACCACAAAUUUGCAGAAAUCAAACCCCCUAUCUAUGCUACUACGCUACCACGAAAAGAAAAUAAACUGAUAGCUUACCCAAAUCACAUAAAAAUGUCAAGUCCAGAGUGCAACGUGAAGAACAAAAGAUGAAAAAACAAGUUUGAAGGAAAAGAAAACGAACGAAAAAAUCAGAGAUUGAAGAGGAGAAAAAGGAAGAAAUGUAAAAGAAUAAAUAAAUAAAUAAAAAGAGUAGAAACUGACGUCAGAAUUUUUAGAGAGAGAGAACCUAAAUUUUGAAAAAUAAAAAUAAAAUAAGAUAAAAACAAUAUCACAACUCCCCCCACUCAAACCAGCAAAUUCAUUCUGAUAUAAUUAAAUUUACAAACAAUAUUCCAUAAACUUGCCUAAUAGGGAUAAGGCUAAGACCAAAAAAAUAACAGAAUUUUCAAAUGUGAGACUUGAAUACUAGACCUCAAACACAUACCGAAAACACUUAGCCACUAAAGUAAAAACAUAUUUAUAUUAGGAUUUACAGAAACAUAUUUAUAUCAAGAUUUACAGAAAUAGAAAUAAAUUAUUCAUGGCGUUACAGAUGGGUAGUACUCCUUUUUCUACCAUUUCACUACCCAUUGCAUUCAAUUUCUCUGCCCUACUACUCCUCUGCACUGCACUGUCCAAUUGCAUUUAAAGAUAAUGUAUACAUAUAGAUUGUAAAUUUUCUUGGCUGGAAGCUCACUGGAAGCCAAAAUCAAAACAAACUUUUGAUGGUUUAAUUGUUUUUUAGCCCUUGAAUUUCAGGUGCUAUGAGAAAUGAAUUACAACCUCAUCUUGUCAUUAUCCCAAAAUCAAAACAAGCAACUCUUGGUUGAAAGUUGAAACCAAGGGCCAAGUCAAAAUUGUUUUAGGACGAGUCCAAAAUGAACAAUGAUUUUGAAGGUUCAAAAUACAAUUUUAUUAUUAUAUUAAUUUAUAAUUUCAUAAAUUUUAAAAGAUUAAAUGAUAAAUUUACUAAUUUAAGAAGACAAUAGGGAUGGUAAAAUCUAAUUGAACCUAUCUGCGUUCGGAUCGGCAUGGAUUUUUUUAAUUUAAAAAAUUAAAUAGAUUGAAUCGAAAAUCUAGGAGUUACCAAAUUCUCAUAAAUAACAAGAGUUUACAAAAAGAACACUUACUUGGUUGAUGUAUGGUAUAAUAAGCCUGCAAAGCACCGAUAGAAAGUGCAGCAAUGGCACCCACAAAUGCGAAAAACGUCCAACGAGUCCUAAAACAAGUAUGAUAAACUUUAGCUGGAUAUUUACUCCACAUAUUCUCACGAUGAUUAUGUAUUUGCAGUUUAACAUGUCAUGUAAAUCAUCGGACUAGGAACCAAAUCAAUGUUCAUCUUCUUGAUAAGCUUAGCCACUUCUUUAUCACUCCCAAAUCUAUGGUAUAGUAUGCCGGCGCCUCUCAGUUCCUUAACAUCUUCGGCUUCAUCGAUCAAUGAAUCAAGGAAACCCAUAUAUGAAGUGACGGUGAAACUGUUGAAGAAAUCCGGACACAUUUCGUAAGCUAUUAAGUUCACUGUUAAAUCAUCGACGGUGAUCGGCGGUAACCAUAAAUUUCCGAGGAAGAAGAAAGGGCUGAAACUGAUGUCUGUUAAACAACUUGUUUCGCUUGCUUUUAACCUUAUCCCGGCUUUUUUAAGCUCUUUUACGUUCCUUAAGGUGUGUGAAUGGUGCCCUUCUAUUCUUGUUUGGUUGCUGCGAUUUUUCAAGUUCAUGAAAAAUCGAGUGCAAAACCUACAAUGCCGCCUUGGUUUUUCUUUUUCUUUUUUCUUUAUUGAAAGGAGUCUUACUCGUAGUAGAUGCAAUAAGUGAAUUCGCUCUCCUUGCUGCGGCCACCAUUCACUACAGCAAAAUCUGUGUUAGUCGGAAGCCAGCUAAAAUUAAGGUUUUCAACAGUUGAAUCUAUAAGAUCAUUGAUUUAUAAGUUCAAUUUAUCCGAUUUGAAUAAAAAAUUUAAUCCUUUUAAAAAUUAUUAAAUUAUAAUUUUUUAUAUAUAAUAAAAUUAUACUUUGACUCCUUAAAAAAUGAAGAAAAAAAUUGUUUAACUCUUUCGGAAAAUGAUAAAAUCAUAAAUUAAUGUAUAAAGAAAAUUUAAGAAUCAAACUAAAUUUAUCGGUGGGCCUGGUUAAACAGAGAAUCGUGCAAGGUAUUAAUCUAGAAUAAUGAGUUAGACUCAUUGAAUCGAGUGGUCGAAUAGAUUUUUUUAUAUUUUUAAUAUAUCUUUAAUAUUUUUAAAAUUUUAUAUAAUUGAAUCCAAUUAACUAAUCAACCAAAAAUAGACUCUAAUCGAUUCUAUCACCUAUUUUACAUUUAUACACUCCACAAAAUGAUUCUUUUGUACAUUCCUUAAAUUACCUGUCCUGCUGAUGUGAUUGUGGCCCUUUAACAGUGACGUCGAUGAACCUUAUGAUUGCCUUCAUGAACUUUUUGCCAUUAUUGCUCAAGCUUGUAAGCAAUUCAAGAACACGAAAAGGUAUUUGGUUCUCCAACAAUAACAGAUCCGAGUACACCAAUGUCAGCAAAUCGUUUUUAAUAACCAAUUGGCCAUAAACAGCAUAAAAAUCAUCAUUAGUACCGUAAUGCAUAUAAAUUAAUUGUAAAAUUGCGCAGCCGUCAACGAAGAACAUCCAAGCCAGUUUCUCGUUAUCGUUGCCAUACUCCUCUAAUUCCGUUGGAUCAUAGCAUUUCCUCAAGCCAUCGAUCUCUUUCUUCAUGUUUCUGUACAAGGAAUCCUUAUCGACGCCAAUGUUUUUGACGAAAUGUGCUGCUAAUUUGAGCUUGAGCUCCUUGGAUUCAUGGAGGGUGGGAUCAUCGUGGUGGAGUGGGCCGAUUGAGAUCACUUUCGGCUUGAAAUACUUCAUGAAAUCUUCGGUACGGCAAAGGGUUGAUGGUACUUUUCGUAUCAAUGGAUUGGCUGUGAAGUUGGGUUGGCCGCCGUCCAAAGCUUUGUCUAAUGACUGGAGAUUCGCUAAUUCGUCAUUGCUGAGAGGGACGUCCGUGCACCGCAUAUCAAUGCUCACGGAAUCGUUGUUGGUGUUGUUGUUGAUGGUUGUUUGAUCAGUGGAAACUGCUCCGACGGCGCCGCCUCCUUCCUCCGUGGACGACAUUUUCAGGGUGAGCGGUUGGAAGUAAUAAACAAGGUGAUUUUGUAAACUGUGCUUGGCUGAGUGAGUGAUGUUGGAGAAAAGGUGGCAAAAUGGCUACGAUGAUGGCAAAUAUUUUAUAGCUUACAUAAUAAACAUAUAUGGGAAAUACUUGAGGUGUAAUUUAAAUUUACCCCUUAGUGUUUAUAUUUUUACUAAUAUAAUUUUUAACUUUUAAUUUUUUAAUUAAAUUUAAUUUUCUUUUGAAAGAGUCAAUCUUAAAAAAGAAAAGUUAAAUUAAUGUUUUUUUAACAAAAAUAGUGACAAAUAUAAUAAUUGUCCUUAAGAAGUAAGACCCUAUGAUUGGGAGAAUUUUACAUUUUCAACACUUCUUAAAUUUCAUACACUUAAAAAUACCUCCAUGCUUCUUUACGUAUAAUAAUUGCAUUUGUUAUUCUACCUAACUCAUGAAAAAUCUCAAAUUUGCAACAAAAUAUUAUUCACAUGCCAACCAACCACUUUUUUUUUAUUGAAGUUAUUAUACUUAUAAGCUUUAUGCUUCUUGUAACAGAUUCGAUCUACAGGGCACUAUAGUUAUUGUCGGAGCAACUACAGUCAGAAUUACAAUAAGAUAAUUUUUAUUUAAACAUCAAUCAUGAUGCAAUUAAAGUAAUACAUCAAUUAUGAGCUUUAAUCGAGCUUACGAAAACUUUUUUGGCUGUCCGAGCAAGAAUUAGGACCAAACUGCAAAGUAAUUGCAUUUGUUAUUCUACCUAACUCAUGAAAUAUCUCAAAUUUGCCAACCAACCAAUAUAUCAUUCCAACCAACCAAUUUAUUAUUCACAUUCCAACUUUCUAAAUGCAUCAAAUAUUUCAUAUUCAUGUACUAACAAAGAUCAUGCCAAGAACCCACAUGCAGAGUCAUUAUAUACCACAUUUAACUCAACAAGACUUUUACACAACCAAAGAUUACUCCAAACGUUUAUAUGCAUGUCGCAAUCCUUGACUCAAAUGAUAAAAAAAAACACCAAAUUGACAAUAAAAUAGUGUAAGCUUCGAACGAUCCAAUCGACAUGUUCCACAAUGUAACACCUAAAAGGAAAAAGAAAACAAUGGGGUAAGCAUAUAAGAUGCUUAGGAAACUCAUAUGUAAUCUAAAACUUACCUAGAUUAAUUGAACAUAAACAAUUACUCAAUAAGCUAUCAAAUUUAUUUUUCCAUGGCACGUAGAUAUCGUAUAUGUAACAACAUUUCAAGUCAAAAAUGUUAAAUACAAUGUUGAAUCAUUAUGUCUUCUUUUCUUAAGUUUCACUUAUAGAAAUACAAUAUAGGUUCAAGUACAAAUAUAUGUCUCGAUUAAUCUAGAAAGAACUAGACAAAAUUCACAUAUGAUAUAGGCAUAUAAUGAGUGUGAGACUCACACAUCACAAUUGAGAAUAAUGUUAUAGAAAACCUUUGCGUUAAGCAAGAAGCUAAGACCCUAUCGGAGGGAGAAUUUUAUAUCUACAACACUUAUUAAAUUUCAUUAGCUUAAUAAUAGCUAUUCAAAUAUUUAACAUUGUAACCAUGCUUGUUUACAUAUCGUAAGCGCAUUUGUUAUUCUACCCAACUUAUGAAAAAUCUCAAAUUUGCAAUUUAUUAUUCACAUGCCAAACAACCAAUUUAUUAUUCACGUGCCAACCAAUUUGUUUUAUCGAAGUUAUUAUACUUAUAAGCUUUCACAUAUAACCAUGCUUCUUUACAUAUAUUAAUUGCAUUUAUUGUUGUACCUCAUGAAAAUUUUCAAAUUUGCAACAACAUAUUAUUCGCAUGCCAACCAACCACUUUUUUUUUAUUGAAGUUAUUAUACUUAUAAGCAUUCACAUUUAACCAUGCUUCUUGUAACACUUUUCAUUGGAUCCAAUCGUUGGGUCCGAUCUACAAGACGCUAUAGUCAUUGUCAAAGCAACUACAGUCGAAAUUACGAUAAGAUAAUUUUCAUUUAAACAUUAAGCAAGAUUCAACUACAGUAAUACAUUAAUUAUGAGUUUUAAUCGAGCUUACAAAAGCUUUUUUGGUAGUUCGAACAAGAAUUAGGACCAAACUAUAAAGAUUUGAAAAGUUUGGAGCGACGUCACAACUUCAGCUUUUCCUCAUCGCAACAUGACCAUCUCAGUAUGUCACAUCAUAUCGAAAAGCCUAUGCUCGUCGCGGCGAGACUCUUUGACUUGGCAAUGUCGCAAUGUCAAAAUUUGUAGCCGUUAUGUAAACCCUAUAUUUGACAAAAAUAUACAAUUUGGUACCUAAAUCAAAGCUCCAACUAAAAUCAUGCAAGAAAAAUACAUUACAUGCCAUUUCUAAAUGACUUAAAACUUACCUAAAACAUGCUAAGUAAGUUCAAACGUAUCAUUUCAAUUCCAUAGAAAUUCAUAAAACUUACCUAAAACAUGCUAAGUAAGUUCAAACAUAUCAUUUCAAUUCCAUAGCAAUUCAUAUUACCAUUUCAUCCAUUGUAUUCAACUUUUCAAUAACUUUAACUAAAUAUCAACAAGUUAUACAAACAUCUACCAUUACCUUUAUCAUGCCAUAAUGAAUCAUUUCAUUUCAAACAAUCAUCACAUUAGUUCUUUAAUUUUUCUUUUUUAGUCAACAUAUGCAAACCAACUUAAAUAGAUCACAUUCCAGCAUAGUCAACAAGACUUUUACACAACCAAAGAUUACUCCAAAAAUGUUUAUAUGCAUGUCACAAUCCUUCACUGAAAAUGAUAAAAAAAUCUACUAAAUUGACAAUAAAAUAGUUUAAGCUUUGAACGAUCCAACCGACGUGUUCUACAAGGUAACAACCUAAAAGAAACAAAAGAAACAACAGGAUAUACAUAUAAUAUGUUUAGUAAACUCAUAUGGAAACUAAAACUUACCUAGAUCAAUUGAACAUAAAAAAAUUACUCAAUAAGCUAUCGAAUUAAUUUUUCCUUGGCACUUAUAUACAUAUAGUACAUGUAACAACAUUUCAAGUCAAAAGUGUUAGAUACAAUGUUGAAUCAUAAUCCCGUCAACAUUUAAAACAUAAUCACAUAGCAAUCUAUAUAUCAAAUUUCAUCAAUACCAAUUCAUUUUCAAUUCAAGAUUUAAUUCCAUUUUCAACCAUUUAAUCAUCCUCUGAUGGAACUAUAGUAAAAAAGGUGCAUGGGAAUAUUUUGCUGAACUGACUCACACAAGUUGACUUUAUAUUAGAAUUGUUCACACACGUUAACUUUGUAAUUUAUAUUAUGUAAAAUUUAAGAUUUUUAUAUUAUGUAAAUCAAAGCUUAAUUAGUAUAGAAUUUUCAAAAUAAUAUGGCUGUAUAAAGAUAAAAUUCUUGAUAUAAGUCUCAACAAGGGAAAAAUUAAGGAUAGAAAAAUUGUGGUGGAAAGGGGAUCAAUUUCUCCUAAACAGGUGGAGAGCCGGAGAAUGAUAAGUGAAGGAAGAUGGUUGAUGUGAAGGCUAAGAGUAAUUGUUAAAGGUUACUAACAGGGGAAGAUCCCUUUCUCAUGAAGAUGAUUUUUAAACACCAUGUUAAUUGUUUAUGGGCCAUCAUGUUUGACGAUAAUUUUUAAAUACCUUGUUAAUUGUAUAUAGUACAUCAUGUUUGGCAAUGAUUUUUAAAGACUUUUAAACGUCACAUUAAUUGUUUAAUUGUUUAUGGCCCAUUGCCCAUGUUACUUUUAUUAAAUUUUGGGUAAACUACAAUUUAAUCACUUAAUUUUUAUAAAAUUUCAUUUUGGUCAUAAAAAAAUUGUAUGGAAUGAGAGUCUCAGGAUAAAACAAAAAUUAGGAUAAAUGUAAUGCUGAAAUGAAUAUAGUGGGAAUCUUUAAUGUUUAUGGCCAAACCCCACCUCUCCUAUCCUAUACUUCAUCUAUAAUAAUGGUUCUUGGCUUCUUCUAUCCUAUACCUCAAUUAUUUGGAUUAGAUUGAAAAACAAUUGACACUUGAUUUGAUUGUGAAAGAAGUUUUAGUUUAAUGAUAUGAAUGAGUUAAAUUUUAAAUUUAUAAUAUUUAACUUGAGUGUGAAUGAAUUUUUGACUUAAUUGAAAAUUUAAAAUUUUAGCUUCGAGUCUUAUUUAAUUAUGUGAGUAUAUCAUAUAUAAAUUUUGUUUAAAUUUAUUUUGAUUUAAUUCUCAUACUAUAUAAACUUUAUUCUUAAUUAAAUUUAGAUAUAUUCUAAUUAUCAAUUUAAUCAUAUAUUGUAACGAUGAAUUAGGAUUAUAGUUAAUUAUAUAUUGAAACAAAAUAAUGAGUUUAAGGAAUUAAAAGAUAUUAUUAUAUUUUAUAAAAAUUGAAUAGAUUAAUAAUUAAUUCGAGAUUAAAAAAUUGUCUAUCUUUAUUUCGCCCCUCAGUUUAAUUUAUUAUUUUCCCUAAUUUUAAAUCCAAAUAAUAAGGAGAAGAAAAAGAUAAAAGCAAACCUUUUUUACGGUCUGAACUAAACCCCAUGGGGUGUGGAAAAUUGCAAGUUUCCAGAAUAACGAAGUUCAGUUUUCGUCGGUGUUUCUAUGUGACUGUGUUUCUAUGGUAAGGAAUGGUGUAAAAAAGUUUACGGUUUAAGGUUUUGUUAUAUACGGAAGGAAAGCGCCUUUCAAGAUUAUUAGUAGCACUUAUUCUCGUGUUGUGUUUUGUAUUGAGUUGUACCUUUUUUUAGUGUAUGUAUUGUGGACCUGUGGUACAAGUUUAGUUCUUUUGAGUGUCUUGUGAUGUUAAGUAUGUUUUGUUGGGGCUCUUGGCUCCUAUGAUAAUAAAAUAUAUUUCAAGCAUAGUACUUUUUUUAUAUUUAAAAUUUAAUAUUAUACUUUUAUUUUAAGGUAAUCUCUCUACUACAACAAUGUUUAAUAUUAAUAUGAACUCAUGUUGCGAUUUACUAUUACCAACUAAUUGGAAUGCAACAUCUAUUUAAACUUCAACAUGAAACUAAAUUCUUCUAUAUAAACUAGAAAAAUAUCAUUAGUUCUUAAGUAAUUUCACCUCAAUCCAAUGACCAUUGUAUAGUCUCAAUUUUAUUCGGCCCAAACAAAUAAAAAGUCCAUUAACAGUCGCGGCAAGACUCUCUGACUUGGCAAUGUCGCAAUGUCAAGAUUCGUAGCCGUGAUGUGAACCCUAUAUUUGACAAAAAUAUACAAUUUGGUACCUAAUUCAAAGCUCCAACUAAAAUCAUGUAAAUGACUUAAACUUACCUAAAACAUGCAAAGUAAGUUCAAACAUAUCAUUUCAAUUCCAAAGCAAUUCAUAUUACCAUUUCAUCAAUGAAUCAUUCCAUUUCAAACAAUCAUCACAUUAGUUCUUUCAUUUUUUCCAUUUUAGUCAACAUAUGCAAACCAACUUAAAUAGAUCACAUUCCAACUUUCCAAAUACCAAGCUAAGACCCUAUCAGAGGGAGAAUGUUACAGCUACAACACUUCUUAAAUUUCAUUAGCUUAAUAAUAGCUAUUCAAAUAGUUAACAUUGUAACCAUGCUUCUUUACAUGUAGUAAUUGCAUUUGUUAUUCUACCUAGCUUAUGAAAAAUCUCAAAUUUGCAAUUUAUUAUUCACAAGCCAAACAACCAAUUUAUUAUUCCAACCAACCAAUUUAUUAUUCACAUGCCAACCAAUUUGUUUUAUUGAAGUUAUUAUACUUAUAAGCUUUCACAUAUAACCAUGCUUCUUUACAUAUAUUAAUUGCAUUUAUUGUUGUACCUCAUGAAAGAUUUUCAAAUUUGCAACAUAUUAUUUGCAUACCAACCAACCACUUUUUUUUUAUUGAAGUUAUUAUACUUAUAAGCUUUCACAUGUAACCAUGCUUCUUGUAACACAUUUCAUUGGAUCCGAUUGUUGGGUCCGAACUAUAGGAUGCUACAGUCAUUGUCAAAGCAACUACAGUCAGAAUUAUGAUAAGAUAAUUUUCAUUUAAACAUCAAUCACGAUUCAAUUACAGCAAUACAUUAAUUAUGAGCUUUAAUCGAGCUUACGAAAGCUUUUUUGGCAGUCUGAACAAGAAUUAGGACCAAACUGUAAAUUGGCUAAAUUUACUUAUAUCCACCAAAUUAUUAAAAUUUUAAAAUAUAUUCAAAAAAUUAGGACAAACAUUGGAUGAAACCACAAGGGAAAUUACAAACAGGAUCAAAUUGAAAGAAAAGCAAAAUGACAUGGAAGGAGUAAAAGAAGAGAUGGCUAAAUUGCCUGAAAAUUUAGCACCUAUAUUAAGCAACAUUGAUGAUAAAACACAUAGGAUGGAACCUAACUCAUGAAAAAUCUCAAAUUUGCAACCCCAUAUUAUUCACAUGCCAACCAACCAAAUUUUUUUGUCCUUUUUAGGGUCUACAAGACAGGUAGCAACCAUUAUUGAAGAAUUAGUCACGUUUUAAAUAUUUUCUUCUAAGUAAGCACAACGACAUUAAGAAAUUUACUUUUUAGAGUCUGUAUAAGGAAAGGGCCUUAGGAUUUGCUACUGCCACACUCGCUUCAGCAACAAUCGCUUCUAAUUUUCAGUCUGAGCGGUUCGAAGUAAUUAACUAGGUGAUUUUGUAGACUGUUUUUGGCUGAGUGAGUGAUGUUGGAAAAAAGGUGGCAAAAUGGCUACGAUAACGACAAAUGUUUCUAUAGCUUAUAUAAUAAACAUAAGGAAAAUAUUUUUGGUGUAAUAUCAAAUUUCGCUUCUAAUUUUUAUUAUUUUCAAUUUGAUUUUUAUUUUUUAGUAAAAUUUAGCUUUUUACUUUUGAAAGAGUUAAAUUGAUUAUCAAUCCUUAAACUGAAUUAAUAUUUUUCAAAAAUAAUGACUAAAAUAUUAAAUUUUAAACAUGAUAACUCAUAUGACAAUUCACGUGUACAUUUUUUAUUAUUAUUUUAAAAUUAUUUAUUGACAUAGCAUAUAAGAAAAUGAUUAUUAUGUUAGCAUGAAGUGCAUAUGGAUUGUCACACGAGUUGUAACACCAACAACGUAAAAAAUUAAUAUUUUAAUCAAUAUUUCUGUUAAAGAAAAGCAAUUUGACUUUUUUUUUGAAAGGUUCAUAGCUAAAUUUAGCUUAAAUAAUAAUAAUAAUGAUAAAAAAUAAAAGUCAAUUUGACAGAAAAUGUAAAUGUGGAGGACUAAAUUUAUUAUUAUGUCAUUUUUCUAAGUUUCACUUAUAAAAAUACAAUAUAGGUCCAAGUACAAAUAUGUGUCUGGAUUAAUCUAGAAAGAACUAGACAAAAUCUAUACAUGAUAUACGCAUAGAUGAGAGUGAGACCCAUUUUUAUAUCUACAACACUUCUUGAAUUUCAUACUCUUAAUACUAGCUUUUUUGUUGUUUGUUUCGCUUCAUUUGAUCUGUUUUGUUGUAAAAAAACAUAAAGAAAAACAUUCAAAAGUUUAACGUUAUAACAUUCCAAAAGAAAACACAUUCAAUAACUAACAUAUCUUGUAUUCUUGUAUUCUUUGAUCAAAUAGUGCAAGUGUAUUUAUACAGACUUUUGGAGGGUAACUACUGAACUGCUACUAACAACUUUUUAGCAGAAAGUUUAACAACUUAACCACCUAACAGAUUGCAUUUACCUAUGCUCUAAGAUUCUGUAAUGCGAAAUCAUACUUCAAAUUGUAAUUAUUACUUCAUAACAAUACAAGAUUUUCGUUACAAUGCUAGGAUUACUUAUAAACCUCAACCAUUAAAUGAGAGGAUAAAGACACUUUAAUAAGUUCGAAUCUUCGUCCUUUUGUAUUGACAAUAAUACUGAUAUCAAUCGAACUAAAACUCAGUAUAACAAUGGUUAAAUGAAUUUUAAGUACACAUAUUACUCUUACUAUGUAAGUAUUUAGGAUAAAUCACCCUCCAUGGUCAAACAAAUGGACCCAGGCUAUAAUUUGUAUAUAAAAAAAAUUAAAAAGCAUUAGUAAAACAAAUGGACCCAGGCUAUAAUCACCCUCCACUCAUUAACAAUUGUCAUCACAGGCUUAAUGUGGCAUGUUAACUAAUUGAUGUGACUAGUUAACUUGCCACGUUGGACAAGUAGUCAAAGGGUCAAAAAGAAAAAAAGAUGAUUGGUUAAGGGUAAAAAGAAAAAUAAGAGAAAUGAAGAAGAAGAAGAAGAAGAAGAAAAGAAGAACAGGGAAGGAAGAAGGGAAAAUGGAAGUAAAAGGGUCAAAAAGAAAAGAAAAGAUGAUUGGUUAAGGGUAAAAAGAAAAAUAAGAGAAAUCGAGAAGAAGAAAAAAUGAAGAACAGGGGAGGAAGAAGGGAAAAUGGAAGGAGCUUCCAAGCUUCAUACCAACGAUUCCCAAGGGUCAAAAUCUGGGAACUUGGAUUUUGAUCCUUGGGAAUCACUGUUACGAAGUCCUUCCAUUUUCUCCUUUUCUUCUUUUUCUCCAUUUAUUCUCUUAUUCUUCUUUUUUUUUUGUUCUUCUACUGCCCAAACUUCUUAAAUGGGUUUGUUUAAAUGACAGCUAGCCUACCCUUAAAUGCCAUUCACUUUUUCGUUACGUUUUGUUAAAAAGAUUGUUUAAAUGACAGAAAAUGGUUAAAAAGAUUGUUUUGUUAGCUACCCCAAAAUUGAGUGAUUGUUGCUGUAAUUUACCCCAUUUCUUAUUUGAAAUUGUAAAUUUUUAACAAGCUAAAUUUAAGGUUUUCAAAAUUCAACUCAUUAAGUUAUCGAUUUAUAAGUCUAAUUGGUUUGACGAAUUCAUCCGAUUAAUUAAAUUAAUUAUUAAAAAUUUUUGAUUUGAUUGCCCAAUUCAAUUAGUUUUUUUUUGGUUCAACCUGUUCAUAUAGAUUCCCAAGUCGAUUGGUCCAAUGAUUUCCUUCGGACUAAUACCUUAAUUAAUUUCCAAUCCAAAUCGAUUCAAAUAAUAUUAACUAAAAUACAAUUUUUAUUAUUUUAUUAAUGCAAAAAUUUUACCAUUUUAAAGAUAUUAAAAUAUAAAAUUUCUAUUUUAAAAAGUUGGAUUUGAAAUCAUAAUUUUUUUCCUAAAGAAAUGUACACUCAACAGGACCAAAGGAAUUCACAGGGAAAUUUUGUUUUAUGGACAGUCUUCAUCACAAAUGAUCCUAUCAAAUUAAAAGAGGAUAUAUCACCUUUUUUUCAUAUCAUAUAUACAUUGGGACUAAACUUCUAAAUAAAAAAUGAUGUGUCUUUUUUUAAUUGAGUGGGACCAUAGAUGAUGUGGUGAAAAUGGUCCAUUAAAUAAUUUAUCACAAGCAAGAGUAAUUCCAAAAAUAGAAAACUACAUUUUAAUUCUUUAAAAAUUAUUAAAUUAUAAAUUUAUAUAUUAUAAAAUUACACUUUGAUCCUCAAAAUGGAAAAAAUAUUUUGUUCAGUCUUUGACCACACCUAAUAAAAAGGAUUGGUGGUGACUCCAUUUUCGUUUUUUAAAUAAAAAGUCAAUUCCCAAAAAAAAGAUUUCGACAACCAUCACUUGGAUAACUUUGGUUAUCAGCUCAUGACACUUAGAGCUAUACAAUAUAUUUGGUGUUUGGCACAAUAUGGCAUACAUAGUAGUUUUCACUACUAAAAGAUAUGGUGCCUUACUCAUUCUUCUCUUAUCUUCCAAAGUUUUAGGAUUCAUAUCAUUCGAGUGAUGUACACUGUCAAUACUAUUUUUUUUGUAAAAGAGGUCGACUUUUUGUUUAAAAAUGAAAAUGGAGUCACCACCAAUCCUUUUUAUUUAGGUGUGAUAGGAUCACCUCGUAAUUUAAUCAUUUUAAUAAAAGUUUAAAUUUACUAAAAAAAUAAGUAAGUUAGUUUCUAUACAUCAGAUCAAAGAGCAAAUUGAUCAUUUUAUUACAUUUUUAAUCUUUUUCUAUCAUUAAAAAUUGAUUCAUAUACAUAAGUUUGAGGUACAGUGUCACGUCACAUGUUAUGAUUUGGUUAUUCCGUUAGUCACACCAGUUUUUAACAUUACAAAUAGAUGAAAAUUUUAACAGAAAUGACCAAGUUACUUUUUGAUCUAACAUAUAGGGACUAAUUUACUCAUUUUUCAAUAUAGAGAGCAAAAUGUAAUUCAACUCAAUGUACAAGGACUGUUAUUUUUUUUUCCAAUUUCACAUUAUUUUAUCAUAUUAUAUAUAUUGUUAGGAUCGUCCCGAUUAAGCAACGAACAAGUAAAAAUAGUAGAAGAAAUUGAGAAGAUGAACACACAAAUUUAACGUGGAAAAACCCCUCAAAAGAGGAUAAAAAACCACGGGCAAAGAUAAUUUUACUAUAAUGGCAAAAGAAUGAAGAGUACAAAAGAUGGAGAUAAAAACUAAACCCCGAAAACUCGAAAAACAAAGAACCCUCAAACGUAAACACAAAAUUCUCUGAAUGUGUUAUGAGUUCUAAUCUAAUGGGUGUCUCUUUUUAAUUCUAAGAUUGUAAAGGAGCCUAUUUAUAGGCUAAAUUAGUAAGUCAAAUAAACUAUACUAAUAAAUGCUAAAUAUAUUAUACUAAUAAAUACUAAAUCUUCUAGAAAGAAAAUAUAUUUUUGUUUAACUUGACUUGCAAGCAAUCUCUUAGAAUUUGGGUCACACAAUUCUAACAAUCUCCACCUUGACACGAAUUCUUUCAAUGCCAUCUUUGCCAAAACCCGCCACGAGCCUAUCUUGAACUAUGCAGGGAAUUAACUGAGUCGAAUCUAUGCUUAGAAGCUAGAAGACUUCUAGCCUUCGACUUGUGCACUGCCAAAUCAAAACUAACCCGGGUCUGAUUUUCACGAAUACAGUGCCCUAACUUUUCAAAACCUGCAUCCAAAAGAGAACCUCUCUUCAACGAAACGGUCAUACCUUUUUCCCUCCUAUGACCAAGUUGCCUCCGCUUCAAAUGAGUUGACUUUGACUCCGUAACGGACGAGGGACGUCCGAUUUCACCGGUCACUGUAGAACCUUCCAGAAUAUAAAGACUGCCGGUUCUUUUACCUUUUAACAAAACGAGAGCUCCACGAGAUACUUUAAUGUCGCUCGACUCGAUGUUGAUUCUGCAUCCUUUCAAGUCUAAAAUACUCAAGGAGAUGAGAUUCUUUCGUAAAUCGGGUACAUACCUGACAUCUGAGAGUGUCCUAAUCGUCCCAUCGUGUAUCCUAAUUUUAACAGUACCAAUACCGAUUAUUUUACUAGAUGAAUCGUUUCCCAUGUGCACAACUCCACCUUCAACUGAACUGUAUGUGGAGAACCAUUCUCUAUUGGGACACAUGUGGAAAGAACAUCCUGAAUCUAGGAUCCACUCAGACGUAAGCUUGGAGUUAUCGCUCGUUGACACUAACAAGAAAUCAUCACCGCCUUCAUCGACCAAAUUAGCACCAGCUACAUCUUCCUCGUUACUCUCAGCAGCUCUUUUAUUUCGCAGUUUAAAACAAUCUGCUUUGACGUGACCUAACUUUUUGCAAUAGCGACACCUUUUGUCUCGUUUCUUUGAUGCUACCAAAACGGAAGCUUGUCUAUCUGCUUUGCUAUUCAAAUCAAACUCAUUGUCGAGUUUGUCUCUACUCAACAAAUAACCUUUCACAUCUUCAAACGAGAGUUUGUCUCUGCCAUAAAUCAGGGUCUCCCUGAAAGACUUGUAUGAAGAGGGUAAAGAGCACAAUAAUAGCAUAGCUUGAUCUUCAUCGUCAAUAUGAACCUCAACGUUCUUUAAAUCAUUUAAAAGAGUAAUGAAUUGAUUGAUGUGAUCUUUAAGAAGCUCACCUUCGUUCAUGCGAAACGUAAAUAGACGUUGUUUCAACACUAAACGGUUAGCCAGAGACUUAGUCGCAUAAAGAGUUUCUAACCUUUUCCACAAGGCGAAUGAGGUCUUCUCCAUCAAUACCUCCUGCAAUACUGUAUUCGCGAGACACAACUGGAUUGCAGACAAGGCCUUUUCAUCAAGCUCUUCCCAUUUUGUUUGAUUUAGAUUCUCAGGCUUUUUCCCUGUAACAACCUUUUUCAAGCCAUUUUGAACUAGAAUUGCCAUCAUCCGAACUUGCCACAGAUUGAAAUUUGUCUCACCAUCGAACUUCUCAAUUUCAAACCUUGUUGCUGCCAUCUCUGACCGGGCUGAUCUAUGAAAGUUAAACUAUCUCUGAUACCACUUGUUAAGAUCGUCCCGAUUAAGCAACGAACAAGUAAAAAUAGUAGAAGAAAUUGAGAAGAUGAACACACAAAUUUAACGUGGAAAAACCCCUCAAAAGAGGAUAAAAAACCACGGGCAAAGAUAAUUUUACUAUAAUGGCAAAAGAAUGAAGAGUACAAAAGAUGGAGAUAAAAACUAAACCCCGAAAACCCGAAAAACAAAGAACCCUCAAACGUAAACACAAAAUUCUCUGAAUGUGUUAUGAGUUCUAAUCUAAUGGGUGUCUCUUUUUAAUUCUAAGAUUGUAAAGGAGCCUAUUUAUAGGCUAAAUUAGUAAGUCAAAUAAACUAUACUAAUAAAUGCUAAAUAUAUUAUACUAAUAAAUACUAAAUCUUCUAGAAAGAAAAUAUAUUUUUGUUUAACUUGACUUGCAAGCAAUCUCUUAGAAUUUGGGUUACACAAUUCUAACAUAUAUAUAUUAGCAUACGCCUAUCAUGCAAAUGGUAUAAUGUCCAGAUUAUCUGGUCUUUGAUUUCAUUUGUCAAUUAAUGAUUGUGGAUUGACAAUAUUGACCAUUUUAUGCACGGGGACUACUCAUCUACUCCUCUUCUGCCAUUCUCACUACCCAUUUGCAUUCAUUUUCUCUGCCCUACUGCUCCUCUGCAGUGCACUCUCCAAUUGCAUUUAAAGACAAUAUAUACGUAUAGAUUGUAAAUUUUCUUGGCUGGAAGCUCACUGUAAGCCAAAAUCAAAACAAACUUUUGAUGGUUUAAUUGUUUUUUAGCCCUUCAAUUUCAGGUGCUAUGAGAAAUGGAUUACAACCUCAUCUUGUCAUUAUCCCAAAAUCAAAACAAGCAACUCUUGGUUGAAAGUUGAAACCAAGAGCCAAGUCAAAAUUGUUUUAGGAUGAGUCCAAAAUGAAUAAUGAAUUUGAAGGUUCAAAAUAAAAUUUUAUUAUUAUAUUAAUUUAUAAUUUCAUAAAUUUUAAAAGGAUUAAAUAAUAAAUUUACUAAUUUAAGAAGACAAUAGGGAUGAUCAAAUCUAAUUGAACCUAUCAGCGAUCGGAUCGGGAUGGAUUUUUUAAAUUUAAAAAAUUAAAUAGAUUGAAUCGAAAAUCUAGGAGUUACAAAAUUCUCAUAAAUAACAAGAGUUUACAAAAAGAACACUUACUUUGGUUGAUGUAUGGUAUAAUAAGUCUGCAAAGCACCGAUAAAAAGUGCAGCAAUGGCACCCACAAAUGCGAAAAACGUCCAACGAGUCCUAAAAAAAGUACGGUAAACUUGAGCUGGAUAUCUAAUCCACAGAUUGUUUUGAUGAUCAUGUAUUUUCCGUUUAACCCCACUGUAAAUCAUCGGACUAGGAACCAAACCAGUGUUCAUCUUGUUGAAAAGCUUAGCCACUUCUUUAUCACUCCCCAAUCUAUUGUAUAAUAUGCCGACGUCUCUCAGUUCCUUAACAUCUUCGGCUUCAUCGAUCAAUGAACCAAGGAAACACAUAUAUGAAGUGACGGCGAAAUCGUUCUGGAAAUCCGGACACAUUUCGUAAGCUAUUAAGUUCAUGGUUGAAUCAUCGACGGAGAUCGGCGGUAAACAUAAUUUUCCGACGAAUAAGAUACGGUUGAAACUGAUGUCGGUUAAAUAACUUGUUUCGCUUGCUUCUAACCAUAUCCCGGUGUUUUUAAGCUCUUUUACGUUAUGAAUGGUGUGUGAAUGGCACCGUUUUGUUCUUUCUUCUUUUCUAUCUUCGUGUUCAAUGCAAAACGGAAAACACCACCGCCGUAGUUUUUCUAUUUUGAAAAGGAGUCUUUUAUGAAUUCCCCACCCCCGUGGUUUUUCUUUUUUGAAAAGGAGUCUUACUCGUAGUAGAUGCAAUAAGUGAAUUGGCGUUCCUUCUUGCUGCGGCCACCAGUCACUAGAGCCAAAUCUGUGUUAGUCAGGAGCCAGCUAAAAUCAAGGUUUUCAAUGGUUGAAUCAAAUCAUUAUUAUUUUAAUAAAAAAUUAUUUAAAUUAUUAAAUUACAUUUUAAACCUUUUAAAAAUUAUUAAAUUAUAAAUUUAUAUACAAUAAAAUUAUACUUUGACUCCUCAAAAUGAAUAAAAAAUUGUUCAAACACUUUUGAAAAAUGAUGAAAUUAUAAAUUAAUACAUAAAAAAAAUCUAAGAAUCAAACCAAACUUGUGGAUCGGCCUAAUUAGAUAGAGAAUCGAGCAAGGUACUGAUCCAGAAUAAUAAGUUAAAUCCAUUGAAUCCAAUCAUCGAAUCGAUUUUUUAUAUAUUUUUAAUAUUUUUAAAAAUUUAUAUAUAUAAUUAAACUGAAUGAACUUAUCAACUAGAAAUGAGAGUCUAAUAGAUUCCAUCACCCAUCUAGUUAUAAAAACCUUUUAACUUUUAUAAACUCCACAAAAAUGGUUAAAAAGACUGUUUUGCCAGCUACCCCAAAGUUGAGUGAUUGUUGCUGUAAUUUACCCCAUUUCUUAUUUGAAAUUGUAAAUUUUUAACAAGCUAAAUUUAAGGUUUUCAAAAUUCAACUCGUUAAGUUAUCGAUUUAUAAGUCUAAUUGGUUUGACGAAUUCAUCCGAUUAAUUAAAUCAAUUAUUAAAAAUUUUCGAUUUGAUUGCCCAAUUCAAUUAGUUUUUUUUUUGGUUCAACCUGUUCAUAUAGAUUCCCAAGUCGAUUGGUCCAAUGAUUUCCUUCGGACUAAUACCUUAAUUAAUUUCCAAUCCAAAUCGAUUCAAAUAAUAUUGGCUAAAAUACAAUUUUUAUUAUUUUAUUAAUGCAAAAAUUUUACCAUUUUAAAGAUAUUAAAAUAUAAAAUUUCUAUUUUAAAAAGUUGGAUUUGAAAUCAUAAUUUUUUUUCUAAAGAAAUGUACACUCAACAGGACCAAAGGAAUUGGCAGGGAAAUUUUGUUUUAUGGACCGUUUUCAUCACAAAUGAUCUUAUCAAAUUAAAAGAGGAUAGAUCAUCUUUUUUUUCAUAUCAUAUAUACAUUGGGACUAAACUUCCAAAUAAAAAAUAAUGUGUCUUUUUUUAAUUGAGUGGGACCAUAGAUGAUGUGGUGAAAAUGGUCCAUUAAAUAAUUUAUCACAAGCAAGAGUAAUUCCAAAAAUAGAAAAUUACAUUUUAAUUCUUUAAAAAUUAUUAAAUUAUAAAUUUAUAUAUUAUAAAAUUACACUUUGAUCCUCAAAAUGGAAAAAAUAUUUUGUUCAGUCUUUUUUUUUUAAAAAAAUAUGAACUUAUAAAUCAAUACAUGAAAAAAUUUAAGCGUCAGGCUAGUUGGAAAGAAAAGAUGAUUGGUUAAGGGUAAAAAGGAAAAUAAGAGAAAUGGAAAAGAAGAAGAAAAGAAGAACAGGGGAGGAAGAAGGGAAAAUGGAAGGAGCUUCCAAGCUUCAUACCAACGAUUCCCAAGGGUCAAAAUCUGGGAAUUUGGAUUUUGAUCCUUGGGAAUUACUGUUACGAAGUCCUUCCAUUUUCUCCUCUUCUUCUUUUCUUCUUUUUCUCCAUUUCUUCUCUUAUUCUUCUUCUUUUUUUUUGUUCUUCUACUGCCCAAACUUCUUAAAUGGGUUUGUUUAAAUGACAGCUAGCCUACCCUUAAAUGUCAUGUCACUUUUUCGUUACGUCUGUAACGAAAAAUGGUUAAAAAGACUGUUUUGUCAGCUACCCCAAAGUUGAGUGAUUAUUGCUAUAAUUUACCCUAUUUCUUAUUUGAAAUUGUAAAUUUUUAACCAGCUAAAUUUAAGGUUUUCAAAACCCAACUCGUUAAGUUAUCGAUUUAUAAUUCUAAUUGGUCUAAUGAAUUCAUCCGAUUAAUUAAAUUAAUUAUUAAAAAUUUUCCAUUUGAUUGCCCAAUUCAAUUAAUUUUUUUUGGUUCAACCUGUUCAUAUAGAUUCCCAAAUCAAUUGGUCCAAUGACUUCCUUCAGACUAAUACCUUAAUUAAUUUCCAAUCCAAAUCGAUUCAAAUAAUAUUGGCUAAAAUACAAUUUUUAUUAUUUUAUUAAUGCAAAAAUUUUACCAUUUUAAAGAUAUUAAAAUAUAAAAUUUCUAUUUUAAAAAGUUGGAUUUGAAAUCAUAAUUUUUUUUCUAAAGAAAUGUACACUCAACAGGACCAAAGGAAUUGGCAGGGAAAUUUUGUUUUAUGGACCGUUUUCAUCACAAAUGAUCUUAUCAAAUUAAAAGAGGAUAGAUCAUCUUUUUUUUCAUAUCAUAUAUACAUUGGGACUAAACUUCCAAAUAAAAAAUAAUGUGUCUUUUUUUAAUUGAGUGGGACCAUAGAUGAUGUGGUGAAAAUGGUCCAUUAAAUAAUUUAUCACAAGCAAGAGUAAUUCCAAAAAUAGAAAAUUACAUUUUAAUUCUUUAAAAAUUAUUAAAUUAUAAAUUUAUAUAUAAUAAAAUUACACUUUGACCCUCAAAAUGGAAAAAAUAUUUUGUUCAAUCUUUUUAAAAAAAUAUGAACUUAUAAAUCAAUACAUGAAAAAAUUUAAGGAUUCGACAAAACUUAUCGGUCAGGCUAGUUGUUGAGAAAAUUGAACAAGAUAUUGAUCCAGAAUAAGAGAUUAGAUUAGAUGAAUUGAGUCAUCGAAUGGAUUUUCUUUAUAUGUUUAAUAUAUCUUUAAUAUUUUCAAAAACUUAUAUAACUGAAUCGAAUAAACUAAUCAAUCAAAAUUAAGAGUAAUCAAUGUAAAAACCUUUUAACAUUUAUAACCUCGACAAAAUGAUUUUUUUAUUUAUUUUUAAAUUCCUUAAAUUACCUGUCCUCGGCUGGGGUGAUAACAGUGUCGUCGAUGAACCUUUUGACUGCAUUCAUGAACUUUUCGCCAUCACUCGAGCUUGUAAGCAAUUCAAGAACACGAAAAGGUAUUUGGUUCUCCAACAAUAACAGAUCCGAGUACACAAAUGUCAGCAAAUCGUUUUUAAUAAACAACCGGUCAUAUUCAGAAGAAAUAUCAUCACCGUAACGCAUAUAAACUGCUUGUAAAAUUGCGCAGCCGUCAACGAAGAACAUCCAAGCCAGUUCCUCGUCAUCGUCGCUAUAGUUCGCUAAUUCCUGUGGAUCAUAGCAUUUCUUUAAGUCAUCGAUCUCUGCCUUCAUGUUGCUGUACUCCUCAUUGUCGUCAAUGUUUCUGACGAAAUGUGCUGCUAAUUUGAGCUUGAGAUCAUUGGAUUCUUGGAGGGUGCCAUCAUCGUGGUGGAGUGGGCCGAUUGAGAUCACUUUCGGCUUGAAAUACUUCUUGAAAUCUUCGUUACGGCUAAGGGUUGAUGGGACUUUUCGGAUCAAUGGAUUGCAUGUGCCGUUGGAAGCUUUGACUAAUGACGCGAGAUUCGCUAAUUCGCCCUUCCAGCGUAGCAAGUCAAUACGAAUGCUCACGAAAUCGUUGUUGUUGGUGAUUGUUUGAUCAGUGGAAACUGCUCCGACGGCGCCGCCUCCUUCCUCCGUGGACGGCAUUUUCAGGCUGAGCGGUUGGAAGUAAUAAAGAAGGUGAUUUUGUAAACUGUUUUUGGCUGAGUGAGUGAUGUUGGAGAAAAGGUGGCAAAAUGGCUACGAUGAUGACAAAUAUUUUAUAGCCUACAUGAUAAACAUAUAUGGGAAAUACUUAAGGUGUAAUUCAAAUUUACCCCUUAGUGUUUAUAUUUUUAUUAAUAUAAUUUUAAUUUUUUAAUUAAAUUUAAUUCUCUUUUGAAAGAGUCAAUGAUAAAAAAGAAAAGUUAAAUUAAUAUUUUUUAACAAAAAUAGUAAUAAAUAUUAAAAUUAAGAAUAAUAUUAUAGAACCUAAAUACUCAACACAACCCAAAACCUUCGCCUUAACCAAGAAACUAAUACUUCCUAAAUUUCAUUAGCUUAAUAAUAGCUAUUCAAAUAUAUUUUUUCAUUGUAUUACUUAAAUUAUUAUUACUUACUUUAACAUUUAAAUUAUCAUUAUAUUACAUGAUUAGUUCCAAAUAUUUAACAUUGUAACUAUGCUUCUUUAAAUAUAGUAAUUGCAUUUGUUAUUCACAUGUUAUUCACAUGCCAACCAACCAAUUUAUUAUUCACAUUCCUAACUUUCUAAAUGCAUCAAAUAUUUCAUAUUCAUGUACUAACAAAGAUCAUGCCAAGAACCCACAUGCAGAGUCAUUAUAUACCACAUUUAACUCAACAAGACUUUUACAUAACCAAAGAUUACUCCAAACGUUUAUACGCAUGUCGCAAUCCUUGACUCAAAUGAUAAAAAAAAAAACACCAAAUUGACAAUAAAAUAAUGUAAGCUUCGAACGAUCCAAUCGACAUGUUCCACAAUGUAACACCUAAAAGGAAAAAGAAAACAAUGGGGUAAGCAUAUAAGAUGCUUAGUAAACUCAUAUGUAAUCUAAAACUUACCUAGAUUAAUUGAACAUAAAAAUUACUGAAUAAUCUAUCAAAUUUAUUUUUCCAUGGCACGUAGAUAUCGUAUAUGUAACAACAUUUCAAGUCGAAAAUGUUAAAUACAAUGUUGAAUCAUUAUGUCUUCUUUUCUUAAGUUUCACUUAUAGAAAUAUAAUAUAGGUUCAAGUACAAAUAUAUGUCUCGAUUAAUCUAGAAAGAAUUAGACAAAAUUCACAUAUGAUAUACGCAUAUAAUGAGUGUGAGACUCACACAUCACAAUUGAGAAUAAUGUUAUAGAACCUAAAUACUCAACAACCCAAAACCUUUGCGUUAAGCAAGAAGCUAAGACCCUAUCGGAGGGAGAAUUUUAUAUCUACAACACUUCUUAAAUUUCAUUAGCUUAACAAUAGCUAUUCAAAUAUUUAACAUUGUAACCAUGCUUCUUUACAUAUAGUAAUUGCAUUUGUUAUUCUACCCAACUUAUGAAAAAUCUCAAAUUUGCAAUUUAUUAUUCACAUGCCAACCAACCAAUUUAUUAUUCACGUGCCAACCAAUUUGUUUUAUCGAAGUUAUUAUACUUAUAAGCUUUCACAUAUAACCAUGCUUCUUUACAUAUAUUAAUUGCAUUUAUUGUUGUACCUCAUGAAAAUUUUCAAAUUUGCAACAACAUAUUAUUCGCAUGCCAACCAACCUCUUUUUUUUUAUUGAAGUUAUUAUACUUAUAAGCAUUCACAUUUAACCAUGCUUCUUGUAACACUUUUCAUUGGACCCAAUCGUUGGGUCCGAUCUACAAGACUCUACAGUCAUUGUCAAAGCAACUACAGUCGAAAUUACGAUAAGAUAAUUUUCAUUUAAACAUCAAGCAAGAUUCAACUACAGUAAUACAUUAAUUAUGAGUUUUAAUCGAGCUUACAAAAGCUUUUUUGGUAGUCCGAACAAGAAUUAGGACCAAACUAUAAAGAUUUGAAAAGUUUGGAGCGACGUCGCAACUUCAGCUUUUCCUCAUCGCAACAUGACCAUCUCAGUAUGUCACAUCAUAUCGAAAAGCCUAUGCUCAUCGCAGCGAGACUCUCUGACUUGGCAAUGUCGCAAUGUCAAGAUUCGUAGCCGUGAUGUGAACUCUAUAUUUGACAAAAAUAUACAAUUUGGUACCUAAUUCAAAGCUCCAACUAAAAUCAUGCAAGAAAAAUACAUUACGUGCCAUUUCUAAAUGACUUAAAACUUACCUUAAACAUGCUAAGUAAGUUUAAACAUAUCAUUUCAAUUCCAUAGCAAUUCAUAUUACCAUUUCAUCAAUUGUAUUCAACUUUUCAAUAACUUGUAACCAUGCUUCUUUACAUAUAGUAAUUGCAUUUGUUAUUCUACCUAAUUUAUGAAAAAUCUCAAAUUCACAAUUUAUUAUUCACAAGCCAAACAACCAAUUUAUUAUUCCAACCAACCAAUUUAUUAUUCACAUGCCAACCAAUUUGCUUUAUUGAAGUUAUUAUACUUAUAAGCUUUCACAUAUAACCAUGCUUCUUUACAUAUAUUAAUUGCAUUUAUUGUUGUACCUCAUGAAAAUUUUCAAAUUUGCAACAACAUAUUAUUCGCAUGCCAACCAACCUCUUUUUUUUUAUUAUUGAAGUUAUUAUACUUAAAAGCUUUCACAUGUAACCAUGCUUCUUGUAACACUUUUCAUUGGAUCCGAUCAUUGGGUCCGAUCUACAGAACGCUACAGUCAUUAUCAAAGCAACUACAGUCAGAAUUACGAUAAGAUAAUUUUUAUUUAAACGUCAAUCACGAUUCAAUUACAGUAAUACAUUAAUUAUGAGCUUUAAUCGAGCUUACGAAAACUUUUUUGGCAGUCCGAACAAGAAUUAGGACCAAACUGUAAAGAUUUGAAAAGUUUAGAGCGAUACUGCGACUUCAGCUUUUCCUCAUCGCAACAUGACCAUCUCAGUAUGUCACAUCAUAUCAAAAAGCCUAUGCUCGUCGCGGCGAGACUCUCUGACUUGGCAAUGUCGCAAUGUCAAGAUUCGUAGCCGUGAUGUGAACCCUAUAUUUGACAAAAAUAAACAAUUUGGUAUCUAAUUCAAAGCUCCAACUAGAAUUAUGCAAGAAAAAUACAUUACGUGCCAUUUCUAAAUGACUUAAAACUUACCUUAAACAUGCUAAGUAAGUUUAAACAUAUCAUUUCAAUUCCAUAGCAAUUCAUAUUACCAUUUCAUCAAUUGUAUUCAACUUUUCAAUAACUUAAACUAAAUAUCAACAAGUUAUACAAACAUCUACCAUUACCUUUAUCAUGCCAUAAUGAAUCAUUCCAUUUCAAACAAUCAUCACAUUAGUUCUUUCAUUUUUCUUUUUUAGUCAUCAUAUGCAAACCAACUUAAAUAGAUCACAUUCCAACUUUCUAAAUGCAUCAAAUAUUUCAUAGCAAAGAUCAUGCCAAGAACCCACAUGCAAAGUCAUUAUAUACCACAUUAAACUCAACAAAACUUUUACACAACCAAAGUCUACUACAAAUGUUUAUAUACAUGUCGCAAUCCUUGACUCAAAAUGAUAAAAAAUAAACUACCAAAUUGAUGAGAAAAUAGUUUAAGCUUAGAACAAUCCAACCGACGUGUUCUGCAAGGUAACAACCUAAAAGAAAAAAAGAAACAACGGGAUAAGCAUAUGAUAUGCUUAGUAAGCUCAUAUGGAAACUAAAACUUACCUAGAUCCAUUGAACAUAAAAAAUUACUCAAUAAGCUAUUGAAUUAAUUUUUCCUUGGCACUUAUAUACAUAUAGUACAUGUAACAACAUUGCAAGUCAAAAGUGUUAGAUACAAUGUUGAAUCAUAAUCCCAUCAACCUUUAAAACAUAAUCACAUAGCAAUCUACAUAUCAAAUUUCAUCAAUUUAUUUUUCAAUUCAAGAUUUAAUUCCAUUUCCAACCAUUUAAUCAUCCUCUGAUAAAACUAUAGUAAAAAAGACCUAGGUACAUGGGACUAUUUUGCUGACACUUUAACGAACUUUCUCACACAAGUUGAUUUUAUAUUAGAAUUGUUCACACAAGUUGACUUUGUAAUAAUUGCUCACACAAGCUAACUUUAUAUAAUGGAAUUGUUCACACAUCCUGACUUUGUAAAAUGCUCACACAAGCUGACUUUGUAAUACUUCCAUACAACUAAUAUUUAUGAUUCAAUUAAAUUCAAGACAAUUGUGCUAAAUUCUAACAAUUAUAUAUAUAUAUAUAUCCUUUUUUUCGGGAUCAUUCCAAAAAAAACCGUUUUUAAUUUUUGGUGCGGAACAAAAAAAAAGUGAAUUGAAUUUAAAGUUGGAUCGAGUGAAUAAAUGGAUAGAGCUCCACGGCCCCAAUUAUAGGGAAACAAAAAGUAACAAGCUUCUGUUCUCAAUUUGAAUAAUUACCUAAUCUAAUUAAACUUUAAAAAAAAAAUUAGUGCCUAAUGUGGUAAAGGUUUUUCUCAUGAGUAAAUUAUCGGUUUUUUUUUUGAGUCCUAAUUAUUAUUAUUAGGCAUUCCCUUUAUGGGUUAGCCAUGAAUGUGUAGAAGAAGCAGUAUAUUGAUAAAGAAAAUAACUUUUUUUCUAAAAUCAAAAGAGCGAUUGGGUUGAAAAAAUAAAGGAUUUCUAACCGUCAUAUAUGUUGAUUCAAAUAUAAUUCAUACCAAAAUAAAAUUGAUUAUUAAGUUAAAAUAAAAUUUAGGAUGUGAAAGAAGUUCAAAAAAAAAAUUAAUGCAAAAGAAAGAUAAGGGUAUUUUUUUUAGGUCAUGGAUGUAACAACGAAGCUCGGUUAUUGUUGGUGUUGUAUGGAAGAAUCGAAGAUGUAGUGAAUGAGUUUUUAGGGUUUUAAAGUUUAACAUUGAAAGAUUGUUGUUUGUGGGUAUGUGACUGUUUUCGAUGUAAGGAAUGGUAUAAAAAAAUUACGAUUUAGGGUUUUAUUAUAUAAAUAAAGAAAGCGCCUUUUAAGAUUGUUAGAGGCACCUAUCUUUGUUUUUAGUGUAUGUAUCAUGGUCCUGAUGAUGCGGUACAAGUUUAGUUCUUUUGAGUGUGUCUUGUGAUGUGAAGUCUGUUUUGUUGGGGCUCUUGGCUCCUAUGUUUCAAUGAUAAUAAAAUAUACGUCAAACAAAAUUCUCACAAAAAACAGAGUUUACAAAACGACUAGUAAACAACACUUACUUUGGUUGAUGUAUGGCAUAAUAAGUCUGCAAAGCACCAAGCAAAAGUGCAGUAAUGGCACCCACAAAUGCCAAAAACGUCCAAGGACUCCUAAAAUAAGUAUGAUAAGCUAGAGCUGCAUGCUUAAUCCGCAUAUUCUUACAAUGAUUAUGUAUUUUCCGUUUAACCCCACCGUAAAUCAUCGGACUAGGAACCAAAUCAGUGUUCAUCUUAUUGAAAAGGUUAGCCACUUCUUCAUCACUCCCCAAUCCGUUGUAUAGUAUGCCGGUGCCACUCAGGUCUUUAACAUCUUCGGCUUCAUCGAUCAAUAAAUCAAGGAAACACAUAUAUGAAGUGACAGUGAAAUCGUUUUUGAAAUCCGGGCACAUUUCGUAAGCUAUCAAGUUCAUGGUUGAAUCAUUGACGGCGAUUGGCGGUAAACAUAAUUUUCCAACGAAGAUACGGUUGAAACAGAUUCGUAGUAGAUUCAGUAGGUGAAUUGGACUUGCAGCUUCCACCAUUACCAUUUUCUAGAGCUAAAUCUGUGUCAAGUCAUCGAUUUAUAAGUUUAAUUGAUCCGAUGUAUUCAUAUUUGUUGAUUAAAUAAAUCAUUAAAAAUUUUGAUUUUAUUAUUUAGUUCAAUAAGUUUUUUUUUUUUUUUACAAUUCAACCUGAUUCUUAAGUCAAUCGAUCUAAUGACUUUCUUUAAACUCAUACCUCAAUUAAUUUUCAAUCCAAUAUAAUCCAAACAACAUUUCGUAAAAUAUAAUUUUAUUUUACCAUUUUGAAAAGUUGGAUUUGAAAAUGCACACUCAACAGGAUCAAUACAAAGGGACAGGCGAGGUCGUUCUCAAAAAUAGAAAAUUAUAUUUUCAUCCUUUUUAAAUUAUUAAAUUAUAAAUUUAUAUAAUAAAAUUACACUUUAACCUUUUAAAAUGAAAAAAAAAAUUGUUCAACCUUUUUAAAACUGAUGAAAUUAUAAAUUAAUAAAUGAAAAAAAAAGAGAAUGAGACGAAACUUGUUGAUCAAGCUAGUUGGAUAGAGAAUUAAGUAAAGGUGCUCAUGGGUAAGGUUGAACCCAAUAAAAGAUUUAUGCCUCAGCUUGGCCCACUCGUUUUAAUUUUUUUAAAUUUUUUUAAAUUUUUUUAAUAUAAUUUUUAAAUAUAUAUGAUACAUUAAAAAUACUAAAAAACAUUAAAAUAAAUAUUUCCCAACAAACUAAUUUUUUUUUAAAAAUAUGUAUACUUAAAUAACAUUAAAGUAGACACUGUAAAAUGGUAAUAAAAUAGGAAGAAAAUGACAAGAAACUAGCAUUAAAACAAUAAAAAAAUAACAUAUUUUUUUGUCCUUUUGUGAUUCGGGCUAGGGUUGGGCCAAAAAUGUCUUACCCGAGACUCGGCCUAUUUUCAAAACUAGAUUUUUUUUUGCCCAAGUCAAUUUUUUAGGUCUAUAUUUUUACUUAAACCCUUAUAUUUCUCGGACGAGCCAAAUGACCCAAUCUAUGAGUAAGUCUAGAAUCAAGCAAGAUACUGGUCCAGAAGAAAAGGAUAGACAAAUUGAAUCGAAUAGUAAAAUCGAUUUUUUUUAUAUUUUUAAUAUAACUUUAAUAUUUUUUAAGAUUCUAUAUAAUUUAAACGAAUGAACUAUUCAACCGAAAAUGAGGAUCUAAUCGAUUCCAUCACCUAGUUAUAAAAAUCUUUAACACUUAUAAACUCCACAAAAUAUUCUUUUUAAAAUUCCUUAAAUUACCUGUCCCGCUGAUGUGAUUGUGGCUCUUUUAUCUCGGCUGGGUUGACAACAGUGUCGUCGAUGAACCUUUUGAUUGAAUCCAUGAACUUUUUGCCAUCCCCCGAGCUUGUAAGCAAUUCAGGAACACGAAAAGGUGAUUGGUUUUCCAACAAGAACAGAUCCGAGUACACAAAUGUCAGCAAAUCGUUUUUAAUGAAAUUCGUUCGACUUACGAUCAUAAUCUUGGCCGUAACGCAUAUAAACUGCUUGUAAAAUUGCGCAGCCGUCAAUUCCUUUGGAUCAUAGCUUUUCUUCAAGCCAUCCGGCUCUGUCUUCAUGUUGUUGUACAAGGUAUCAUUAUCGAUGCCAAUUUUUUUAACGAAAUUUGCUGCUAAAUUGAGCUUGAGCUUCUCGGACUCGUGGAGGGUGGGAUCAUCGUGGUGGAGUGGGCCAAUUGAGAUCACUUUCGGCUUGAAAUAUUUCCGGAAAUCUUCGUCACGGCGAAGGGUUGCUGGGACUCUUUUGUCAAUAGUUUGGCUUUGGGGUCGAGAUGGUCCCCUUCGAAAGCUUCGUCUAAUGACCAGCAAUUCCGUGAUUCGCCAUUGCUGUGAGUGAAGUCUGUACCCGGUAUUGGAAUGAUCGUCUCUAGGGGAUUGUUGUUCGUGUUGUUAUUGAUGACUGUUUGAUCAGUGGAAACUACUCCACCGGGAGCUCUGACGGCGCCGCCUCCUUCUGUAACACCCCUAUACCAUGUUUGACUUAAGGAACCUAAUAUAAGAAUAUUACAUUUGAUGCCAAAGUAAUUCUUGGCUAAUUACUAUUAUAUUUGAACAUAAAAACAGACAAAUAAUAAAUUUAAAUAAUUUAUAUUUAAAUCCAUUACUACUACUUGGGACAUAAUUUUUUUUAAGUACAUGCCAUUCUAUUCAAAAUUUUAAAACAUACCCGUUGUUGCUUGAAGAUGUGAUGAGAUGAAAGCUUACAAUCUCAAAUUCGACUCUCAAAAAUUUAUGUACCUAAUUUGCGCAAGGAAACAAAUCGUACAAUGAGUAUACACCCAGUGUUAUUACUAUAAUUCAAAUACUUAAGGUAAAAACAAUAUAUAUACACAUUAAAUCUUACCACUAUUUUACCUUCAAUAAAUCAUUCAUGCAUUUAAACUUUAAAUUUAUUCUAAUAAUAUGUAUCUUAAAUAGCUUUUCUUUAUUUUAAUUUAUAUAUCUACUUAUUAUAUCAAUAUUCAUUUCAUGCAUUUCAUCAAUAACCAUUUCAUAAAACUAUUAUUUCAUAUAUUUCAUUUCUAUAUCCUAAUUCAAUAAUUUAUUCUAUUCCAUAUCUAAAACCUUACAACAUUAGUCUUUCAAUAAUUAUUUAAACCAACAUUUUUCAAUAAAAAUAAUUAUAAUUAAUUCAUAAGAUUAUAUCCAACUAACUCAUACACUAUUUCAUUAUUUCCUAUUCAUUCUAUUUUCACUUCUUAUUUCGAUAUCUCAAUUUCAAUUCACAUUUCAAUUCAUAAUUUCACUUUCUCAUACUUUCAAUAGCUCAAUCCAUCAAUUCAUUUGAUUUUUUCAUUUCAUUUAUUCAACUGAUUUCAAAAUCAAUAAUUCGAUAUUUUAGCAAAUUCAUGAACCUUAUGUUCAUGCUUCAAAUCUCGCAUCUUAAUGCCGUUCACAAUUCAACUCAUAAUUUCUUUCUCAUAUCUCUAAAAGUACGAUCAAUCAAAUUUAUUUAAUUUUCUCAUUUCAGUUAUUCACCUUAUUAACAAACCCGGACUUUGACGGAUACACGAAUUCCAACCCAAACACACCAGUACGGCAUAUUGUGCCUAAAACGGUACAUAGUACCUGAUCAGUAUACGACACAUAAGUGCCUGAAAUGACACACGAGGUGCCUAAUAUGACACACGAGGUGCCUGAAAUACGCAAAGCCGAUAUAUCCCGGACUCUUAUAAAUCCUAUGGCAUGCCAAUUAUAUCCGACUCAGCCCGACUAGAUAAUAGGGUAUUUCAAUUCUCAAUUCACUUUCAUUUCCAAUUCAAUAUCACUUUUCAAUUACAAUUUCUCAUUCAAAUCAAUAUACAAUUCAAUUGUACAUACACAUUCAUCAUUCAAUUCAAUUCUCAUUCAUUUCAAAAUCAAUUUUUCACUUUCUAAUCAAUAAACAAUUCAAUACCAAUACAUAUUUCAGAUAAUCACAUAUAAUCAUAUUUCGAUUCAAUUCAAACCACUUUUCAAUCAAUACACAAUUCACAUAUUCACACAUAUUCAUAAAUUAAUUCACUUUUAUUUAAUUCAUAUUUUUAAUUCAUUUUCCAAUCAAAUUCAAAUCACUAAUUACUUUUCAAUCAAUAUACAUUUCAAAUACUCACAUAUUUUCUUCAUUCAAUUCAAUUUGAUUCAAUUAAAAUCACUUUUAGUUUCCAAUCAAUAUAAUUUCAAAUAUUCACAUAAUUCGUAAUUCAAUUACUUAAAUCACUUUUAAUUUCCAAUUUGUUCACAUUCAAUUUCAAUAGCCAUAAACAUUUUUGAAUCAAUUUCAUUCAAAUCAAUAUCAUCAUUUCAAUUGCUUACCUAAUUUUAUUUGCCAUGCAUUUUAAUUCAAAUAUAACAAUUAAUAAUAAAUAGAUUUGAAUUAUAGUAGUACAAACCCGGAUUUGUUCGAUUACUCCUCGAUAACGUUUCCUUUCUUUUCGGUGCCGAUGCCUCGAUUUCUUUGGUAACUACAAAAAUAAUAAUAAUAAUUUACACUUAUUAAUAACAGCACUAAUUUAUAAUAAUGAUUGAAUUUCUAUUCAAUUUAUAUCCUAAUUCCAAUUUAAUCCUAAUUAACUCAUUUACUUUUAUAAUUCAAUUCAUACUUCAUUUCGAUUCAAUUUCCUUCCAUAUUUCACUUAACUAUCUAAUGUUCAUAAUAAAAUUAUAAUUUAAAAUUUCUUUCAAUUUAGUCCUUUCAACACAAAACUUAUAGCUUCUUUUACAAUUCAAUCCCUUACCAAAUAUAACUUGAAAUUCAUUCAAUUAAAUCCCUAAUUCAUCUUUUUGUUCAACAUGAACUAUACUUAUAAACCUAUGAACUUUCAAAGUAUCAACUUAAUUUCAUCAAAACCUUGUUCUAAAGCUUGUAAAACAUCAAAAUUAAGUAAAAAUGACUUAAUUGACUUACCUAUUAAAGUUUUAACCUUCAAACCCUAGUUUUUCCCCAUUUUCUUUUCUUUCCCUUUUCUUUCUUCUUGUUUUCGAAUGGCUUCUGCUAUUCUUUCUUUUGCUUUCUUUCUUUAUUUCAUUUCAUUUAUAUAUAUAUAUAUAAUAUUAGUUAAUAAUGAUAAUAAUGAUAAUAAUAAUUAUAAUAAAUAUCUUUUAAUAACACAUAUUUACAUUACAUUUGUCACCACUUAAUUUGUUUAUCGUACACAAAAAUCUUAUAAUAUAAUUAUUUAAUUAAUAACUAUCUUUUACUUAAUUUUCAAGUAAAUAAAUAAAUAUAAUACAAAUGUAUAUAUUUACAUUAUUUCAAUUGUCACUAUCCAAUUUUUUUAUUAGUUAUCUAAUAAAUAUCUUUUACUUAGUAAUAAUAAAUAAUAAAUAUCUAUUUACUAAUUAAAUAUAAGUAUUACAAAUGUACAUAUAUUUUUUUUACAAGUGUACAAUAUCAUCACCACCCAUUUGGCAAAAUUUUGAUUUAUUCAUAUAAUAUAAUAUAAUAUUUUUAAUUUAUAACUAAUAUAAAUUGCCAUAUAAUAAAAUAAUUAUAUACAUAAUAAUUUAAUAAUAAUUAAACAAUAAAAAUUUUAGAUUUUUAUCAACAUUUGCCGCCUCAUUUAUGGUGAAUGGUAUAUUUUCCAUUUUGGUCCCCCUUUCUUUUUAUUAAUCUAAUUUAGCCCUUAAUAUUUAUAAUUUUACCAAUUUGAUUUUUAUUCUUUUUAGUUAAAUUUAAUUCUCUACCUAGUGUCAAAUUUGACUAUUGAUCUUUUAGAAAAUUGUCGAAUUAAUGUUUUGUUCUUUGCUUUCAAUUUGGUUCUGUUCUUAAGCAAAUUUCUGCUUUGUUUCUUCUCCAAGUCACGAGUCUUGUUGUUCAAGUCAUAGCUGAACUAGCUUGCUUGUUGUUCAUAACACCAACAACCUGUUCUCGGCUGGGUUGAUAACAGUAUCAUCGAUGAACCUCCGGAUUGCAUUCAUGAACAUUUUGCCAUCACCCAAGCUUGUAAGCAAUUCAAGAACACGAAAAGGUAAUUGAUUUUCCAACAAGAACAGAUCCGAGUACAAAAAUGUCAGUAAAUCAUUUUUAAUUAACAAAUUACCAUCAUCAUCAUCAUUAUCGUAACGCAUGUCAACUGCUUGUAAAUUUGCGCAGCCGUCAACGAUGAACAUCCAAGCCAGUUCCUCGUUAUCGUCUCUAUACUUCUCUAAUUCCUGUGGAUCAUAGCAUUCCUUCAAGCUAUCCAUCUCUUUCUUAAUUUUUCUGUACAAGGAUUUCUUAUCGACGCCAAUUUUUUUGACGAAAUGUGCUGCUAAUUUGAGGUUGAGCCCCUUGGAUUCACGGAGGGUGAGAUCAUCGUGGUGGAGUGGGCCGAUUGAGAUCACUUUCAGCUUGAAAUACUUCUUGAAAUCUUCGUUACGGAGAAGGGUUGAUGGGACUUUUUGUAUUAAUGGUUUGUAUCUAAGGGUGGGUUGGCCACCAAAAGCUUUGUCUAAUGACUGGAGCUUCGCUACUUCGCCAUCGCUGAGAGGGACGUCGGUGAACCACAUAUCAAUUCCCACGUAAUCGUUGUUGGUGUUGUUGUCGAUGAUUGUUUGAUUAGUGGAAACUGCUCCGGCGGCGCUGCCUCCUUCCUCCAUGGACGACAUUUUCAGGCUGACCGGCUCGAAGUAAUUAACAAGGUGAUUUUGAAAACUUGUUUUGGCUGAUUGAGUGAUGUUGGAAAAAAGGUGGCAAAAUGGCUACGAUGAUAACAAAUCUUCUAUAGCUUACAUAAAGAGGCGAAUAUAGGGGAAUGUAAAAUUGUUAUUUAGGCCCUUAAUAUUUUUUAAAAUUUUAAAUUAGUAAAAGUGAAAUUACAUUUUGGCCUUAUAAAAUUAUAAAAAUUCAAUUUAAUCUUUUAAAAAUUAUAAAGAUAUAGACUACAAAAAAUUAAAAUCUCAUUCGAUCCACCCUAAAAAAUUAUUCGGGCUUCGCCACUGCUUACAUAAUAAACAUAUGGAAAAUACUUUUGGUGUAAUUCAAAUUUACCCCUUAUAGUCAAUUUAAUUUUCAUUUUUUUAAUUUAAUUUUCUAUCUUUUGGAAGAGUUGAAUUUAACUAUCAAUUUAAAUUAAUAUUUUUUAACGAAAAUAGUGACUAAAAUAUUAAAAUAUUAAACAUGACAACUCAAACGGCAAUCCACAUCUAUAUGUUUUUUUUAUUUAUUUCUUAUUUUUAAAUUAUUUAUUGAUGUGACAUAUAAUAAAAGUAUUGUUAUAUUAGCAUGAAGUACACAUGGAAGGCCACACGAGUUGUGACACCAAUAUCGUUAAAAAUUAAUAUUUUAGUUAGCAUAUCUGUUAAAGAAAAGCAAAUGAACUCUUUUUUCAAAGGUUAAUGGCUAAAUUUAGCUCAAAUGAAAAAAAAAAAAGGCCAAUUUGAUAAAAAAGGUAAAUGUCAAGAGUUAAGUUUAACAUUUAUACAAGUACAAAUAUAUGUCUGGAUUAAUCUAGAAAGAACAAGACAAACUCUACAGGUGAUAUACAAAUGUGAUGAGAGUGGAACCUGCACAUCACAAUUGAGAAUAAUAUUAUAGAACCUAAAUACUCAAAAACCUAAAACCUUCCCCUUAACCAAGAAGCUAAGACGCCAUGGAUAAUUUUAUAUCUACAACACUUAUGAAUUUCAUAUGCUUAAUAAUAGUUUACAAAAAGACAAGUAAAGAACACUUACUUCGGUUGAUGUAUGGUAUAAUAAGUCUGCAAAGCACUAAGAGUAAGUGCAGCAAUGGCACCCAAAAAUGCUAAAAACGUCCAAGGACUCCUAAAAUAAGUAUGAUAACCUUGAGCUGCAUGAUUAAUCCACAUAGUCUUACAAUGAUUAUGUAUUUUCUCUUUAACCCCACUGUAAAUUGUCGGACUAGGAACCAAAUCAGUGUUCAUCUUAUUGAAAAGCUUAGCCAUUUCUUCAUCACUGCCCAAUCCAUUGUAUAGUAUGCCGGAGUCUCUAAGGUCUUUAACAUCUUCGGCUUCAUCGAUCAAUAAAUCAAGGAAACACAUAUAUGAAGUGACGGUGAAAUCGUUGUCGAAAUCCGGACACAUUUCGUAAGCUAUUAAGUUCAUGGUUGAAUCAUCGACGGAGAUCGGCGGUAACCGUAAUUUUCCGAAGAAGAAGAUAUGGUUGAAACUGAUGUCGGUUAAAUUACUUGUUUCGCUGGCUUCUAACCAUAUCCCGGCCUUUUUAAGCUCUUUUACGUUACCAAUGGUGCGUGAAUGGUACCGUUUUGUUCUUUUUCUUCUUGCUGCUGCUUUGCCAAAUCCGUGUCGAGUGAAUUCCCAAAGAAAACACCAGCACCGUAUUCGUACUUUUCUGAGAAGGAGUCUUUCUCGUAGUAGAUGCAAUAAGUGAAUUCGCUCUCCUUCUUUUUGCUGCUUCCACCACCAUUCCCUACACCAAAAUCUGUGUUAGUCGGAAGCCAAGCUACAAUUUCUCUUUUCUCUUUUCUUUUUUUCUUUUUUGUUGUUAAUACAAAAAUAUUAAAAAUCAAUCUAUACUUGUUAAUCAAGUUGGUUGAAUAAAAAAUUAAAUAAAAUUGAAGUUAUACCAAUUGAAUUAAAGAAUGGAAUAAAUUUCUUUUUAUAUUUUUAAUAUUUUUAAAAAUUUAUAUAAUUAAACUGAAUUAACUAAUCAAAUGGAAAAGAGAGUCUAAUAGAUUCCAUCACCUAUGUAGUUAUAAAAACCUUUUAACAUUUAUAAACUCCACAAAAAUGAUUCUUUAUUUAAUUCCCUAAAUUACCUGUCCUCGCCUGGGUUGAUAACAGUUUCGUCGAUGAACCUUUGGAUUGCAUUCAUGAACUUUUUGCCAUCCCCCGAGCUUGUAAGCAAUUCAAGAACACGAAAAGGUAAUUGGUUUUCCAACAAGAACAGAUCCGAGUACACAAAUGUCAGCAAAUCGUCUUUAAUAAACAAUUUACCAUCAUCAUCAUCAUCAUCAUCAUCACCGUAACGCCUGUAAACUGCUUGUAAAAUUGCGCAGCCGUCAACGAAGAAAAUCCAAGCCAGUUUCUCGUUAUCGUUGCUAUAGUUCUCUAAUCCCUUUGGAUCAUAGCAUUUCUUUAACUCAUCGAUCUCUGUCUUCAUGUUGUUGUACAAGGUAUCCUUAUCGACGCCAAUUUUUUUGACGAAAAGUGCUGCUAAUUUGAGCUUGAGCUUCUCGGAUUUAUGGAAGGUGGGAUCAUCGUGGUGGAGUGGGCCGAUUGAGAUCACUUUCGGCUUGAAAUACUUACUGAAAUCUUCGUGACGACCAAGGGUUGAUGGGACUCUUUGUAUCAAUGGUUUGGCACGGAGGUCGAUUUCGUCGCCGUCGAAAGCUUCGUCUAAUGACCGGAGAUUCACUACUUCGCCAACGCUGAGAGGGACGUCCAUAUCAAUGCUCACGGAAUCGUUGUUGUCGGUGAUUGUUUGAUCAGUGGGAGCUGCUCCGACGGCGCCGCCUCCUUCCUCCGUGGAGGACAUUUUCAGGCUGAGCGGUUGGAAGUAAUAAACAAGGUGAUUUUGUAAACUGUUUUUGGCAGAGUGAGUGAUGUUGGAGAAAAGGUAGCAAAGUGGAUAAGAUGAUGACAAAUAUUUUGUAGCUUACAUGAUAAACAUAUAUGGGAAAUACUUAAGGCGUUAGUGUUUAUAUUUUUACUAAUAUAAACAAUGAUAAAAAAGAAAAGUUAAAUAGUGACAAAUACUAAAAUUGAGAAUAAUAUUAUGGAACCUAAAUACUCAACACUACUCAAAACCUUCGCCUUUAACCAAGAAACUAAGACCCUAUCUGAGGGAGAAUUUUAUAUCUACAACACUUCCUAAAUUUCAUUAGCUUAAUAAUAGCUAUUCAAAUAUAUUUUUUCAUUUUAUUACUGACUUUAAUAUUUAAAUUAUCAUUAUAUUGCAUGAUUUAUUCCAAAUAUUUACAUAUAGUAAUUGCAUUUGUAAUUCUACCUAACUAUGAAAAAUCUCAAAUUUGCAACAUGUUAUUCACAUGCCAACCAACCAAUAUAUUAUUCCUACCAACCAAUUUAUCAUUCACAUUCCAACUUUCUAAAUCCAUCAAAUAUUUCAUAUUCAUGUACUAACAAAGAUCAUGCCAAGAACCCACAUGCAAAGUCAUUGUAUAGUACCACAUUUAACUCAAUCGGACUUUUACACAACUAAAGAUUACUCCAAACGUUUAUAUGCAUGUCACAAUCCUUCACUCAAAAUGAUAAAAAAAACUAUUAAAUUGACGAUAAAAUAGUUUAAGCUUCGACCGAUUCAACCGACGUGUUCUAGCAUAUAAUAUGUUUAGUAAGCUCAUAUGGAAACUAAAACUUACCUAGAUCAAUUGAACAUAAAAAAUUACUCAAUAAGCUAUCGAAUUAAUUUUUCCCUGACACUUAUAUACAUAUAGUACAUCUAAUAAAAUUUCUGUUAAAGAAAAGCAAUUUGACUCUUUUUCUAAAAAGUUAAUAACUAAAUUUAGCUCAAAUAAAAAAAAAGAAUAAAAGUCAAUUUGAUAAAAAAUAUAAAUAUUAAAAAUUAAAUUUAUCAUUAUAUCUUUUUUAAGUAAUUAUUUGUGGUGAGCCAUCAUGUCUGACGAUGAUUUUUAAAUACUGUAUUAAUUAUAUAUAGCACAUCAUAUUUCACUAUAAUUUCUAUAGACUUUUUAAACAUGGGGUUAAUUGUUUAUGGCCCAUUGCCCAUGUUGCUUUUAUUAAAUUUUGGGUGAACUUCUCAUUUUGGUCAAAAAAAAAUUGUAUUCUCAGUAUAAAACAAAAAACUAAUCUUUAAUGUUUAUGGCCAAACCCCACCUCUCCUAUCCUAUAAUAAUGGUUCUUGGCUUCUUCUAUCCUACACCUCAAUUAUUUGGAUUAGAUUGAAAAACAAUUGACACUUGAUUUGAUUGUGAAAUAAAGUUAAAUUUUAAAUUUAUAAUAUUUAAUUUGAGUGUGAAUGAAUUUUUGACUUAAUUGAAAAUUUAAAAUUUUAAGUUCGAGUCGUAUUUAAUUAUGUGUGUAUAUCGUGUAUAAAUUUUGUUCAAAUUUAUUUUGAUUUAAUUUUCAUACUAUAUAUUCUUAAUUAAAUUCGGAAUAUAUUUUGAUUAUCAAUUUAACCAUACAUUGUAACGAUGGAUUAAAAUUAUAGUUAAUUAUAUAUUGAAACUAAAUAAUUAGUUUAAGGAAUUAAAAGAUAUUAUUAUAUUUUAUAAAAUUUGAAUAGAUUCAUAAUUAAUUCGAGAUUAAAAAAUGGGAGAAGAAAAGCUAAAACCAAACCUUUUUUACGGUUGGAACUAAACCCCAUGCGGUGUGGAAAAUUGCAAGUUUCCAGAAUAUACCUACACUUACUAAUUAUAAUAAAUAUCUUUUACUUAGUAAUAAUAAAUAAUAAAUAUAUAUUUACUAAUUAAAUAUAAAUAUUACAAAUGUACAUAUAUUUUGUUUACAAUUGUACAAUAUCAUCACCAUCCAUUUGGCAAAUUUGAUUUGUUCAUAUAAUGUUAAUUUAUAACUAAUAUAAAUUACCGUAUAAUAAAAUAAUUAUGUACAUUAUAAUUUAAUAAUAAUUAAACAAUAAAAAUCUUAGAUUUUUUAUCAACAUUUGCCGCCUCAUUUAUGGUGAAUGGUAUAUCUCCCAUUUUGGUCCCCCUUUCUUUUUAUUAAUUCUUUUUCCUAAUUUCUCCUAAUUAAGCUAAAUUCACUUAAUUAAAUCCUAAUUAAACACACAACUAGCCUCACAAAUAUUCUUAAUAAAACAUUUACAAACUCGGUUUACUAAGACAGAAGCCCUAUAACUCACUUUUUCGGUGCCCGUGAAUUUUGGGCCAUUACACAUUCUUCCGUGGAUAACAUUUUUAGGCUGAGCGGUUCGAAGUAAUUACCAAGGUGAUUUUGUAAACUGUUUUUGGCUAAGUGAGUGAUGUUGGUGAAAAGGUGGCAAAAUGGCUACAAUGUUUCUAUAGCUUAUAUAUAAUGAACAUACGGAAAAUAUUUUUGUGUAAUAUCAAAUUUAGCCCUUAAUAUUUAUAAUUUUACCAAUUUGAUUCUUAUUCUUUUUAGUUAAAUUUAAUUCUCUACCUUUUGAAAGUGUCAAAUUUUCUUGGCUGGAAGCUCACUGCAUGGAAGCCAAAAUCAAAACAAACUUUUGAUGGUUUAAUUGUUUUUGAGCCCUUCAAUUUCAGGUGCUAUGAGAAAUGGAUUACAACCUCAUCUUGUCGUUAUCCCAAAAUCAAAACAAGCAACUCUUGGUUGAAAGUUGAAACCAAGGGCCAAGUCAAAAUUGUUUUAGGAUGAGUCCAAAAUGAAUAAUGAAUUUGAAGGUUCAAAAUAAAAUUUUAUUAAUAUAUAAAUUUAUAAUUUCAUAAAUUUUAAAAGGAUUAAAUGAUAAAUUUACUAAUUUAAGAAGACAAUAGGGAUGGUCAAAUAUUCUAAUUGAACCUAUCUGCGAUCGGAUCGGGAUGGAUUUUUUUAAUUAAAAAAAUUAAAUAGAUUGAAUCGAAAUUCUAGGAGUUACAAAAUUCUCAUAAAUAACAAGAGUUUACAAAAAGUACACUUACUUUGGUUGAUGUAUGGUAUAAUAAGCCUGCAAAGCACCGAUAAAAAGUGCACCAAUGGCACCCACAAAUGCGAAAAACGUCCAACGAGUCCUAAAAAAAGUACGGUAAACUUGAGCUGGAUAUGUAAUCCACAUAUUGUUAUGAUGAUCAUGUAUUUGCAGUUUAACAUGUCUGUAAAUCAUCAGACUAGGAACCAAAUCCAUGUUCAUCUUCUUGAUAAGCUUAGCCACUUCUUUAUCACUCCCAAAUCCAUGGUAUAGUAUGCCUGCGUCUCUCAGUUCCUUAACAUCUUCGGCUUCAUCGAUCAAUGAAUCAAGGAAACCCAUAUAUGAAGUGACGGUGAAAUUGUUGUAGAAAUCCGGACAAUUUCGUAAGCUAUUAAGUUCAUGGUUGAAUCAUCGACGGUGAGAGGCGGUAACCGUAAUUUUCCGACGAAGAAGUAAUGGUUGAAACUGAUGUCGGUUAAACAACUUGUUUCGCUUGCUUCUAACCAUAUCCCGGCGUUUUUAAGCUCUUUUACGUUACGAAACGGGUGUGAAUGGUGAGGUUUUAUUCUUGUAUGGUUUCUGCGAUUUGUGAAGGAUAUGCAAAACCUAGAAGGCCAUGGUUUUUCUUUUUUGAAAAGGAGUCUUACUCGUAGUAGAUGCAAUAAGUGAAUUGGCUCUUUAUUUUUUUCUUGCAGCUGCUGCCACCAUUCACUAGAGCAAAAUCUGUGUUAGUCGGGAGCAAGCUAAAAUUAAGGUUUUCAAUGGUUGAAUCAAAUCAUUAUUAUUUAAUAAAAAAUUAUUUAAAUUAUUAAAUUACAUUUUAAUCCUUUUAAAAAUUAUUAAAUUAUAAAUUUGUAUACAAUAAAAUUAUAUUUUGACUCCUCAAAAUGAAUAAAAAAUUGUUUAAACACUUUUAAAAAAUGAUGACAUCAUAAAUUAAUGCAAAAAAAAAAUCUAAGAAUUAAACCAAACUUGUCUAUCGGCCUAAUUAAACAGAGAAUCAAGCAAGGUACUAAUCCAGAAUAAUAAAUUAAAUCCAUUGAAUCUAAUCAUCAAAUCGAUUUUUUUUAUAUUUUUAAUAUAUCUUUAAUAUUUUUAAAAUUUUAUAUAAUUGAAUCGAAUAAACUAAUCAACCAAAAAUGAGACUCUAAUGGAUUGUAUCACCUAUAUAUGUAGUUGUAAAAAUCCUUUUAACAUUUAUAAACUCCACAAAUUGAUUCAUUUAUAAAUUCCUUAAAUUACCUGUCCUGCUGAUGUGAUUGUGGGUCUUUAACAGUGCCGUUGAUGAACCUUAUGAUUGCCUCCAUGAAUUUUGUGCCAUCCUUCGAUCUUGUAAGCAAUUCAAGAACACGAAAAGGUAAUUGGUUUUCCAACAAGAACAGAUCCGAGUACACAAAUGUUAGCAAUUCGUUUUUAAUAGAAAAUUCGUUCGACGUACGACAACGAUCUUGGCCGUAAAGCAUAUAAACUGCUUGUAAAAUUGCGCAGCCGUCAACGAAGAACAUCCAAGCCAGUUUCUCGUUAUCGUUGCUAUAGUUCUCUAAUCCCUUUGGAUCAUAGCAUUUCUUUAAGCCAUCGAUCUCUGUCUUCAUGUUGUUGUACAAGGUAUCCUUAUCGACGCCAAUUUUUUUAACGAAAAGUGCUGCUAAUUUGAGCUUGAGCUUCUCGGAUUUAUGGAGGGUGGCAUCAUCGUGGUAGAAUGGGCCGAUUGAGAUCACUUUCGGCUUGAAAUACUUACUGAAAUCUUCGUGACGACCAAGGGUUGAUGGGACUCUUUGUAUCAAUGGUUUGGCACCGAGGUCGAUUUCGUCGCCGUCGAAAGCUUCGUCUAAUGACCGGAGAUUCACUACUUCGCCAACGCUGAGAGGGACGUCCAUAUCAAUGCUCACGGAAUCGUUGUUGUCGGUGAUUGUUUGAUCAGUGGAAACUGCUCCGACGGCGCCGCCUCCUUCCUCCGUGGAAGACAUUUUCAGGCUGAGCGGUUGGAAGUAAUAAAGAAGGUGAUUUUGUAAACUGCUUUUGGCUGAGUGAGUGAUGUUGGAGAAAAGGUGGCAAAGUGGAUAAGAUGAUGACAAAUGUUUUAUAGCUUACAUGAUAAACAUAUAUGGGAAAUACUUAAGGUGUAAUUCAAAUUUACCCUUAGUGUUUAUAUUUUUACUAUAAUUUUAAUUUUUUAAUUAAAUUUAUUUCUCUUUUGAAAGAGUCAAUGAUAAAAAAAGAAAAGAAAAGUUAAAUUAAUGUUUUUUAACAAAAAUAGUAACAAAUAUUAAAAUUGUGAAUAACAUUAUAGAACUUAAAUACUCAACGCAACUCAAGAAACUAAUGGUGGGUCUGGAUGGGCAGUGCGGUGCGGUGCGUUUAGCCUACUUUUUGUCUCAUACUACAGUGUUGCUACAGUAUCUAAUCUCACCGCCACCACUGUUUUUACACUAACCACAGGUAAACGCACCGUCCAUCCAAACUCACCCUAAGACCCUAUCAAAGGGAGAAUUUUAUAUCUACAACACUUCCUAAAUUUCAUUAGCUUAAUAAUAGCUAUUCAAUUUUUUUUUUCAUUUUUUUACUUAAAUUAUUUUUACUUACUUUAUAUUAGAUAAAUUAUUCCAAAUAUUUAAUAUUUUACAUAUAAUAAUUGCAUUUGUUAUUCUACCUAACUCAUGAAAAAUCUCAAUUUUGCAACAUCACAUGCCAACCAACCAAUUUAUUAUUCACAUUCCAACUUUCUAAAUGCAUCAAAUAUUUCAUAUUCAUGUACUAACAAAGAUCAUGCCAAGAACCCACAUGCAAAGUCAUUGUAUAGUACCACAUUUAACUCAAUCGGACUUUUACACAACUAAAGAUUACUCCAAACGUUUAUAUGCAUGUCACAAUCCUUCACUCAAAAUGAUAAAAAAAAAACUAUUAAAUUGACGAUAAAAUAGUUUAAGCUUCGACCGAUCCAACCGACGUGUUCUAGCAUAUAAUAUGUUUAGUAAGCUCAUAUGGAAACUAAAACUUACCUAGAUCAAUUGAACAUAAAAAAUUACUCAAUAAGCUAUCGAAUUAAUUUUUCCUUAGCACUUAUAUAUAUAUAAUACAUGUAACAACAUUUCAAGUCAAAAGUGUUAGAUACAAUGUUGAAUCAUAAUCCUGUCAACAUUUAAAACAUAAUCACAUAGCAAUCUAUAUACCAAAUUUCAUCAAUACCAGUUCAUUUUCAAUUCAAGAUUUAAUUCCAUUUCCAACCAUUUAAUCAUCCUCUGAUGGAACUACAGUAAAAAAGACCUAGGUACAUGGGAAUAUUUUGCUGACACUGUAACGAACUUACUCACAAAAGUUGACUUUAUAUUGGAAUUGUUCACACAAGUUAACUUUGUAAUUUAUAUAAUGUAAAAUUUAAGAUUUUUAUAUUAUGUAAAUCAAAGCUUAAUAUUGCAUAACUAAUUAGUUUUGAGUUUUCAAAAUAAUAUGGCUUUAUAAAGAUAUAGAAUUCUUGAUAUAAGUCUUAACAAGGGAAAAUUUAAGGAUAGGAAAAUUGUGGUGGAAAGGGGGUCAAUUUCUCCUAAACAGGUGGAGAGCUGGAGAAGGGUAAGAGAAGGAAGAUGGUUGAUGUGAAGGCUAAGAGUAAUUGUUAAAGGUUGCUAACAGGGAGGAUCCCUUUCUCAUGAAGAUGAUUUUUAAACACCGUGUUAAUUGUUUAUGGGCCAUCAUGUUUGACGAUAAUUUUUAAAUACUGUGUUAAUUGUAUAUAGCACAUCAUGUUUGACAAUAAAUUUUAAAGACUUUUAAACGUCGCAUUAAUUGUUUAUGGCCCAUUGCCCAUGUUGCUUUUAUUAAAUUUUGGGUAAACUAUAAGUUAAUCACUUAAUUUUUAUAAAAUUUCAUUUUGGUAAAAGAAAAUCUCAGGAUAAAACAAAAAUUAGGAUAAAUGUAAUGUUGAAAUGAAUAUAGUGGGAAUCUUUAAUGUUUAUGGCCAAACCCCACCUCUCCUAUCCUAUACUUCAUCUAUCAUAAUGAUUCUUGGCUUCUUCUACAAUUGCCUUCACAAAAUGAAGCUGACAUUUGAGGUUGUCCUUCAUUUACUUUUGUUUUCUUCCUAUGAUAUAAAUGCAAGUAGAAUAUAAAUUAUACAUUUGUAAUUCCUCAAUUAUUUGGAUUAAAUUGAAAAACAAUCUCAAUUAUUUGGAUUAGAUUGAAAAAUAAUUGACACUUGAUUUGAUUGUGAAAGAAGUUUUAGUUUAAUGAAAUGAAUGAGUUAAAUUUUAAAUUUAUAAUAUUUAACUUGAGUGUGAAUGAAUUUUUGACUUAAUUGAAAAUUGAAAAUUUUAUAAAUUUUGUUUAAAUUUAUUUUGAUUUAAUUCUCAUAUUGUAUAUUCUUAAUUAAAUUCGGAAUAUAUCAAUUUAGUCAUACAUUGUAACGAUGGAUUCGAAUUAUAGUUAAUUAUAUAUUGAAACUAAAAAUCUUAGAUUUUUAUCAACAUUUGCCGCCUCAUUUAUGGUGAAUGGUAUAUUUCCCAUUUGGUCCCCCUUUCUUUUUAUUAAUCUAUAAUUCUACUUCUACCCCCAUUCAAUUUAGCCCUUUUUCCUAAUUUCUCUUAAUUAAGCUAAAUUCACUUAAUUAAAGCCUAAUUAAACACACAACUAGCCUCACAAAUAUUCUUAAUAAAUACUUACGAACUCGGUUCACUAAGACGGAGGCCCUAUAACUCACUUUUCUAGUGCCCGUGAAUUUUGGAUCAUUACACCUUCUUCCGUGGACGACAUUUUUAGGCUGAGCGGUUCGAAGUAAUUAACAAGGUGAUUUUGUAAACUGUUUUUGGCUGAGUGAGUGAUGUUGGUGAAAAGGUGGCAAAAUGGCUACAAUGUUUCUAUAGCUUAUAAAAUGAACAUACGGAAAAUCUUUAAUUAAGAUUUAAAUGUAUAAAAGUAUAAAUUAUAAUAGUAAAAUUGUACUUUAAUCUUAUAAAUCGCAAUACUUUAAUUUAGUUAUUUAAAAAAUUAGAAAUAUAUUAGUUAAUAUAAUGAUAAAAUUACGUUUUAACUUUAUCAAAAUUUAUAACUUAAUUUCAAUCCAAAUUCUUACUUCACCCUUAUUUCUGCACUAAUAAAAGUUAUAAUCUGUGUUAAAUAUCGGAUUAGUAUAUGGAUGAUAUUAAAAAUAUAUAUAAAAAUAUAAAAUCUCUAAAAGCUUAAUCAACACACAUUCAGGUGUACGCUUUUAUUAAACUUUGAUUUUUUUAGUACGAGAUUAUCUGGAUUCUUUAAAAUAAUGUUAUGGAUAAGUUUUUGUUUAAUGUAUUGAUUGGUUUUUUUUUUCCUUUUAGAUUUGAUGAAUGAUAGAUUUUUGUUUGUGAAGUUUAUCUAUGAAUAUUUAUAUAAUUAUUAAUAAUUUUAUAUUUAAAAUUUAUUUAAUAUUUUAAAAUUUUAUCGAUAAUUUUGAAAGGAUAUAUAAAAACAAAUCGAUAUUGAUAUGUAUCAAUUUCUGUAGAAAAACGGUGCGUCCAUCAGUGCAAUACUAACUACCUUGGAUAAGAAAACAUUUAAUCCUUAAAUUUGGCAACUUUUCUCAACUUAGUCAUUAAACUUUUUUUUUAUCUACACUAGUCUUCUAACUUGACAACUUUUCUAAAUUUUGAUGCAUGUGAUGACAUCGCAUUCUGAUUUUGUAUCAUAGGGGUGUUCGAAUUUCGAUUAAAAUUGAAUUAACUGACCGAACCAAUCUAAUUCAGUUAAUCAGUCAGUUAAUCAAUCUAGUUCUAUCAGAGGUCGGUUAAAAGUUUUUUGGAAUUUCGGUUAACGGUUAAUUCGAUUCGAAAUUAGGUAAUUAACUGAAUUACCCAAACUUAAUAAAUUAGACUUGUAGGCUAGGAAGCACAGACACGGCUCAUCCCUCCUCGUACCGGUAUCGUACGUGUGUCCGACACAGACACUCGACGGACAUGCCUAGAUACGUAUGGAACAAGCUGGAAUAUGCCAAAAAUUUUUUUUUUUAUUGCCAUAUCUUGCUGUAUCCGUGUCCUUAUUUUCUAAAAAUUACCAUGUUGCUGUGUCUGUAUCAUGUCGUACCCGUAUUGCGUGUCUGUAUCCAUGCUCCAUAGCUUGUAGGUAAGGGCCGAACAAAGAAUCCAGUAAGGCAGUAGUCUAGAAUAAGGAGUUAGACCAAUUGAAUCGAGUUAAUGAAUUGAUUUUCUUUAUAUUUUUAAUAUAUCUUUAAUAUUUUUAAAAUUUUAUAUGAUUUAACCGAGUGGUUAAUCAAUAAAAAUUGAGAGUCUAAUAGAUUUAAAAAAAAAAACCUUUUUAACAUAUAUAAACUCCAAAAAAAUAUUCUUUUUUAAAUUCCUUAAAUUACCUGUCCUGCUGAUGUGAUUCUGGCUUUUUAACAGUAUUGUUGGUGAACCCUACGGUUGCCUCCAUGAACUUUUUGUCAUCGUUCGAUCUUGUAAGCAAUUCAAGAACACGAAAAGGUAAUUGGUUUUCCAACAAGAACAGAUCCGAGUACUCAAAUGUCAGCAGUUCGUUUUUAAUAGACAAUUCGUUCGACAUAUGCUCAUAAUCUUGGCCAUCAACAUCAUCAUUACCGUAACGAUAUAAACUGCUUGUAAAAUUGUGCAGCCGUCAACGAGGAACAUCCAAGCCAGAUUCUCGUUAUCGUUGGUAUACUUAUCUAAUUCCUUUGGAUCAUAGCAUUUCUUCAAGUCAUCGAUCUCUGUCUUAAUGUUGUUGUACAAGGUUCCCCUAUCGACGCCAAUGUUUUUGACGAAAAGUGUUGUUAAUUUGCACUUGAGCUUCUUGGAUUCAUGGAGGGUGGGAUCAGCGUGGUGAGUGGACCGAUUGAGAUCACUUUCGGCUUGAAAUACUUCCUGAAAUCUUCGUGACGGCCAAGGGUUGAUGGGAGUCUUCGUAUCAAUGGUUUGGCUUUGGGGUCGAGUUGUUUGCCGUCGAAAGCUUCGUCUAAUGACCGGAGAUUCUCUAAUUCGCCAUUGCUGAGAGUGAGCUCCGUACCCGGCAUUGGAAUGAUCGUCUCUUGGGGAUUGUUGGUGGUGGUGUUUUUGGUGAUUGUUUGAUCAGUGGAAACUGCUCCGCCGGGAGCUCCGACGGCGCGGCCUCCUUUCUCCGUGGACGACAUUUUCAGGCUGAGCGGUUCGAAAAAAGGUGAUUUGGGAAACUGUUUUUGGCUGAAUGAGUGAUGUUGGAAAAAAGGUGGCAAAAUGGCUACGAUGACGACAAGUGUUUCUAUAGCUUAUAUAAUAAACGUAUGGAAAAUAUUUUGGUGUAAUAUUAAAUUUAACCCUUAAUAUUUAUAUUUUUUUAAUUUGAUUCUUAUUCUUUUUAAUUAAAUUUAAUUCUCUACCUUUUGAAAGAGCCAAAUUUGAUUACCAAUCUUUUAGAAAAGAGUUGAAUCAAUAUUUUUUAAUGAAAACAGUGAUUAAAAUAUUAAAUUUGUAAACAUGACAACUCAUAUGGUAAUCCAUGUGUACAUAUUUUUUAUUUUUUAUUUUUAAAUAAUUUGUUGACGUGUGACAUAUAAGAAAAGCAGUGCUAUGUUAGCACGAAGUGCACAUGGAUUGCCACACGAGUUGUAACACCAACACCGUUAAAAAUUUAAUAUUUUAGUUAAUAUUUUUGUUAAAGAAAAACAAUUUAACUCUUUUUUGAAAGGUUAAUGACUAAAUUUAGCUCAAAUAAUAAUAAUAAAAGAACAGAGGCCAAUUUGACAGAAAAAUGUAAAUAUCGAGGACUAAAGGCCAAUUUGAUAGAAAAAUGUAAAUAUCGAGGACUAAAUUUAUCAUUAUGUCAUUCUUUUUAAGGUUAACUUAUAUGAAUACAAUAUAAGUUCAAGUACAAAUAUAUGUAUGGAUUAAUCUAGAAAGAACUAGACAAAAUCCACACAUGAUAUACGCAUAUGAUGAGAGUAAAACUCACACAUCACAAUUAAGAAUAAUAUUAUAAAACCUAAAUACUCAGAGACUUAAAACCUUCGCAUUAACCAAAAAGUGAAGACCCCAUCAUAUGGAGAAUUUUAUAUCUACAUACGACAAUAUUUCUCGGAUUUCAUACGCUUAAUACUAGCUCUUCAAAUAUAUUCAUUUUUCAUUUUAUUACUUAAAAGUUAUUUUGAUUUACUUUAUAUUGAUUUCAAUCAUAUUGAUCCGUAGAUAUUGUUUCAAUAAGAAAUCGAAUUUUUUUUUUUUAAAUGAGAUGAUUUUGUUGUGGGUUUUUUAAAAUAGUGUUACGGAUAACUUUUUUGUUUAAUGUUUUGGUUGGCUUUUUUUUUUCUUUUUUUCGAAUUUUUGAAUGAUGAAUUUUGCAUGUAAAGAUUAUUGAUGAAUAUUUAUAUUUAUUUAAUUUCAUUCAUUUAAUGUUUUUAAAUCUUUUUUAUAUAUUAAAUAUUUUAGAAAUUUAUCGAUAAUUUCGAAAAGAUAUACAAAAACAGGCCAGUACUAAUAUGUAUCCGUUUUUGUAAAAAAAAUGUGCGUCCAUUAGUGUAGUACUAACUACCUUAGAUAAAAAACUGUUUAGUCCUUAAAUUUGGUAACUUUCCUCAACUUAGCACUUAAGCUUUUAUUUUAUCUACAUUAGUCUUCUAACUUUGACAGCUUUUCUCAAUUUCGAUGCAUGUGAUGACACAACACUAUGAUAUUGAGAUGCUAUCAUCUAAAAAUUAUAUUUUUAAUAAAAAUUAGGUGUUAACAUGGGAGAAAUAUUAUUAUAAUAACCAAAAAUGAGAAAAGUUGUCAAUUUUCAUGAUUGAUGUGGACAGUGGUGAAGAUAAGGGGCUGGUAGGGGCAGAAAUUUUUUUUUCAUUUACGUCCUUUUAUAAUUUAUAAAAUUUUAAAUUAUUAGUGGUAAAAUUAUAUUUUGUCACCCAAAAAUAAAAAAAAAUUAAUUUAAUCCUUUAAAAUGAUAAAGUUAUAGACUAUUAAAAUGGUAAAAUUACAUUUUUAUUAUCAUAAAAAUAUACAACUUAAUUCCGGCCCCUCCCAAAAAAAAUUUUGGCUUCGCCCCUGAAUGUGGACCAAAAAAGAAAGUCUAGAGACCAAAUUGAAAAAUUUUGUCAAAUUUAAGGAUUAAAUGUUGUCUUAUUAUUUUAUUUAACAAAAAGUGUGCUAUAUACACCAAAGUCUCGUAAUUGAAUAAUAAAAUUUUGAUGUUUUUAAGUAAAUCUUGAAUUUAAAUCUUAUGAAUAAAGAAAAUAAUACUAAAUAAAUUUUACUAUCUACUUACGAAUUCAACUCAAUUUCAAAUUUAACUACCAAAUAUCAAAGCUCUUAUAAAAAAAAAAAGGUAUUGUAAACUUUGUUGUAGUGUAUUUUAUUUUGAUCCAAAAUAGUGAAAAGGAAAUGCAUCCUAAAUUUAUUCAAACCAAAUUAUUAACUUUAAGUGUAAAUUGGGUAAGUGUAACAUAAUUGUUCUCUUUUUUUUUUUUAAUUUAGUCCUUUUCCUAAAUACAACAUAUAUUUUAUAAUAGAUAAUUGAAUUAAUUAAACCAUCAGUUCAUCGCUCAGUUCAACCUAAUGACGGAACGUAAGAGGAGAUUCCCUUCAAAAUUUUAGAAAAUUAUCACUAAAUUCUUCAAAAUAAUUUACAUUUUUACUUUUUACUUAGGACUCCUAAUUUUUUAAAAAUCCUAAUUAAGCCUCGCAAAAAGUGUUGAAAUUUUCAAAAAUUUCAAAACUUCUCGUUAAUUUUUUUUAAAAAUUUUGAUUAAGCCUCUUAAAUUUUAUUUUUUUUAAAAAAUCUCAUUAAACACUAAAAAUUAAUUUAAAUAGAUUGAAUCGAAAAUCCAGAAUUACAAAAUUCUCAUAAAUAACCAGAGUUUACAAUGAGAAUAGUAAACAACAAUUACUUUGGUUGAUGUAUGGUAUAAUAAGUCUGCAAAGCAGCAAUAAAAAGCCAGCAAUGGCACCCACAAAUGCGAAAAACGUCCAACGAGUCCUAAAAUAAGCAUGAUAAGCUUGAGCUAGAUAUUGAAUCCACAUAUUCUUACAAUGAUUAUGUAUUUUCUGUUUAACAUAACUGUAACUAGGAACCAAAUCAGUGUUCAUAUUCUUGAUAAGCUUAGCCACUUCUUCAUCACUCCUCAAUCUAUUGUAUAGUAUACCGGCGUCUCUCAGUUCCUUAACAUCUUCGACUUCAUCGAUCAAUGAAUCAAGGACACCCAAAUAUGAAGUGACGGUGAAAUCGUUUUUGAAAUCCAGACACAUUUCGUAAGCUAUUAAGUUCAUGGUUGAAUCAUCGACGGUGAUCGGCGGAAACCAUAAUUUCCCGACAAAGAACACAUGGUUGAAAUUUAUGUCGGUUAAACAACUUGCUUCGCUUGCUUUUAACCAUAUCCCGGCCUUUUUAAGCUCUUUUACGUUACGAAAGGUGUGUGAAUGGUGCAGUUUUGUUCUUGUUUGGCUGCUGCGAUUUAACGUGCACAUGAAACGAGUGCAAAACCUAUAAUGCCGCCAUGGUUUUUCUUUUUUUCCUUUUUUGAAAAGAAGUCUUUCUCGUAGUAGAUUCAAUAGGUGAAUUCGCUGCAGCCUCCAUUCACUAGAGUAAAAACUGUGUUAGUCGGAAGCCAAGCUACAAUUUCUUUUCUUUAUUUUAUUUUAUUUGGAAUUGUAAAUUUUUAUCAAAACUAAAAUUAAGGUUUUUAAAAUGGAUAGUAAAACCAGUCAAAACAUCUAUUUAUAAGUUUAAUUUAUCCGAUCAAUUCAUCCAAUUUGAUUAAAUAAAUUAUUUCAAAUUUCAAUUCGAUUGUCCGGCUUAAUUAAUUUAUUUUCCCGAUUCAACCUGUUCAUAUAGGUUCCCAAAUCAAUUAGUCUAAUAACUUUCUUUGGACUGAUACCUCAAUUAAAUUCCAAUCCAAUCCGAUUCAAACAACUUUAGCUAAAAUACAAUUUUUAUUAUUGUAUUAAUGCAAAAAUUUUACCAUUUUUAAAGAUAUAAUUUUUCCUUUUUGAAAAGGUGGAUUUGAACUAAUAAUUUGUUGGCUUAAGCGUCUAAAAUCCCUCGUUUGAAAAAGCAAUUAAACCUUCUUCUUCUUUUUUCAUUCAUUUGGGUGCUUGAACUUUUAAAAUACAUCAAAAAGGUCCUUAAACCUUUUUUUAAAUAAAAAAAAGCAAUUAAGCCUCUACUUUUUUUUGCACACAAUUGGGUACUUUGACUUUCAAAAUGCAUCAAAAAGACCCUCAAAUUUUUUCAAAAAAAAAAAGUUAAGCCCCUGCUUUUUAUUAAAAAUUAGAAAAAAUUUAUAAAAAGUUAAAAUUAAUAAAAGCUAUAAAUCUUGUCGAAACCGAUUUUUUGAAAAAAACAAAAUUUUUAGGUUGUCGACUUAAAAAAAAGAAAAUUGGGAGUCGCCACCAAUCUUUUAUUGAGGUGUGAUUGGAUCACCUAAAACGACUUUGGUUUACGAAUUUUAGAAAAACGGGUUCGGAAGUCGGUUACGUAUGAGGAAGGAUUAGCACCCUCAUUACGCCCAAAAAUUGGUACCUCGUUAAUUAAUUAAUGUCUUAAGGUCAAAAAUUUUAAAAAUAUAAUCUUUAAAAACUUAAAACGUUGCAUAUUAAGACCCUUUUCAAUUCAGAGAAGCAAAAAUGCUACACCCAAUACGUUAGGGAACAACAUUCUAAUUUCCCCCAAAAUGAAUUAGGUCAGAAUAUUUAUACAAUAAAACUUUAAAAGAACAUCCACUCAUCCAAGAUUUAAGAAAUCACACCCAAUACGUUAGGGCACGAUUCCUUUAGAAUCCCAAACUCGGAAUAUUUCCUUUACUUUAAAAGAACAUCCACUUAUCCAAGAUUUAAGAAAUCACACCCAAUACGUUAGGGCACAAUUCCUUUAGAAUCUCAAACUCGGAAUAUUUCCUUCAUGAUUUUUUUUUAAAAAAAUCUUCAUUUCGAGAAAUCAAUGCGUCACAUCCAAUACGUUAGGACACAACGUGUUGAAUUCCCAAUAAUGAGUUUUUAUUUUUUUGAUUGAAGAGAAAUGCUCGAUUGUCGGAUUUAACAAAAAAAAUCAGAACCCAAUACGUUAGGGCUCAAUUCCCUUGAAAAUCCUAAAUACGAAUAUUAUCUCAAUUUAAAAAAAUUUCUAUCUUUAAAUUUGAGUAAAAAAAUGAUGUAACAUGAUUUUAUACAUACAAAUGCUAUAAUAAUAAUAACAAUAAUAAAUACAUCAUCGACAUAAAAAUAAUAUAAACAAAUGAAUAAACAAAAUAAUAAAAAAAGGUAAUCCAUGACAUGCAAAAUAUUAAAUGUAAACACAAUCAUACAAUGGAUGGGAUAGCAUUUACAAAUAUACAUAUAAUUUACAAAUAAAAUUUUGGGUUAUAGAAUUUAUAUAUAAAUACAAUACAUAAUAUACUUAUGCAAAUAAAGAAAAAAUAUAAUUAUACGUACAUAUAUAAAAUAAUAAAAAAUAGGUAUAUUUUAAAAAAAGAAAAAGUGAGUAUUUAAUCAUUAAAAAACGUAAAUAUAUACAUAUAAAUAUGAAAAUAUUCAUUAAAAAAUAUAGGAUAAUAUUCGUUUUAAAAAAUAUAUAUACAUGUACAUAUAAAAGGAAUAUACAUGGAUAAAAAAAUUAAAUAAUGAGUACAUUAUCAAAAUUAAUUUUUUUAAAAAAAUAAAUAUACAUAUAUAUACAUAUAUAAAUGUGAGAAAAAUAUAAGUUAAAAAUAUGUGCAUAAAAUAUACAUGUAUAGAUUUUUAAAAAAAUAAAAAUAAAAAAUGAUUAUGUUAUUAAUUAAUAAAAUAAAUGAAAAGAACAAAAAAGGAAAAGAAAAACUAAAUUGAAUUGCAAUAAAAAAAACUGGGGUAAAUCCGCAAAUAAAUAAAAGUAAAAGGAUUAAUUUGAACGCGUGAAUUACAUAGAGGGGCUAGAAGGGAAAUUUUCCCUUCUCCUCUAAAACGACGCCGUUCAACUUAGACCCAAUUGAAAUAAAAAUAAAUAAAAGGGUAAAUCAAGAAAAAUAAAAAAAACUUAAUUACAAAAACAUUAAAAGGCGGAAGGGCUAAAUAAAAUAAAUAAAAUUCGCAGUGGUAUCACCUUCUCCCUCUUUAAAUUCAUAAAUAAGUAAAAUAAUCGAAAAAAAAAUAUAGUAAGCCACCUUUAAAAAAUUGCCAAUCGUUCUCUUUUUUAUUCCUCUUCCUCCUUUUUUUACAUUACAUUCAGUGGCUUUAUAUAGCCAUUCUAAAAAAAUCAUAUAAAGAAGAAACAAAUCUCUUUUAUUUGAUUUGUGAAUCUUUGAUUUCAUUUCCUUUUUUGCUCUUGCUUGAUAUGCUUGAUUUGAUUUUGCAAUCCUUGAUUUUCUUUCCUUUCUUGUUUGUUUCCUUGUAGGUGAAGAUCGAUGACGCUCGUGACUGCGGCGCAAAGUCUUCUUAGAAACCCUAGGGUUUCUGCAAAUGAUUUGAGUCACUGAAUUUGGGCCAUUUUCGAAAUUGGGCCACCGUUUUAAAUUGGUUUUGGGCCUUAUGGCCUGUUUGUAAUUUUAGGCCUUUUACCCGGGCCAAAAUCGGGUAUUACAGCUGCCCCUCUUUGCUCGUUGUCGUGUAACAAGAACAGAGCAAAGACUCAACACAACCCAAGAAAUUAAGACCCAAUAGGUUGUAAAUGAAUGAUGAAAUCAAUAGUUUGAAAUGAUGUGUAUUUGUAGUUUUAAUUUCUAUAUUAAGAAUAUGCAUGUUAGACUUUUUUAUGAAAAAUGCAAUAGAAUUUAUAUUUAGGUAAAGAGUUACAAAGAAUUUGUUACUAAAGUAAAAAUUAGAACAGUUAGAGAUUAUCGAUUAGAUAGGGAAACAUAUGGAUUUGAUGAUUAUUUUAGUUUUUAUAUUUUCAAAUGAAUAAUUGGAUGUAUUAGUUGAGAUGUACUAAAUGAUUUAAAUACAAUUUAUAAAUUUUGCUAAAAAACUUUAUUUGAUCAUGUUUUUUUUUUCCUAUCAUGCAAAUGGUAUGAUGUCCAGAUUAUCUGGUCUUUGACUUCAUUUGUCAAUUAAUGAUUGUGGAUUGACAACAUUGACCAUUCUAUGCACGGGGACUACUCAUGAUCUACACAUUUUCUGCCAUUCUCACUACCCAUUGCCAUUCAUUCUCACUACCUAAAUACUCAACACAACCCAAGAAAUUAAGACCCUAUCAGAGGGAGAAUUUUAUAUCUACAACACUUCCUAAAUUUCAUUAAGUUAAUAAUAGCUAUUCAAUUUUUUUUUCAUUUUUUUUACUUAAAUUAUUUUUACUUACUUUAGCAUUUAAAUUAGAUAAAUUAUUCCAAAUAUUUAACAUUGUAACCAUGCUGCUGUACAUAUAGUAAUUGCAUUUGUAAUUCUACCUAACUCAUGAAAAAUCUCAAAUUCGCAACAUGUUAUUCACAUGCCAACCAAAUCUACAAUUUGCCUCCAAGUAAUUAACAAGCUGAUUUUGUAAACUGCUUUUGUCUGAUUUGAGUGAUGUUGGAAAAAAGGUCGCAAUCUUCUAUGAAAGCUUUAAACGCGUGGCAAUUUUCAUCUCUUAUUUUAUUUUGUGUGGUACUUGUAGAUCAGAGUGUUGAUUAUAUCACUGCCUGACACAACACGUACGUGGAGGACAACGAUUUGAGGGGAAAUAGAGAGAUUAUCUUACGAAUAGCAGAACCGGAUAUUGUCGUAUUUGAUUAUAAAAAGGUGUCGGGGCUUUUUUUAUAAAAUAACUUGAAAUUUUUAUUAAUUAUAAAAAUGAUAUUUUGUUUAUCAUGUACGUAAAUAAUAAAUAGUAAAAAUGAUUGGCGUGACCUUUUUAUCACGUUAGCUAAUCAUUAACUAUUAAAAUUAAAAAAUUACUUUUUUAAUGAACCUAUUUCGCGUCACAUGCGGUAGAAAAUCAUCUAAGAAAGGCAUGCACUAAUCAAUUGUUUUUAAGUACUAAUAUUUAGGGAUAAGGUAAUAUUUAAUUAUCUGAAUAUUUUAUAAUAGGGACGAAAUUAUAAAAAAGUUUAAAAGUUGAAGUUGAAUUAUGUAUUUUUAUAUAAGUUAAAAUACAAUUUAAUCAUAUUAGUUUGUAAUUUUACAUAUUUUAAAGAGAUUAGAUUAAAAUUUUAUCAUUUUGAAGGAUGAGAUGCAAUUUUAUUUUAUGUAUUAAGAUGUAGAAUUAUAAUCUUUAAAGGCACCCAAAACAUAAUUUUUUCCUAAAUCAAUUGAACAUAAAAAAUUACUCAAUAAUCUAUGGAAUUAAUUUUUUCUUGGCACUUAUAUGCAUAUGGUACAUGUAACAACAUUUCUAUUAAAGAAAAGCAACUUGAACCUGCACUAUAGGGAAGCAACAGAAAUUUAUUGUGACAAUCAAUUUGCUGUUACAAUCGCAUAGAAUCUAGUGUUCCAUGGGAGAACAAAACACUUCAAGAUUAAGUUCCAUUUUGUUAGGGAGAUGGAGCAAGCUCGAGAAGUAGAGCUGACUCAUUGCAAUUCUAAAGAACAAUUGGUAAACAUCUUGACAAAGCCCCUUAGUGUGUCAAAGUUCGAUAAAUUAAGGAAGCAAAUAGGAGUUUACAGCAUGGAAGACAAAGAGGAGUGUUGAAGUUGGCCUCCAAGCAGCUCAUGCAGCAAGGAGCAGCACAUCCAGUCUGAGCCAAGCUUGCAGCAGCUGAAGCACGAUGCUACUGUUAAGUUUCAUUUUCAUUUUGUUACUCUAAUGAUCAUUUUGUAAUCAAGUUAGAUUUGAACUUAGUAACUCCUUCUUAAUGUAAUUAGGUGUUGAUUGGCUGAAAAUUCAGCAAAGCAACAUGUACAAGUUAAUUUAGCAAGUUUCAAUGUAAUUUAGUGGUGUUAGGUAGUUGUUUAGGUGAAAUCUUGUUUGUAUUGACCAGUUUGUCUGGUAUAUGUAAUGGCUUAAUGCCUUUGUUCAUAGUAGUUAAUGAAAAUCAAUUAGUUUUCAUCCAUAUACUCUCCAUUUUUCUUUGCUUUCAAUUCGGUUAUGUUCUCAAGCAAAUUUCUGCUUUGUUUCUUCUCCAAGGCACGAGUCUUGCUGUUCAAGUCACAGCUGAACUAGCUUGCUUGUUGUUCAUAAAACCAAUAACCUGUUCUCGGCUGCGUUGAUAACAAUAUCAUCGAUGAACCUCCGGAUUGCAUUCAUGAACAUUGUGCCAUCACCCAAGCUUGUAAGCAAUUCAAGAACACGAAAAGGUAAUUGGUUUUCCAACAAGAGCAGAUACGAGUACAGAAAUGUCAGCAAAUCAUUUUUAGUUAACAAAUUACCAUCAUUAUCGUAACGCAUGUAAACUGCUUGUAAAAUUGCGCAACCGUCAACGAUGAACAUCCAAGCCAGUUCCUCGUUAUCGUCUCUAUACUUCUCUAAUUCCUGUGGAUCAUAGCAUUCCUUCAAGCCAUCCAUCUCUUUCUUAAUUUUGCUGUACAAGGAUUUCUUAUCGACGCCAAUUUUUUUGACGAAAUGUGCUGCUAAUUUGAGCUUGAGCCCCUUGGAUUCACGUAGGGUGAGAUCAUCGUGGUGGAGUGGGCCGAUUGAGAUCACUUUUGGCUUGAAAUACUUCUUGAAAUCUUCGUUACGGAGAAGGGUUGAUGGGACUUUUCGUAUUAAUGGUUUGUAUCUGAGGGUGGGUUGGCCGCCGCCGAAAGCUUUGUCUAAUGACUGGAGCUUCGCUACUUCGCCAUCGCUGAGAGGGACGUCCGUGAACCGCAUAUCAAUUCCCACGUAAUCGUUGUUGGUGUUGUUGUCGAUGAUUGUUUGAUCAGUGGAAACUGCUCCGGCGGCGCCGCCUCCUUCCUCACUGGACGACAUUUUCAGGCUGACCGGCUCGAAGUAAUUAACAAGGUGAUUUUGAAACCGGGUUUUGGCUGAUUGAGUGAUGUUGGAAAAAAGGUGGCAAAAUGGCUACGAUGAUGACAAAUGUUUCUAUAGCUUACAUAAAGAGGCGAAUAUAGGGGAAUGUAAAAUUGUUAUUUAGGCCCUUAACGUUUUUUUAAAAUUUCAAAUUAGUAAAGGUAAAAUUACAUUUUAGCCUCAUAAAAUUAUAAAAAUUUAAUUUAAUCUUUAAAAAUUAUAAAGAUAUAGACUACAAAAUAUUAAAAUUUCAUUCGAUCCACCCUAAAAAAAUAUUCUGGCUUCGCCCCUACUUACAUAAUAAACAUAUGGAAAAUACUAAUUCAAAUUUACCCCCUUAUAGUCAAUUUAAUUUUCAUUUUUUAAUUUAAUUUUUUAUGUUUUGGAAGAGUCGAAUUUAACGAUCAAUUUAAAUUAAUAUUUUUUAACGAAAAUAGUGACUAAAAUGUUAAAAUAUUAAACAUCACAACUCAUACGCAAUCCACAUCUAUAUUUUUUUAUUUAUUUCUUAUUUUUAAAUUAUUUAUUAACGUGACAUAUAAUAAAAGUCUUGUUAUAUUAGCAUGAAGUACAUAUGAAUUGCCACACGAGUUGUGACACCAAUAUUAUUAAAAAAUUAAUAUUUUAGUUAGCAUAUCUAUUAAAGAAAAGCAAAUUACCUCUUUUUUGAAAGGUUAAUAGCUAAAUUUAGCUCAAAUGAAAAAUAAAUAAAGGCCAAUUUGAUAAAAAAAGGUAUAUGUCAAGAGUUAAGUUUAUCAUUUAUACAAAUACAAAUAUAUGUCUGGAUUAAUCUAGAAAGAACAAGACAAACUCUACACGUGAUAUACAAAUGUGAUGAGAGUGAAACCUACACAUCACAAUUGAGAAUAAUAUUAUAGAACCUAAAUACUCAAAAACCUAAAACCUUCCCCUUAACCAAGAAGCUAAGACGCUAUGGAUAAUUUUAUAUCUACAACACUUAAUCAAUUUCAUAUGCAAAGAACACUUACUUUGGUUGAUGUAUGGUAUAAUAAGUCUGCAAAGCACUAAGAGUAAGUGCAGCAAUGGCACCCAAAAAUGCCAAAAACGUCCAAGGACUCCUAAAAUAAGUAUGAUAACCUUGAGCUGCAUGAUUAAUCCACAUAGUCUUACAAUGAUUAUGUAUUUUCUCUUUAACCCCACUGUAAAUUGUCGGACUAGGAACCAAAUCAGUGUUCAUCUUAUUGAAAAGCUUAGCCAUUUCUUCAUCACUGCCCAAUCCAUUGUAUAGUAUGCCGGAGUCUCUAAGGUCUUUGACAUCUUCAGCUUCAUCGAUCAAUAAAUCAAGGAAACACAUAUAUGAAGUGACGGUGAAAUCGUUGUCGAAAUCCGGACACAUUUCGUAAGCUAUUAAGUUCAUGGUUGAAUCAUCGACGGAGAUCGGCGGUAACCGUAAUUUUCCGAAGAAGAAGAUAUGGUUGAAACUGAUGUCGGUUAAAUUACUUGUGUCGCUGGCUUCAAACCAUAUCCCGGCCUUUUUAAGCUCUUUUACGUUACCAAUGGUGCGUGAAUGGUACCGUUUUGUUGUUUUUGUUCUUGCUGCUGAUUUGCCAAAUCCGUGUCGAUUGAAUUCCCAAAGAAAACACCAGCACCGUAUUCGUACUUUUCUGAGAAGGAGUCUUUCUCGUAGUAGAUGUAAUAAGUGAAUUCGCUCUCCUUCUUUUUGCUGCUUCCACCACCAUUCCCUACACCAAAAUCUGUGUUAGUCGGAAGCCAAGCUACAAUUUCUCUUUUCUCUUUUCUUUUUUUCUUUUUUGUUGUUGGAUUUGGAAUUGUUAAUUUAUAUGAAGCUAAAAUUAAGAUUUUCAAAAUAAAUAAUCCAACGAUUAAGUUAUUCAAUUUACUUAAUUUAAUUGAAUAAAUUAUUAAAAACUUCGAUUCGAUAAUACGGUUUAAUUAAAUUUUUUUACCCUGUUUAUAUAAAGUUUUAAAUCGGUUAAUCUACUCCGAAUUGAUAAUUCAAUUAAUUUUCAAUCCAAACCAAUUCAAACAAUAUUAACUAAAAUACAAUUUUUAUUGUUGUAUUAAUGCAAAAAUCUUACCAGUUUUAAAACAUUAAACUUUUCCAUUCUGAAAAGUUGGAUUUGAAAUCAUAAUUUUUAAUUUCUAAAAAUGAACACUCAAGGAUAAAUGUAAAACGACAGGCAGGGGUCGUUCCCAAGAAAUGAAAAUUUACACUUUAAUCUCUUUUAAAUUUAUUAAAUUAUAAUAAGUCCUCAAAUUAAAAAAUAAUAAUUGUUCAAUUUUUUUAAAAAAAUAAAAUCAUAAAUUAAUACAAAAAAAUUAAAAAUCAAUCAGGUUGAAUAAAAAAUUAAAUAAAAUUGAAGUUACACCAAUUGAAUUAAAGAAUCAAAUAAAUUUCUUUUUAUAUUUUUAAUAUUUUUAAAAAAUUAUAUAAUUAAAUUGAAUAAACUAAUCAACCAGAAAUGAGAGUUUAAUAGAUUCCAUCACUCAUCUAGUUAUAAAAACCUUUUAACAUUUAUUUAAUUCCCUAAAUUACCUGUCCUCGCCUGGGAUGAUAACAGUUUCGUCGAUGAACCUUUGGAUUGCAUUCAUGAACUUUUCGCCAUUUUUUCUCGGCCUUGUAAGCAAUUCAAGAACACGAAAAGGUAAUUGGUUUUCCAACAAGAACAGAUCCGAGUACACAAAUGUCAGCAAAUCGUCUUUAAUAAACAAUUUACCAUCAUUAUCAUCACCAUUAUCAUCAUCACCGUAACGCCUGUAAACUGCUUGUAAAAUUGCGCAGCCGUCAACGAAGAACAUCCAAGCCAGUUUCUCGUUAUCGUUGCUAUACUUCUCUAAUCCCUUUGGAUCAUAGCAUUUCUUUAAGUCAUCAAUCUCUUUCUUCAUGUUGU